CUUGGUUGAGCUAGUUCCUGUUGAUCGGCUCUGGUCUCCUGUCUCUGGAGCGAGACCUAUUGAACGGCCGAUUGUUACAAUAUGGGCCGUUGCACUCUGGGCAGUUAUCGGCCGACGGUAACCUGAGGUUGCUUUCCCAACAGUGGAUGAAGAACGGGCAUCUCCAGUGAUCUUCAUGUCGCCGCAUCGCUUCUUUCCGGGAUCUUGAGCGCUCAUGUUGCCGCUGAUAUUUGUGGAGCAGGUAUUGGGAAGUGAUGCGUGGCUCACCUGAUCCGCCAUCGUCGUCUUCCAUCCGCCGCUUCCCCUUGAUGUCUUCAGGCACCGCUUGAUUUCUGGGAUCUAUGGCACCACUCUUUUUAGCCGAUUCGGACGUUAGCACCCUUGUUUGGAGCGGAUUUUUUCCCGUGUCAACCAUGUUGGUGGGGAAGGGGUGCUGGUCGAUCUUCAUUGGCUUGGCUGGUUUUGUUGAUACUUCAAAUUUAAGUCUGCCCUGCUCAAUAGCCGUUUGUAUCUGUUGCCGGAAGAUUUUGCACUCGUUAGUGUCAUGGGAUGUAGCGUUGUGCCAUUUGCAAUAUUUCAUCUUCUUCAGCUGUUCGGCAGAAGGUAUUGUAUGGUAUGGUGAGAGCUGAAUUUGUCCUUCCUGGAGUAGGAGGUCGAAGAUUUUAUCGGCCUUCGACGUGUCAAAGCCGAACGUUUCUGGCUCCUUCUUGCCGAACGGGCAUGAUAUCGACUUCUUUCCCUUAACCCAUUCCGCAAGACCGACCUCUGCAUCUUCCUCGGCUUCAACCUCUUCUAGGAAUGCCACCUUCUUCUGGAAGUUCCUUCGUGGAUCAAAAGAACGUACCUCUUGACCGGACAAUCGGUGGACGAUCUGGCUCAAGCUUUCAAACUCCUGUGAGGCGUAUUUUUCCUUGAUGUGAGGCAGGAGACCUUGAAAGGCUAUAUCGGCCAGCUGCGCACCAGUUAGAGCCAGAGAAUAGCAUUUGUUCCUAAUUUCCCGAAACCUCUGCACAUAUGAGGAUAUCGGCUCGUCGCUUCUCUGCCUGAGGCUGGUUAAAUCAGACAGCUUCAUCUCGUACACCCCGGCGUAGAAGUAUUUAUGAAACUGCCUCUCCAAAUCGGCCCAUGUAAUAAUCGAGUUGGGUGGUAAUGUCGUGAACCACUGGAAGGCCGACCCAGACAAGGAUGAUGAGAAUAGCCGCACCCGUAGAGCGUCUUGCGCCGCUGCUUCUCCGCAUUGGAUGAUGAACCUGUUCACGUGUUCCACGGUUGAAGUGUCAUCCAUCCCCGAGAACUUGGUGAAGUCAGGAACUUUAUACCGAUGGGGAAACGACAGUAGGUCGUACGUAGACGGGUACGGUGUCCUGUAAGUGUAAGUCUGUACCUUCGGCUUCAAGCCGAAUUGUUCCUGAAUCACUUCUGCUAUACGUGCCGACCAGUCCGGCUGUUGCUGGUAAACUAUUGGCUGAGGGAUUGGCACGUGCUGGUAUAUCGGAGGCGGGAUGGCCUGAUGCUGAGUGAAAGUAUGUGGCAUCUGAUGUGUUAUAGCCGGUUGUGUAUUCAGGGUCGGCUGUUUGAAUGAGCCACUCGUUUCAUUGUAUAGUGCGAGUUCUGCUGCUUUGCUCAUCUCUGGUGCGAUAGGCUGGUACGGCGGCAUAGUUGGUCGAGUGGUUGCCUGGAAAGACGCCUGGAAUUGGGGACUUCCCUGACUGGCCGAUUGACCCUGAACGGCCGUAGCUGAUGGCGCCCCCCAAGACGCUGGAUUAACCGGAGGGAACUGCGCAGUGGAUAACUGAACGGGAUGUGGCUGGAGGUGUUGUGUGCCCGUAUACCCCAUAGAAAUCGAUGAUGAGGAAGCGCCUGAACCCCCAACUGGAAAUUGGAUCGGCUGAGAAGCCGAAUUCAGAUAACUCUUGUUUGGUGGAAUCGGCGGAGCAUAUGCCGGACCCUUGUACCCUUGAGAUACCCCGCUAGCCAAGGAGCUAAUGACGGCAUUGUACACUGUAUUCGCAAGCACCGAGGAUUGAUUGACGAAGGCUUGAUAAACGGACUGCUGGACCAUCUCGAACAUUUUGUCCGAGUCCUCGGUGAUUGUGAUCUGGCGGGGAGUUGGAAACGGAUUCUUUUUGAUAGUUUCCCCGCUUCUGGUGCGACUGAAGGACUGUAGGCAAGCCUUCCGGUAGUAUGCCGUCUGCCUCUCUAGUUCUUCCUUCUGAUCAUCCUGGAGAUCUGCUUCCGUCACUCCGAUGACGUUCUCUUCGGAGACUUCAGCAGCUUUCGACAUGGUGGCAGUUGUGUGGGUCCCACCGAGCGUGCCAAAAGUGUGUUGGCGCUAGAAAUCGGUCAAUCGAAUCUCCAACGUCUGACACACGACCCGGGAGAAUCUGCUUAGCUCCUGUUUGGGUGAUCGCCCUGGUGCGGUUCGCGCGGCGUGCCAGCCAAUCUGACCUGUUGAUUGGCAAGGAAAUAGUCGUGUUAAUUCCCAGGGUUUGCGAUCGGCUAAGGUUCCGAUCUCAAGAAAGCUUAUCAGCGAAUCGGCCGAUUUGCAGUAAUAAAGGAAUCGGCUAUGAUGCAACCGAUUACUGUAGCAGCGUAAACGGAAACUACGGGAGUAGUUAACACAACACUACAGUAACAACACCAGGAAUAGAUCUGAUCGGCUAUGUAUGAAAUAGGUAGAUUAAACAGCGAAGUAUAAAGAAAGCCGAUGUUGCCGAUUCCUAGCUGGAUAACUGAUGAUAAAACUAGAAUACAAGGUAAAACCUAUAAUUCUAGUAAAUAUUGAUAACUGGUGAAUAAAUUUAAACGAAACGACAUCGAUGCGCCCGAAGUUAAAGCCUAGAAUUUACUCGAUAAACGGAACUUACAAGAUCGGCCGGAGGUCAAGUUGAUGCAGCCCCGCCAACCUGUAUGAACUCGUGAAAAAGAAGAAAAGUAUUGGUGAAGUCGCCUGCUUGAAAGUAAGUACGAAGAAAUAGUAGUUUGUUGUAUUGAGUAGUUGAUUGAUUACAGAUCUACAAAGAUAGCUAUUUAUAGCCCCGUACAGAUGACUCCUUAUCUGACUAGAACUCUAUCCCUAAUUCAAAUAGAAAACGAAUAUUUACGAGUACGAUUCGUACUAGGUUGGUUAUUAUAUGCUUCACGGGCUGAUCUCCCCUUCAUCCUUCUAUUCCUUUCCAAGCCCAUACCGGCCCAAUUAUUCCAACCUCCCAAUCGACCGAUUCCUCAUUGGCAAAGGGUAACCGAUAAGGAACCUGGCGUGUCCGAUCCGAACCCCAAGGGUUAAGCGAAGCAGAAGUCAUCGGCUGAUCUUGGACUAUAGCGCCAACCAACCAAUCUCGAACUGUAGCGCCAUUCGGCCAAUUUCCACCUGUACUUUCCCAUUUCCUCUUCUCCUGGCGCCGAUUUCACUUGUGACGAAAUCUGGCGUCAACACCUUCAUACUCCGAAACUAGGGGGUCUAUGUUAACACCAAAAUUUAGAAAUGUGCUCUGAAAGGAAGGUAUCGGUCGAUGAUGCAAAAAAAUAAUGAAAUCUCCUAAAUAAGGCUCAAGAAAGAAAAAGCAAGAAAAGGAAAUCAACGCACGCGGCAAGAAUUGAAUAAAAUAUUCUGGAGAUAGAGUUGGUUAGGAUAAGCUUGAUUAGAGAUAGAGUUGGAUUAGUUAGAGAUAGUAUUUUGAUUAGAAAAGAUUGUGUACAUGACUUGCCUUGUACGUGGUGCGUCAGAGGCCAUCCGCCCUAUAAAUAUAAGGGGUCAUGGCCAUUGUAAUUAUCAUCACACGAUCAAUAUACAACAUAUUUAUCUUUUACCUUUUCGGCUUCACGCCAUUGCAUUAGGAGUAGGAGUAAUGUAGCUUCUCGACGAGUUCCUUCUAGCAAGCUGGGCUGCAUCGACCUUGAUCUCCGGCGAGCUGCAAAGUUUUGUCACCUGGUGUUCUAGGCUUUAACCACCGGGCGCAUCGCUGUGGUUUCGUCUAGUUUCAUCUACUAGGUAUCGAAUAUCAUGGAUCUUUGACUUACGCAUCGCUUCUGUCUUGAUCUACGGUAUUCACCAGUUAUCCUGCCUUGAUUAAGUCUGCAUCGGCUGAUAUUUAUCUGUUCUAUCAUCUUGCCGUUCAGUUUGCUUUAAUUAGCUUUAGAUCAGUUCAUUAUAGAUGACAGAUCGCUUAAUAGCCUGUUGCAUCUUAAUCUUGGUUACCCCUUCAAGUGCUGUUGGGAUUAAGUUUCGUUAUGAUUGGAUUCAUCGGCUGGUGGGGUUCAGAUUAACAUCCUGCUAAAUAUUUCUAGACUGCAACUACUGGACGCAUCGCUGUGGUUUCAUCUAGAGAUAUUGGUAGAGAGUUUAGUUUAGAUCUCAUCGGUUCGUGGCUCUAGCUAUGGUGGAGCGGCAGCUGAAUAGCAUCCUGUUUUCUAUCGGUCGCCUGGCCGAUGGUUAUUGCAAAAUAUAUUAAAUCGGCUGCUCACGCUCGUCAAGGAUCAUAUCGGCCUGAUCGGCCAGUUACCUCGGACUUCAAAGGAUUAUUUUCACCUUGUCAGUUGAAUGGUCAAACUGGCUGGAGUUAAGUAGAUCUCCCAGGUCCUCAUGUGGUGACGAAGGAUCCACCACCGUCAGAAUUUUACGUCAACAGAUUUUAGCACGCCCAGUGGGACACGGUUAUAAGGUUCAUAUUUUUAUUCAUAUAAAAAAGCAUCUUCGGCAGCUGUAUCAAAUUCAUCGGCCAAAUGAGUGUUCAUCGGCUUGUUAGAAUUAAUUCAAUAUAAUAUUUCAGCAAAAGCAGCCGAUGUAGUGAUUGGAGAUAAGGCCAAGUCAAGUCUGCGUGUAUACGCAUGUUCCGGUGGGAUCAUCUUCAUAAAUGCCAAUGACGAUUAGAGAUGAAGCUUCCUGCAAAAUGAUUGGCUACUCUAUCCGGGAAGAAUUGCUUUUUUAUGAGGCAUAUAUAGAGACCCAUGUUGCAAUUAGGGGGCGUAUUCGUGCAUCGGAAGAAAUAAAAAAUACAUCGGCAUAUUGAAAAUUGCAUCGGCCGAUUGACAGUCGUAUCAGCUGAUUGGAAAAAUAAAAAGGGAUCAGGGAUCGGCCGAUUGGAAAUUGCAUCAGCUGAUGGAAAAUGAGAUCAGCCGAUUGGAGUUGUAUCGGCUGAUUAAGAAAAAAACAGCGGCCGAUCGUAGAGAAAGGCAUCGGCCAAUUAGCAUCAGUAAGUUGGAAUUAAAAAAAAGAAGAGAGAGAAAGGCAUCCGCGGAUUAGCAUCGGCCCAUUGGAAAUAAAAAAAAAGAAGAGAAGAAGACCAGCCGAUAGGAGAUCACAGCCGAUGGGCAAGAAAGAAAUAAAAAAAAAGAGAAGAAGACCGGCCGAUAGAAACUUCAGCUGAUGGGCAAAGGGAUAUAUGAAAGAAGAAAUAAAAAAGUUACGUCGUCCGAUUAAAAAUUGCAUCAGCCCAUAAUGCUAUUUCUUAUAUUUCAGCCGAUGGAGCUCUUGUCUCAGCCCAUAAUGCUAUUUCAUAUAUUUCAGUCGUAGUUUUUUGUCUCAGCCGAUGGCGUUGCUUGCUAUAUUUUGGCCGAUGGAGUAAGAGGAACAGUUACAAUAUUUUUUUUAAAAGAAAGCAAGUAUCGGCAAGCAGUAGCCGAUGGAUUUGUAUUUCAGCCAAUGAGGUUUUUGUUUCAGCUGAUAGUACUGCUGGCUGAUGGCAAGUCCGAUGGAGUUAAAAUUGCAUCGACUGAUUGAAAUAAAAAUUAAGUAUCCGCUAAUUUAUGGCCAAGUAGCAUCUGCUGAUUUGUUGCAAAGUAGUUUCGGCUGAUUUAUGGCAAAAUAGAAUCGGCCGAUUUAUUGCUUAAAAUUAAGUAUCGGCUGAUUUAUGGCAAAGUAGCAUCAGCUGAUUUGUUAAAAAGUAGUUUCGGCUGAUUUAUGGCAAAAUAGAAUCGGCCGAUUUAUGGCAAAGAAGCCAAUAGACAAAAGCAUCGGCUGGUAGAGAAGCCGAUUGAGCAAGCAUCUGUUGAUGAGCUAUGUAUGGGAAAAAGUAUUGGCUGCUUAAACAAUUGACAAAAGCCAAUUGGUCAGACUAAGAAGCCAACUGGGAAAGCAUCGAUCGAUGGAUUGCGUAUGGGAGAGAGUAUCGGAUGAAGUCUUUAGUAUUGACUGCUAGAUAUUUGAGCAAGCGUCGGCCGAUUGCCUGCUUGGUAAAAAAAACAUCGGCCGAUUGCUUGGUUAAUAAAAAAAUUGCAUCGUUCAAGCAAAGAUUGCAUCGGCUGAUUGGUUCAAGCAGAAUAGUAUCGGCUGCUUAUAGAAUAUAUCGGAUAUUAAUUUCGAAGCAUGAAAAUAUUCAUACUCCGAAACUGGAGGGCCUGUGUUGACAAUAAAAGCUUGCUGGUUACUGCACCAAGUUUUGGUGUCAACAUACUUGAUCAUUUGUUUCCAUUGCCAGCGGAUUCAUCGGCUCAGAGUGGGAUCAAGACAUUAAGCUGAUGGAGUUCUUUAUAUUUCAAGAGGAGUCAUGGAGUUCUUUAUAUUUCAAGAGGAGUCGAUGGUGCUUUGUAUAUUGCAACCAGCUGAUGGAGUUCUUUAUAUUUCAAGAGGAGUCAUGGAGUUCUUUAUAUUUCAAGAGGAGUCGAUGGUGCUUUGUAUAUUGCAACCAGACGUCAUUGGCUCUAAAGAUACCGAAUCACCGGACUUCUAUGAUCAGUUUCGGAACAUGAAGCCUUCAUACUACGAAACUGGGGGCCUAUGUUGACACCGAAUCAUCGGACUUCUAUAAUUAGUUUUGGAACAUGAAGCCUUCAUACUUCAAAACUGGGGGGCCUGUGUUAACACCAAAAUUUAGAAAUGUGCUCUGAAAGGAAGGUAUCGACCGAUGAUGCAAAAAAAUAAUGAAAUCUACUAAAUAAGACUCAAGAAAGAAAAGCAAGAAAAGGAAAUCAACGCACACGGCAAGAAUUGAAUAAAAUAUUCUGGAGAUAGAGUUGGUUAGGAUAAGCUUGAUUAGAGAUAGAGUUGGAUUAGUUAGAGAUAGUAUUUUGAUUAGAAAAGAUUGUGUACAUGACUUGCCUUGUACGUGGUGCGUCAGAGGCCAUCCGCCCUAUAAAUAUAAGGGUCGUGGCCAUUGUAAUUAUCAUCACACCAUCAAUAUACAACAUAUUUAUCUUUUACCUUUUCGGCUUCACGCCAUUGCAUUAGGAGUAGGAGUAAUGUAGCUUCUCGACGAGUUCCUUCUAGCAAGCUGGGCUGCAUCGACUUCGAUCUUCGGUGAGCUGCAAGUUCCGUCACCAGGUGUUCUAGGCUUUAACCACCGGGCGCAUCGCUAUGGUUUCGUCUAGUUUCUUCUACCAGUUACCGAGUAUCUUGGAUCUUUGACUUACGGCGCAUCGCUUCUAUCUCGAUCUACGGUAUUCACCAGUUAUUCCGCCUUGAUUAAGCUUGCAUCGGCUGAUAUGUAUCUGUUCUUUCGUCUUGCCGUUCAAUUUGCUUUAGUUAGCUUUAGAUCGGUUCAUCAUAGACAAUAGAUCAUUUAAUAGCAUGUUGCAUCUUGAUCUUAGCUAUCCUUCGAGUGUUGUUGGGAGUAUGUUCCGUUGUGAUUGGAUCCAUCGGCUAGCAGGGUUUAGAUUAACGUCUUGCUAAAUAUUUCUAGACUGCAACUACCGGGCACAUUGUUGUGGUUUCACCUAGAGAUAUUGGUGGUGACGUUAGUUUAGAUCUCAUCGGCUUGUGGCUCUAGCUAUGGCAGGGCAACAACUCAACAUCAUCCUGUUUUCAAUCGACCGUCUAACUGAUAGUUAUUGUAAAUUAUAUUAAAUCGGCUGGAUGGCCGAUGAAUCACUCACAUUCAUCAAGGUACUGGAAUCGGCUUCACAGCCGAUAUAUUUGUCAUGAUUUAUUUUGUUGCACCAUUAUCGCUACUGUGCUAGGAUUAUAUCGGCCUAAUCGGCCGGUUUCCUCGGACUUCACAACGACUAUCAUCUCCUUGUCAGUUGAAUGGUCAAACUGACUGGCAUGCCCGCGCACACCACACGUGCCGAUUUGGAUUCUGCACUAGAGUUAAGCAGAUCUCCCAGGUUCUCAUGUGCUGAUGCAGGGUCCACCACCGCCAGGAUUUUGUGUCAACACCUUGUAAUCUUCCUUUGAUUUCCUCAAUGAUUCGAAGACAAUAACCUUGCUUCUAUCAAUGAUAAUUAUAAGGAGAACCUAGUGGAAACUGUGUAUUCAUAUUAGAACUACCUAUGGUUAAUUAGGUUAGGAAAGGAAAUCGAAAAUAGACCGUACCCACACUUACUUAAAGUUGUUGGGCAGUAGUAUGUAAUGCUUGUAAUUCUGUUACUCCAAGAAUUUGUAUAUGUAGUCCAAUGUAGACUUUGGUUGAUCCCAUAUUUGUUGUUGGUUAAAUAAGUGUUUCUAGCCAUUUCUAGCCGUUAGAACCGGAACUAAAGGGGGCUCUUUAGUACGGGUUGAUAUUACUAAUCGGGACUAAAGAGCCCCCAUUACAGUUGGUUUUUGGACGCGGAACUAACAACUCCUUUAGUCCCGAGUCCAAAAACGACUGAGAUAGAAGGUCCUUUAUCUACCGUGAAUAUUGCCAGAAAGAAUUGAAAGAGACCGCUUGCUAAAAAUAUGUCAUAGAUGCAGACCAAGCUACCAAGGAGGUAGACCAAACAUGAUACACACCAUGCGUACCUUGCUGUGCAGACUAUGCAUGGACAAGAUACCCGACCACAUGUUGGCCUCGAUCACAUCAAAAGAAUCAUGUAGGCCACCAAUAAACUACUUGAAGCGUCAUUCCGUAUCGUAUAUGCAUUGCCGGGUUCAUCUGCAUUACAUUACAUAAAGUAGUAUUAACUAUUUGAAUAAAAUGAAGCAAUUUAAAAGUAAUGUGUUGUACUCUACUAUAGAAAGCCCUAUCACUGUCGGAUCCAGAAACAUCAUUGUUGAUGGUUGUUAAGUACCAAGACGGUCAAUAUUCUCAAGAAUAAUGGAGAAUUGGCAUUUCUUACACACAUAUUUGGUUUUGAACAAUGUAGUUCCACAUGUCCUUGGAGAUUAUUUGGGUGUGGGUGAAAUGAUACAAAAAGAAGGAGAAAACACACUCCCAUGGCGAAGAAACACAACUCCGACCAAUGAGAGAUAGCCACAGGGGCAGCACACGGAUCCAUGGGCCCACAAUCCGCAUCAAACUGUCUUACCAAGGCGGGUAGCACCCACAACCAUGAUUAGGACCCACCUGGAUGUCUACCAAGAAGAAGGUUGUGAGUGGGGCCAGGAGGGGUUCGGCUGAAUCAUCUCUAGCUCCCCUCAUCCCCAGCUGGUGCGUGGCGGUGGUUGAUGGUGUCCCUACAUCGGUUAAAGGAGAUUCCCCCAAAUAUUCCUCUUGUAAACCACCUGUAUGGACCUAUACAUAGAGGGGUGUGCUCUCCAGUCCAACACACACCACAAGUUUAAUCACUCUCUCCCUCUUUAGUUUCCAUGUUUAUGGAGUUAGGCUAGAGUAGCUCUGCUCAAGGUUCCAAGUCCACUUGGAGUUAAGCAUAUGUCUCUUGUAUCGUUAUUUCCUAGAUUGACUUUAUGCUUAGUUCUUAUAUGCAUGAGUUAGUCUAAUAGCCUUGCUCUAUUGAUAUGCUCGGCUUAUAUGCUCAUAUGCUAGUCAUAUACCCUUGCUGCCGUAGUAUAGGCUUAUAUGCUCUCAUGUGUGCCUUUAGACCUUGCUACAGUAUAUACUUGUUGUGUAUACAUACCAUGUAUAGGCUAGUCGAUCUUUACCAUGGCAUUGGUUCAAUAGCCAUGUUUUUGGUGGCUCCAACCCUAGUCACAAUAGCUCGGGACAGCUGGAGUGUUGUUAAAAAUGCAAGAGUGAUGGUUGGGUUGUUUAGCAUCGUUGGAUAUGGGUUUUCCCCACGGGUUUCUAAGAGUAGGCGGCAGCUAGUGACAGCCCUGUCCGUCCUUCGUAAUCCCCCCCACAUUCAAGUACGCCAUAGAAAUUCAUAAAUUAGCAGUAACUACACCGGCAGACCGGCAGGAUAUUGUCUCCCUAUAGUACCUUGGUGCAUAGAACUAGGUCAUAUACACUGUGUGUCUAUGUUUACGCUGAUAUGAUCUGUGCAGUAUAUAGGAUGUAUAUAUGAACCUAGAGCUAACUCCUAGUCCAUUCUCCGUAGCUUAGUUAUCUUGAGAUGAUUCUUCUGUGUGUGUAACACUACCCAUCUUAUCAUUAUCCUUAAUCCUAUCUUGUGUAAUAUAUCUACUCAUCCUAUGAUAUACUCAUAUGCAUAGUAAACUAUUUUGACCUACCUGCCUUCUUUUGGGAAAUACGAUACCCUGGAAUAAUCCUAGGUGAAAUGCUACAACGGUAUAUCCAUGUGCUUGCGGAAUUAUUCAUGACCAUUAAAUAUACCAACAAUGAUCACUGUCGGUUUUGGGCAUCGUUAGUGAAGCGUCGGCAGUGAUGGGCAUCCCCUUCACCAAUGGAGCUGGAACCGGCGGUGAUGGCCAUUAAAAAAAAUGGGACCCCACCCAGCGUACCCUGCGACCCGGCCGGCCGCGCCUCCCAUCAUCCCCGCCGGCCGCCCUUCCUCUUUGCUGGCCGAGCAUGGUUCCGGCCCUCAUCCCUACCGCCUCGCCUCCAUCGCGACCCCCUGCCGAUGUCCUCAUGCCUGGCCCCCCUCGUCUGGCCGGCCACCCUCCCGAUGCAUCCACCGGGGCCCUCGCACCACCAACCACCCUAGCCGAGAGAGAGAGAGAGGAGGGAGGUGAGGCCACACACCUCGUCCUACAACGCCGCUGUUGCUCCUCGGCCCACCGCGCCUCACCCCACACCACAGCCACGCCUCGCCAUCUUACCGGCCGCGACGCCCCAUCUCACCGGCCACCGUUCCUCAACCCCACAUCGGUCAUUGCUGCUCCUUUCCCUACUGCUGCUCUUUGCCGCCGCGAAUGAGGGGCGAGUGGAGGGGGAGGGGCGGGGCAGGAGGAGGGCAAGAUCCGGGAGGAAGGGAGAGAUUUUGGGAGGUGGAGAUGGAAGGAUAUGGCGGAAGGUAGAGAUCCAGAGGGAGAGAGCGGGGGAGAGAGGGGGGCAUGUGGGGAGAGAGCGCAUGUGGGGUGGGGCCGGGCUGGUGGGAUGGAAGGUAGAGGGGCCGGAGGGCGCAGUGCAUUCAACUGGAUUAAGUAAAUAUUUCGGAUUCGAGACCCCAGCUUUAUUAUCACCGCUGGUCCGUAGUACCAUUCGGUGCUGGCUCAUAAUUUAAUUUGAACCGGUGGUGAUGUUUUAUUAUCACUGCUGGUUUCAAUUUUCACCAUCGGAUCAUAUAAAAAUCCGGCGGUUAAAAAUCCGCUGGUUUCGAUGAAAACCGACAGUGAUAGGACGACUGUGAUAGUCUCUUCUCUAGUAGUAGUAUAUUAGUACCGGCUGCCGGAUGGUGUUGCCGACGAGUACUUCUCCAGGGGCGAUUCAGUACUGAUGUUAGCAAAGCAUGUUCUCUAUGAAUUUGGGGGAUGGAAAGCUAGUUCUCUAGUUGUGAUUUGUUACAUAUAUCUCUAUGAUAGUCUAGAAAUUGCAUGUCCUUCGUUGACAUAGUUGAAGCUGCUUCAAGAAUUUACUUCGUGCAGUCGUGCAGCAUAUUGGAUUAUCACCUAGACAGGAUACAUAGGUGAAGCAUUGGAUGUGAUUGUGGCUGAUAAUUAUGCAGGACGCUGUUGCAAUCAACCAUCAAGAAGACUGGAGCGAUGGGGUUGCCUCAUCAACAAUUUUUAUAUAUGGCUGCAGUAUUAUUAAGCCCACGUCAAUAAUUUUUUCUCCGCAGCAUAUAUAUGGUUACUCAGUUCGCUGGAGUAUCGCUGUGGAAAAACAUACGUACUGCGCCUCGGAACUAACUGGCAUUCAGGCCAUCAACGACCAGAUAUUUGGGACAACAAACAAAUAGUAGGUGGUUCCUAAGUUGUAGUCGUAUGUACUAAUGCGCCUCGAUGGGGUUUUCUUCAGAUAUUUUAUUGCCGUUCAAUGAACAAGCAGAUACAUAACCUGUGCAGAAAAUUCCAUCUCCACGCAUGCCACUGCACCAACAAGAUCCUCAGUCGACGAUGAUGGCUCAGCCUGUUCCUUCUGCCACCAAAUCCUCAAUCUUCCCUCCAGCAACGGAGAAUGCACCUUUAGUACCUUCAGUAUCAGAUGUUGCAAUCGGUACCGUGAAACCGAGACUAAAAUCCUUACUUUGCAGGGGGCAAAACAAUCUUGCAAAUAUAUAUUUUGAAUUCCAACAAAAUUUAAGAAAUGUUAAAGAUGACUAGCUGAGAGUCAACAGACAAGAUAUGAUAUUAGGAAUGUGGGAGGAUGAAUGCAUUUGUACAGGGGUCAUACUAUUUCCAGACUCUUCUAUAUUUCCAUAUGACUACCUACUUCAAUGUCACGCGAGCCAUUCAAAAACAUACAUGGUACACUUGUAUGUCUAAUCCAUUAUUGAUUAUUUCCUCUUGUCAUCUCUUACAAGUAUUUCUCCAUACUAUAGAAACGUGCAACACAUUUUUAGGAUAUGGACACGCAUGAUUAAUAUGCUUGGACUAGUAUACAGGUCAUCUUUGGAUGAGUACAUAUGAAUGCCAGGGAGGGACUGAUGGAUAUAAGGAAAAGGGACCAUGCAUAAAUAAUGACAUAUGUCACAUGGCAAUCUUCAUUGCCAUGCAACUCCUAUCAACAAUCAUGGAAUACAUACUACUGCUCCAGAAGGGUGGUGUGCAAAUUUAUUUUACCUCGCGGUGAAAAUCUCCAGAGCAGGCCUGAAGUUAAAAUAAGAGGAGGCAGUCACUAUCGAUCAUGACAGUCUCGAAACUGUACAGCACUAUGCUAGUCCUAGUCCUCAUGUCGUUCGUGCUGUCGUGUAGCAUGAUGGAUUAUUAACUGGGCAGGACACGGAGAUGGCUAGCGAUGACAGAGGAUGACGUACAUGAUAUUCACCUCUGAAAUGAAGCGUAGGCUAAUGAAGCACAAUUGCAUGUGAGUGUGGCAGAUAUUUAUACAGGACAGUGAUUGCAAUAAUCGACCAUCGAGAUCGAAGACAGGGGCGAUGGGCUUGCCUCAUCAAUAAUUCGCGCAACCAGACAAGCUGCAGACUCAAUAUGGUACGAAGCUAGUUGGUCAGCCCACAUGCUCUGAUAUAACAUUGGCAUCUGCUGAUCUACAGUAUAUAUGACCAGAAAUAUUGUGCCACCUCAAUAAUUUUCUGAAGUAUCGUGGGGAAGAACCUACUCGUACUAUGCCUCGGAACUAACUGACAUAUCGGCCUAGGCGGUCUAGGCCGAUUGGACUGGCUCUUCCUUGUGGCUUCUCACGUCCCCUUCGUUCCUGAGUAAUCUCAGGUGUUCUGGAGUUUUCUUUUCACUUGCAUGUGGGUCUCAUAUAUCAAUAGCUUCGGGAUAAGAAUGCCUCUUGAUAACCUUCCAAAUCGUCGCUUGAUUCACUUUGAUUCCAAAAUCAUCUUGCCAUAGAGACUUAGGCCCUAAGGCAUCAUGGAGGAUUGCUCGCCAAGAAUGAGCACCAUUGGGCUCCUGAGGACCCUAGGCCGAUCAGCCUGUGCUCUAUAGGUCAAUUGGCCCAGGCCCUCUCUGAGCCCAUUGGCCUUCAUCUUUCUCUGAGUCGACGCUUAUUCAGGGCUUUGUCCAAUUAUAGUCCAUUAUAGUCUAAUUUCCUAAAAAACAGAAUAUCCUCCAAAAUACAAUACAUAUGUGAAAACAACCCAAUUAUUAGGUAUGAUCAAUAGUCUAGGUAUUAAAUUAAUAUUAUUAUUUAAGAUAAAUAGGGAUAAAGGGUGUCAUUAAUAACGAGCACCAACCAGCGUGCCAGCUGUUAACACUAACCGAUGCUAAUAUGUAACCUUUAGUACCGGCUAUUUCACCCGGUACUAAACGAGACAAGAGCACCCUAACAGAAGGUUAAUAUCAUCCAUUUCAUGAGUAAAAUACUAUGAUUCAAAAAUAAUUCAAAUCCCUUAAGACAAUACCUAUCAAAUGAGUAGAUUGUAAAUAGAGUAAUAUUGAUCAAACAAUGUCCUAAUGAAACGGAACACUUCUGGUUCGUGUAGAGCACAAUAUAGAAAACAGUAGGGUAGCUGUACGAUUGACACGUGGUCCAUUAAUUAUUGAGCCAUCACUAUGGACAUGUCUUCAUGAGUAGUGUACUAGUCAUGAUACAUGGUAUGUAGUAGGUGGAGGUAUUGAGUUAGCCAUGCCAUGAGCACUUAGUUAGAACAAACACUUUGCCAUUAUCGAGCAUCCCAAAUCACUACAAAAUCCAUAGUUUACCAUAUACUACAAAAUCUGAGUUAAAAUAAGAGCAUACACGGAAGAGUCCGAAUGCACCGGUUUAGGACCAGGCACAUUGAAUUACUAGAAAAAGUUAUCGGACAAGGUUUUGGGUAACCGCAUGAAAAAUAUUGGAUUUUACUGAACACUUAGUUACAAUUACCAUACCGUGAGCACUUAGUCACCACAAACAUUUAACCACUUUAGAUCAUCCUGCAUCCCUAUAAAUUUUGUACCUUACACCGUACCAUGAAAACGACAAGAACAGAGACAGAUGCAGUGAAAAUCUCCAGAGCAGGCCUGAAAUUAAAAUAAGAGGAGGCAGUCACUAUCGACGAUCAGGACACGGAGAUUGCUAGCCAUGACAGAGGAAGACAUGAUAUGAUAUUCACCUCUGAAAUGCAGCGUAGACUAAUGAAGCACAAUUGCAUGUGAGUGUGGCAGAUAAUGGACCAUCGAGACCAUCGAAUGGUAUGAAGCAUGAUUAUCACCUAGACAUGAUAUCCUAGACAGGACGGUGAAUUGUAAAAAGAGUAAUCUUGAUCAAAGAAUGUCCUAAUGAAACGGAACAUUUUUGGUACGUGUAGAGCACAAUAUAGAAAACAGUAGAGUAGUUGUACGAUUGAAACUGCAUCCAUCCACGUGGUCCAUGAAUUGUUGAGCCAACACUGUGGACAUGUCUUCAUGAACACCAUCUAGUGAGGACAGCAUGCAGAAAAAUAUAAAACAUGUCAUAGGGAGGCAGACCAAUCUUGCAAGGAGGUAGACGAAACGUGAUACACGACCUGCCUACCUUGUCGUGGAUACCCCAAGAGAAGAUGUCAUAGAGGUGCAGACCAAGCUAGCAAGGAGGUAGAUGAAACGUGAUACACGGCCUGCCUACCUUGCCGUGGAUAUUAGCCCUGAUAUCAUUCUAUUGUUCAAGGAAUAACACUCAAUGCUGCUGCUGCUGCUGACCUGGCUCCAUAAAGUUAUAUUCCUCUAGCCGCUUGCACUAACUUUAUCUAAGUAUUAUUCUCUCUGCACUAAUAUGUCUUGGAACUAACAGACAUUGAUUCACAGACAAACUCUACAAGGUGCUGUUGUCCCAAAGGACUAUAAAUAAUAUAGUUUACCAUAUACCGUAUACCAUUAUAUGUUAGCUAAAAUAAGAGCAUAACAUGUCGUAGGAGUCCAAAAGCACCGGUUGAGGACAAGGUAUAUUGAAUUACUAGAAAACGACAGGGGACAAGGUUUAGGUAGCCACAUGAAAAACAUUUGAAUUUACUGUUCCAUUAACACUUAGUUACCAUGCCGGGAGCACCUAGUUAACACUAACAUUUAGCCACUUUAGAUCAUCCCGAAACACCAAUGACCCUCAAUAGCGACAAAUUUUGGUUUAAAUGCCGUCACCAAUGAUCCUCAAUAGUGACGUGUUUAGGUUUAAAUCCCGUCACUAAUAACCCUUGGUAGUGACGUGUUUUGGUUUAAAUCUCAUCACCACUGAUCCUCAAUAGUGACGUGUUUUUAGCAACACACUUUAUGAUUGACUUGUCAUUGGUGACAUGUUAAACGCGUUAUCUCAGUGGCAAAUCAUUGGUGACGUGUUUUAAAAAAAAUGUCACUGUGAGAGUUAUUCGUGAAGGGUAAUUAAAAUGCAUUACUAAUUUUGUAGCAUUAGUUAUGAUAUAAUUUAGUAACGCAAAAAUCUACCAUAGUAAUGAGGUUUAGAGCCGUCGCUAAUCUGGGUUUCUUACGUAGUGAUUCAAGCUCUAAAAGGUGCUGUUGUUGCCAUUUUAAAGCAUCCCAAAUGACUACAAGUUAAUAGCAUAGUUUACCAUAUACCAUAAAAAUAUUAGUUACAAUAAGCACAUACGCAUGUGGAAGAGUACGAAUGCACCGGUUGAGGACUAAACACAUUGAAUUACUAGAACCAAAUGUAUGUCCAGAACAAAGAAAGGGGUCAAGGUUUGGGUAACCGCAUUAAAAACAUUAGAUUUUACUGUACCAUGAACACUUAGUUACCAUUACCAUGCCUUGAGCACCUAGUUACCACAAACAUUAAUUUAGCCACUUUAGAGGUUCCUGAAUCACUAUAGAUAAUAUACCAACACCGUACCAUGAAAACAUCAAGAAGAGAGACGGGUACAUGGACCACCAUCAAGUGAGUAGUGACAGCACGCACAAGAAUACCCGGAACCUGUUAGCUUGUCUAUAGUGAUCUGUUUUCUUCCCCAUAAAAUCCAUGAGUAUUGCCACAAAUAAUGAAAGAGGCUGACCAAGCUAGCAAGGAGGUAGAGCAAACGUGAUACACGUAGGUUUCAUUCAAGACAUCCAUGUAAGUUUCAUUCAAAACAUUCAUGGAAAUUUCUUGUAAGUUUUCAUGUAAAUUUCAUUCAAGACAUUUCUUAGAGGUGUUGUAUAUAUACCUUAACGUACAUAUAUCUAUGAUUUCAUGGUUGUUAGUGAUGGCAGAUGAGGAGCAUGCAAAGUAUUUAAUGGAGCAGAUUAUUGCUAGUGGUAGUAGCUCCAACCUGCCCGUAACGUACACCAACGAAGAGAGCAGCCAGGCGGACAUGUUCCUCAACAUAUCCGGUGAUGGCAAUGAAGAGCCCGAGCAAAAAAUUGCCGUGACGGAAGGUUCCAGUGAGGUAUAUAUCAUUUCCAUUGUUUUACCCCAUCUAUAAUUUUAUAUUCAUUAUUACUAUGUACUAAUUAAUGGAUCUUGAACCGUUAGCCCUCUAGAUCAACGAACCGAAAUAAGUCCCGAGGUCUUACAAAGAUAAUGCAGGGAAGGCUUCACAUCACGGAAGUCACAGAAGAGGGCACAUCAGUUGCUCCCGAACAUGUGGCAAGAAAGUACGUGAGUCAAACCAGGCAAUGUGCCCAUCAGCAUUAGGGAAUGAAAGGGCAAUAGAAAUGAUCUAUACGCGCCCCCGGAUACACAAAAGGAUAUGCUGUGGGCAAAUAUCAAGAAACACUUCACAUUUCCCAAACGAUAUGUUGAAAAAGAUGUGAAAGCAUGGAUGCUGAAGAAGAUGGCCACCCAAUUCCAGACAUUCAAGAAGAUGUUGGAUGCCAACUUCAUCAAGAAGGGUCGAACUCCGGGUUUCGAUGAGUGAACAAAGUUAAGGGACCACUAGGAGUCAUUUGUCAAAUACAAGACGAGUGAAGGUGGUGCGAGUAAGGUUCGCAUCAAUGUUGCCAAUGCUAGCAAGGAGUACCAUCAUCAUCUAGGGCGAUGUGGUUACAACACUGCAAUUCCCAGAUGGCGCAAGAUGGAACAAGACCUGAUCGAUCGGGGUAUCGUCCCAGCAACUCUUGACUGGCCUGAUCGAUUGAAAAAUUGGUAUUAUGCUCAUGAAGGCAAUCUGAGCCAACAGGAUGCGACAUUGGUCUUCAAUAAAACAAUACGUCAGAAGGCCGGAAGGCUUAUUAGGAACAUUGAAAAUUCUAAAUCUGGGAGGUUCAAGGUGGAUAGAGAGAAUGAUGAGCUCACAUUGGCCCUUAGGACUGUCAUCUCUAGCACUUCCAGCUCCAGGACUGUCGUCACCACCGGGACCAUCGCUUCUUGCUCGAUCACAGUCUCCAUCUCCAGCACAUCCAGGUGGUGCGAACGAUGACGACAACAACACCCCUCCCUGCCCACCAUCGCCGGGACUAAGACCCGCAUCGAGUAAGGAACCUGCAGCACCACUGAAGAAGUCGCGACCACCGCCUUCCAAGCCAAGUCAGCAAAAGAAGAAAGCAGAGAAGCCUAAGCCCACUGAGAAGCCAGCAACCGAUAUGACCGAUGCGGAAAGAUGGAAGGCACUCAAAGAAGAAUGCAGGGAGUGGUUCAGAAAAAGGACCAAAGAAAGAAAAGGAAAGCAGAUGGAGCCACUGCCAGUAGAUCCAAGAAAAUUAUAAUUUUUUAUUAAGAUGUCAAAAGGAGCCAAGAAGAUGAUUCCACAACUAUCAAACUACGACCGGACCUUAGUCAAGGCUGAUGAGAGUUAAAAAAGGAAAGGAAAGUCAUCUUCAAGUGGUACUGUCCCCCACCUCGAGGAUCUACCAGAAAAAGACGCUAAAAAGAUAGUAGCAAUGCUCUUGGAUCAACAAACACAUAUAUCGUGAGAUUCAUGCAAGAAACAGGUAUGUGCCUUACUGAAUGUCUAGGGCAAGUUGAUAUGCUAGCUCUAGAGCCAUUUGUACCGAAAUGGACCUUUGAGCUAGGCAAGCCUCUAGUAAGGCCUGAGUUGGUACAGAAGCUAUCCACAUAGCUGUAUGAAUACCAUGAAUGGUACAUGAAGUAGUCUGCCAAUGAGAGGGAAAUGUUCGGUCUCGGGGAAAAACUGAUAAUUUUUUUCGGCGAAGGCAAGAAAGUCUUGUGGAUGGAAUUCAAGGAUAUAUAUGAAGUGUACCAUCAGGAUGCCCUUGAUGUCUCUCUCAUCAGCGCCUAGGUUAUGUAAGUGUAUGUUUAUCUAUACGUAAUUUUUGUCUCAUAUCAUUAUUUCUUUUGCGUGCGUCACCCUACUAACUUCGUCUUCCAUUUUAUGUAGGAUGCUAAUUCAGAUGUGCCGCAUAGAAGCGCACUUCCAUGUUGGCUUCAUGGAUCCAUCCCUAGUUAACCAAAAGCAGAUACGGAAGUAGCUAGAGAAAAUGUUGGAGGUGGUAUACAACUUCCUGGACAAACAAAACUAUAGAAUAGGGGCAAUAUGUGAAGGUCUUGUAGGAUUCCUAGUGGACGAGGUGAUAAAUCCAUAAGGAGAAUAUCAUUACAACGGACGAGCAUUAGACACACUGAGCAACACCUAGACGGGAGGAUCCUAGGAAUGACCUGGACAGAUUUUGGUAUAAAUAGUAAUUGUGUAAAUACUAGUUUGAUUUGUAUAGGAAUAUACUAAGAAUUGUAUAUAUAGUAAUUGUACAAAUACUAGUUUGAUUUGUAUAAAUACUAGAUUGAUUUUAUUAUAAAAAAGUUUUAAGUCGUACGUGCAUGCGCCUACAAAGGCGCGUAUGCCCUUUAAUCCCGGUUGGAAAAACAAACCGGUACUAAAGGGGCUCGUGCCCCACCUGGCAUGACCACCCCUUUAGUCCCGGUUGAACGACCCAGGACCAAAGAUCUGCCCCGUCUCAUAAAUUUUAUCCCGGAUGCUUUUUAGAGAGAUUUGAGGCCUAUCAACCAAGACUAAUAUCGAGUUUUCUACCCGUGGAACUAACUAACGUUCACAUGCUUUUGACAUUCACCUGCCAUUUGGUGUAGACAAGGGCACCCUAACAUAUGGUUAAUAUUAUUCAUGAAAGAAAAUCCUUUGAUUCAAAAAUACUUCAAACCUAAUAAUACAAUACUUCUCACGUCUGAAAAAUAUGAGAUGGCCCGACAGUAUUCUAACCGACGCAAUAAUAUUUUGAGGGCAGCACUACUACAGCGACCUUCAUUCGUGCCGGUGCUGGGACCCCUAUCACGACCCUGAUACAAAUGAGGGUACAUUAUUGUUGCCAGUGCUAGAAUAGCCACGAAUAACUUGCUAAACAUGCUGUUACACUCACUACUAGAAAAAUAACCUCUCGUCCUGAGGCUUAGUACCGGUCACUUUUUUGCCCAGUACUAAUGUUAGUAUUAGUACGGGAUCCAAAUUUGGGAUCCCCCAGAGACCCUUUAGUACCAGGUGGAGUCUCCACCCGAUACUAAAGGCUUUGUUACCGGGUGAAGGAUCCUCCCCGUACUAAUGGGGGAUUUUUAGUACCGGGUGGGAACCCCACCCGAAACUAAAAUCUCCCGUGCGGACCCCUCCCCCCCCCCACGCGUUGCCUCUCUCCUCCCUCCUCCUCCUCUGAGUAGUUAUCCCUUCCUCAUCCCUCCUCCUCCUCCCACACGUGGGGCGAGGUGAGGUGGCAGUAGCAACGACUAGUGGUGUGGCGGGUCGCGGCGGGCCGGAUGCGGAGCGGCAACGGUGGUCGGCGGGAUGGGGNNNNNNNNNNNNNNNNNNNNNNNNNNNNNNNNNNNNNNNNNNNNNNNNNNNNNNNNNNNNNNNNNNNNNNNNNNNNNNNNNNNNNNNNNNNNNNNNNNNNAACAUCGACAAAACAUAUAAACCCAGCUCAGUAGCUCAAGCAUCAACUAAAACUGCUGAAUUAAAAUAACAUAACAUUGUGUAGUUCAUCAUGAUGAUAACUAACAGAACCGAAAAGCCUAACUGGGUAAAAGAGCAAUUCGUUCAUAAUGCUUCAGCACUUACAUCACCGGAGUAUGCAACUGGCGGCGUCGCUUACGUCACCAUCACCGCACUUGGCGAGUAAAGGAGGAAGAGGUGGCAUAGUAAUCGAAGAGGAGGCCGCUGCCGGCGGGUUUAGACUACGUGGAGGUGUGGGUAGGGUUAAGGUGGCUCUGUGGACGAGUAUAUAUAAGAGGUCUGGGCUUGUUAGAAUAAGAUAACAUUCUAACUGGCCAAAUUCGGAUCCGGUUAGAAUAAAUUGUUCUAACCAGCCCUAAUUCGAGGUGGUAAGGAUAAGUUAACAUUCUAAUCAGCUCUAUUUGGAGCCCGAUUGAAUGUUCUUGUUAUUCAAAAAAAGAUCAAGUUCAUCAAUUUUUUUCUAGAAAAACAUCAAGAUAAUUUAAACACGAUAUAUAACAAGAUUAAUACAUUUAAAAAUUGUUUUCUCCAAUAAUUAACGAUAUUUAACAAAUUCAAAAAAAAUCCAAAUUAACAGAACACAAUAACCAAUUGUUCGAAAAAAUCAAAAUAGUCCACACAGUAUCAUAUUACAAAUUCAGAAAAAUAUCAAAAUAAUCCCUGAUCCACUCGAUACCGUCGUAGAACUUUGAAAUACUGAGCUUCUUGAUUCAUCUGAGGUCCACGUACUCGUCUCAGUAACACUAGUGGUGGCCAUGCAUCUUGUAGAUGUCUUCUAACGAAUCAAGCUUGACAUACAAGGUCGUGCCUUUCGCUCCUUGAGGAUUGCUUAUGACGUUUCUGCAAAUAACGAAGCAUUGCUUUCUCCAACAUGCUCAUUUUCUUCGGCUUAUCCCAAGGGACAACUAUGGUUUUCCCCUUGCCGGAAGAGGAACGAUGAUCGCCCCCACCAUCGCCACUUCCUCCAGUAGCAGAAGCCAUCUAUGUACAAAAAUUCAUACCUUAGCACUACAGAACUUGUUGAACUUGAAGACUGUGAUCAUUAGGCGAGCAUGUUCUCAACUGGGCGGCACCGCACUUCGUCAUGGAAGAGCUUCGAUUUUACAAAAAAGGGGACAUGAUCUUCCAUGAUGUCCGUAUCCGCUCUUUCUCGUAUAAUCAGAGCUCCUCCUUAACAUACGAUGCUGCUCGGCGAAGAACAUGCUCACCGAGAUGAACACGGUAUGCAAGUUCAACAAGUAUGGAUUUGAAAAACCAUAUUGAAUUUGACAAGACAAACUAUCUAGACAAGGGUAGCAUCAUUCUUAAACCACUGCAAGGAUACGUACUAUAUAUGACACAUCAAUCUCCCUCACAUUCUAGCUCAAAAUACCUCUCCAUUUUCUACUUCACAUUCUAGCAAAUAAACUAUCUAUCUCCAUUCUACACAUCAAGUUGUUUUAACUAAUACAAAUCGUAUAUAACAAGCAAACUAUCCAUCACAUUCUAGCUCAAAAACAUGUAUAAAUACAAAUCCUCUUCAUUCUCCCUCUUUCUAACAAACAAACUCAUUUUUCUCCCUCUCUAAAGCAUAAAUUAAAGCGUAACAUGAGGAUGAGGUAGCAAACCUUCACAACACAUUGGAUGAGUGAAAUUCCCACGAAAAUGAGGGAAAAAAAUUCGGGCAGCACCUCCCUUGCUUCGGCACCUCUAGAGAGUAGGUGAAGCUCAGUUCUCUAUUUUUGUGGUGGACUGGCUUGGGCUGGAGGAGGAAGAAAGGCCUCUAUCUUGGUAUAUAAUGGGGGAUGAGUUUUUAUCCCAGUUAAAAGCUCCAACCGAGACAAAACGGCCAAUCUUUUGUCCCGGUUGGAGCCUCCAACCGGGACAAAAGGGGCACGCCAUCGACGCCCGGGAACUAGCCGUUACAACCGGGACUAAAGGGGGGCCUUUAGUCCCGGUUGCAAAUACCAACCGGGAUUAAAUCUCCCCUCCAUUUUUGCCUACCGUGGUGCGCCCCCUUUUAUCCCGGGUCAACUUUAAACCGGGAUAAAAGGGGGCGUAUCGAAGAUCAGUUCUCUACUAGUGACCCCUCCCCACCUAUCUCUCUCCCUCCAUGCUCCUCGAUCUGUGCCUCCCCUCCCCUCCCCUUCCACUCGCCCCUCACCGACGGUAAGGAGCAGCGGCGGGGCGAGGUGAGGUGGCGGCAGCAAUGGCAGGUCGUGGGUCGCAGCGGAGCGGCUACGGUAGGCAGCCAGACGGGGCAGAGCGGCGGGGCGGGGUGGAGGCGGAGGCGGCGGUUAGAGGCGGAGCGGCGAGGCGGAGGCGGAGGUGGAGGCGGAGUGGUGGGACGGCAGGGCCGGGCGACUAGUAUAGGUGGGCGGGCGGAGGGCGGCGACGGUGGAGCGGGCGGAGGCAGAGGGGCAGUGGGGGCUGCCGGCGGGGGGUGCGGUCGGGGAUUUCAAUUUUUUUUUAAUUUUUUAACACCUUUUAGUCCAACUAGUUCUAAAGGGACCCCUCUAGUAUCAAAAUUGCUAGUACCGGUUGCACAACCGGUACCAAAAGGGUUCCUAACUGGUACUAGAGCCACUUUCCCUGGUAGAGACUUUUUUACCGGUUAGAAUAUGUUAUUAUUUUAAUCAGCUUUCGCUGAUCGCCAGUAUGAUUUAGUACCUAAUUUUACUGGCGAUUGUUACCGCUGACACGGAUUGGGUAUAGUCCUAACAGUGUAUAACUACGGCACUACAUUUGUUAACCUAUAACUACUUGUAUCGAUUAGCCCUGGUUAGAAUACUGUCAAGGCAGCCAGAAAUUUUUUUUUUGCCAAUUCUGCUAUCCAUGAGAUCCAUGACUAGUACCGCAAUGUAAUGAAUGAACUGCACAAAUAACUGAUGCACACAAAGGAAUAUGCACUUGCACGCUAGACGUUCGUAACAACAAAUUACUCUCAUCACCAAUUGAACAUAAUAGAUUAAACAUUAACCGAACAGAAUUCAACACGUACAUCAACACGACAAAGCAGUUUAAACAUCAACUGAACAGAACUGAACACAUACAUCAACUGAUGAUAAUUAUCGACAUCAACAGAACACAUGAACAUCAACAUCAAUAGAACUUAAUAGAGCAUAUUAAACAACAACAUCGACAAAACAUAUAAACCCAGCUUAGUAGCUCAGGCAUCAACUAAAAUUGCUGAAUUAAAAUAACACAACGUAGUGUAGUUCAUAAUGCUUCGGCGCUUACACCACUGGCCGGUCGCUUACGUUGGCAUCACCGCGCUGGCUGAACCUCCGACACCCCCACCACGGCAAACGGAGGUGAUGGCGGAAGGUGAGGCAACGACAGUAGCUGGUGAGCUCCCGCUCCAAUGUCUCGCGAGUGAAGGAGGAGGAGGUGGCAUGGGAAUCGAAGAGGAGGCCGCCGCUGGCGGGUUUAGACUACGUGGAUGUGUGGGUAGGGUUAAGGUGACGGUGUGGACUAGUAUAUAUAAGAUGUCUGGGCUUGUUAGAAUAAGAUAACAUUCUAACCGGCCAAAUUCGGACCCGGUUAGAUUAAAUUGAUAUUCUAACCGGUCCUAUUUCUAGGUGGUAAGAAUAAGUUAACAUUGUAAUUGGCUUUAUUUGGAACCCGAUUGAAUCUUCUUGUUAUUCAAAAAAACAUCAAGUUCAUCAAUUUUAAUCCAGAAAAACAUCAAGAUAAUUUAAGCACGAUAUAUAACAAGAUUAAUAAAUUUAAUAAUUGUUUGAUCCACAAAUUAAUGAUAUUUAACAAAUUCAAAAAAUCCAAAUUAACAGAACACAAUAACCAAUUGUUCAAAAAAAUCAAAAUAAUCCACACACAUUAAUAUAUUACAAAUUCAGAAAUAUAUCAAAAUAAUCCCCGAUCCACUCGAUACCAUCAUAGGACUUUUAAAUACUGAGCUUCUUGAUUCGUCUGAGGUCCACGUACUCGUCUCAGUAACACUAGUGAUGGCCAUGCAUCUUGUAGAUGUCUUCUAACGAAUCAAGCUUGACGUACAAGGUCAUGCCUUCCGCUCCUUGAGGAUAACCAUCUUUGGUGAUCUUGAAAUGGCAGACGGUGGAUGUGCCAAAGGUACGUAACGAUCCUUCUAAAUGUAUGCCACCACAACUUCCGUCUGAUCGCCAUGGGUGACACCAAGAAGAGCUACCAUGCGGCAAGGGACGAACAAUUUAUCAAUUAGUGCCGCUGUCCAUUCGCCAUCAUCUAAUCCAGCCAUAUCUUGAUGUAUAUUUAAGUAUAGAAAUUAAGAUUUAAAAAUAAACAGAAUAAAUUGAGAUCGACUAUGUAUGUAUAUCAGAACAUUAGCUUUUGGAAAAAGGGCUUCGAUGGAAGAGAGGCACGGGGCAUAGAGACAACAACGAGUGACAAUAUGUCAGAAGAAUACCCGAUCACAAUUAUUGGCUACAGGACGGGCACACACAGCCGAUAUUUACAGUAGUCAAUACCCCUGGUAAAUAACCACACCAUCAAGAGUAAAUAGUGACAAUAUGCAGUAUAUACACGACAUAGCCUUGGUUGCCGUGGAAGCGCCAGAAGGGAGACAAAUAACAGGGACCACAACAUCAAGUAGAUAGUGACAAUAUGCAGAAGAAUACCCGCGCCUGUUAGCAUGUGUGAACUGACCACACCACGAAACGUGAUACACGGCAAGCGUACCAAGGCCUUGCUGUGCAGACUAUGCAUGGACAACACAUGGUACCUGACCGCUUUUGGCCUCAGACACAUCGAAAAACUGCAUCGUUCCACGUUGUACAUCCAUUGCUAGUUUAUCUAUAUUACAUAAUAUAUUAUUAGCUAUUUGAAUAGAAUGAACCAAUUAAAAAAUUGCGUUGUAUUUUAGUACCGGCUGCAGGAUGGUGUUACCAACCAGUACUAAUUGGCCUGUAGGAGUGAUGGUUAUUAGACUUGGUACUGUUGUUAGCAUCAUUAACCUAAUUGUGCGCGGUAUGAAUUUGGGGAUGCAAAGCUAGCUCUCUAUGAAUGUGAGGGAUGGAAAGCUAGUUCUCUAGUAGUAAUUAGCUAUAUAUAUAUGUCAGUCAAGAAAUCGAACACUAUGCUGCUACGAGUCACCAUCAUUUCCUUCAUUGACAAUCUGACAUAGGUGAAGCUGCUUCAAGAAUUUCCUUCGCGCAGUCGUGGAGCUUAUUGGAUUAUCACCAGGACGGGACACGGAAAUGGCCAGCAAUGAAGCUGAUUGCCGUCUGAGGAAGAUUACAUACUUACCUAUGAAAUGAAGCGAUUGCAUAGACUAAUGAAGCAUUGCAUAUUUGCAUGUGAGUGUGGCAGAUAAUUCUGCAGGACAUGAUUGCAAUCCACGCACCAUCGAGAAGACUGGGGCGAUGGGGUUGCCUCAUCAAUAAUCACGUGGAUGCAUGCAUGCAUGUUCCCGCAACCGGACAAGGGUCUGAUAUAUGGCUAUAGUAUUACUGAGCCCACAUCAAUAAUUUCCGCUGGUGUAUCGUGUGGGAAGAAUCAACAUACUACACCUCGAGUUCUUGGAACUAACUGACGUUCACAUGCAACCUCCACAAGGUGCUGUAUAUAUGCUUUUGACAUUCACCUGCCAGUUCGUGUAGAGGACACCCUAACGUAUGGUUAAUAUUAUCCAUUUCAUGAGUAAAAUACUGUGAUUCAAAAAUACUUCAAAUCCCUUGAGACAAUACUUCUCACUUGACUAACCACUAACCAACCCCGAAACCCUAACUCAACUCCGAACCCUAACACCUAACGGCAUAACCACUCCGUUUUGCCAGCCAGAUGGAGGAACUGGCUGGGAGGGAGAGAGGGCAGCGGUCCAGGGUUGAAAACGACGGGCGAGCGCAGUAACAUGUGGAGGAGGAAGUGCCACGUAUUCGUUCACCGCUAUUGGGCAGCGACACACAACACGCCCAAUAAGAUUUUCGCACGGUAGAAGGGCGCCAUGUAUUCAAUAAUGUUAUUGGUCCUCCAUGUGCAGAAGGGCGCGUAUGGAAUAACAAGUAGGGACACUGCAACUAAUCUACUCUGCUCGUCCAGUCCCUAGCCUAUAAAUAGAUGCCAUGCUAGCUCUUGUUGUGCUCACAGUUAAUCCGAUUACACACGAGCUUCUCUCCCUGGCCAAGACACAAUCAUAGUAUGAUGAAGAACAUGGCACUAGCCGGCAAUGGUAUGAAGAAGUUAAUCCUCGCUGUUCUCUUACUGUGUCUAGUUAUAGGGCAGAUACAAGUGGAAGCUAAGAGCUGCUGCCCAUCCACCACUGCAAGAAAUGUCUACAAUACCUGCCGUUUGACGGGUGCAUCCCGUCCAACGUGUGCAAAACUGUCAGGCUGCCAAAUUAUCAGCGGGAACAAAUGCAAGCCCCCUAACGACCACCUCACCCUUGACCCGGACACUGGUAAAUAAUAAAUUUAUCUCACUUGAUUUCUUUGUGUUUUGAGUCGUUAAUGUAUUUUCCAUCUGAUGAAACGCAUUGGUUUUGCAUUGAAGAGGAAGUUAAUGUGCUUAACUUCUGCAAGUUGGGGUGUGCGUCGUCUGUGUGCAACAACAUCAACGCUGGUAAGCACCUUUUGCUCAGACAGAGAAAACAAUAAUCAUUAAUUAGCGGCAGCUAGAAUCCUAUAAUCUAAUAUAUAUAUAUAAUUUUAUCAGCUCUGGGAAAUGAAGAGGCGAACGAUGCCGUUGAGAGUUGCGACCAAGCCUGCUCUAGCUUCUGCAGCGUGCAUGUUGGCAGCGCCACCGUGGUUGCUUAAGCAAAUGCAUCCAACUAGAUCGUCCUUGUGCUGAAUAAUUGGAUAUCGUAUCCACUUAAAGCUGCCUUGUGUAGUACGUCUUUGUGUCUCUCUUUAUAUUCCAAUAAGGUCGGUGAUCUUGAUGCCACACACUCAGAUGUGUGUUCAUCUCCAGAUACUACUCCAUGCUACCUGCCCUUUGUGUUUUGUUCAAUAACUGGGUAUCAUAUCCCAACCAGUAUGCCGUCUGUUUUGUGUUUGUUUCCUUCUAGUUCCAAAAGGGUCAUCAUGAUGUUACCUUCUUUCAAUAUGGUGCUUUGCAUGACUACUAUUGUAUGGUACCAUCUUGUGGCCAAUAAGUACAUCUUAUCCUAUGACCUUUGCUAUGACCCUUUGCAAAUAAGUAGAAGAUUGUUAUAAGCGUCAAUACUCCUUAUAAAUUGAUCGCUGCUGUGAGUUCCCUUUCAGCUUAUCGUAGGCAUACAUUAUUGCUAGCACGGUAAAGCCAAUCAACACGAAUGAUGAAGUAAAUGUAGCGGUACUUCUGUAUACCAACACCCUUACUUAAAUGUACCGGUGUCAUUCCCUACUGGCACAUAUAUUCUUAUAUGCUAGCCAGCUUGUAAAAUUAACCAAUUAAAAUAAUUAAUUCAAGAUAGAAAUAACUUAUCGGCUUCUCGAAGCAUGUGUAAUAUGAAUCGCUUCAUCUAUAUUGCUUUCAGGAUUUUGGGUAACUAAAUUUAACAUUUGCACAUACAAAUGUUAAAGUACAAAUGUUAAAUCUAGUUACCCAAGCAGAAUAUGAAUAUACUCUAUAGUAUAUAUAUACUAUAUAAAUCUAGUUAACAUUUAGUCUAAAUGUUAAAUCUAGUUACCUAAAAUCCUGAAAGCAAAAUGUAUAAAUAUAUAUCUUUUAAGGCAGUAUAAGCUUCGAUUCCUAUUGCUGCUCUGUUAAAUCUCAUCUUUCGUUGUGGCCCAACACUCUAGUAUGUAUGUUGCACCAAGCUUCCUUGAGCCGCUCUGCCCUCUGAUUUUGCUGCGUAGGGGAAUCUUUAUCAGGUUGGGCUGCUUCCAGUCAUACGAUGUGUGGCUUCAUAUCUUCUACAAGUUAGACAGGAAACCCGCGUUCUGGAAGAUUCUGCAACGUGCACGUUGGCGCUGCCACCGUGGUUGCUUAAGCAAAUGCAUCCAACUGAAUCGUCCUUGUGCUAAAUAAUUGGAUAUCGUAUCCACUGCUUAAAGCUGCCAUGUUUAGUACAUCUUUGUUUUUCUCUCUUUAUAUUCCAAUAAGGUCGGUGAUCUUGAUGCCACACACUCAGAUGUGUGUUCAUCUUCGGAUACUACUCCAUGCUACCUGCCCUUUGUGUUUUGUUCAAUAACUGGGUAUCAUAUCCUAGUCAGUGUGCCAUCUGUUUUGUGUUUGUUUCCUUCUAGUUCCAAAGGGGUUAUCAUGAUGUUACCUUCUUUUGAGGUGUCUAUGACUUUGUUAAUAUCAAUAUUAACCAAUUCAAUCUAUCUUAACUAUUUGUAAGGGGUAUGAUGUAUGCAUGAUUAUAACAAUGAUUGCGCAUACAAUCACUGCCAAAGAAACGGUCAAUACCAUAAAGACAUAUUACAGACAAUUCUCAUAAUUUAUAAUGAAUAUACAUAUUCACUACUGCAGAGACUGUCAUUUGUAUCAGCUCAUACGUGCCAGGGCAAAGGUCACCCUUGCAUUAAAAGUACAUUUGCACGGUAAAGAUAACCAACACGAAUAAUGAAGUAAACAUGCCGGUGCUUUUGUACACCAACACGCUUACUUAAAUGUACUGGUGUCAUUCCUCACCGGUAGCCGGCUUGAAAAUUAACCAAUUAGAACAAUUAUUUAUUGUAUCGGUGUGAAUUUUGACCUAUUGGAAUAUGAAUUUGACCGUUACUGCAUUCGUCAAGACUCAAGAGAGAAAUAACUGAUCGGCUUCUUAGAGCGUGUGCAAUGUGAAAUCAAGGACUGGAUGGAAGUUGAAGCGCUAGCUUCAUCUUCCGCUGCAUGUUAAUUGCUUGGAUAAGAAGUUGUAGCCGCGUAUAUAAAUAGUCCCGCUGAUGCUGUGCUCCGAAGUCUAUACUAUAUAUGCGAAAACUAGAUUGCUUUCAGGAUUUUGGGUAACUAAAUUUAACAUUUGUACAUAAAAAUGUUAGUUUACGAAUGUUAAAUCUAGUUACCCAAGCAGAACAAGAAGAUAGUAUAUACUAUAUACUAUGUAAAUCAAGUUAACAUUUAGUCUAAAUGUUAUAUCUACUUACCCAAAAUCUUGAAAGCAAAGAAAGAAUAAGUAUAUAUCUUUUGUUGGAAAAUUGGUCCACGGAGAGUGGCCUCGUUCGUUUCACCGGGAUGGAAUUCCAGUCAGGAUUACUUCCAAGUCCGGUUUAAGUGAUUCCACCCAUGUCACUCAAUUCGGCUAGGAUUCAUUCCAGGGGUGAGGAGGUAUGGUUUCAAUCCGGGCCAUCUAAUGUAGAAGGAUUCCAAUCCAGGCCGGUUUUCGUUCUAGGCUAGACUAAAACGAACAACACUUUCAAUGCAAGUCUGGUUUCAAACCGGGCCACUUCAAACCACCCGGAAUGGACCUCAUUCCGGGCCAAUCCGGUGAUAACAAACGAGGCCUUAAUGGAAUCCCAAAGCAAGAGUUCAGUGGCAUUCUAUAGUCCCAUGCUGCUAGUUUGAGUUGGUCGAAGCCAACUUAAAUAGGAGAGCUCUCUCACUUCUCUAAAAAUGUAACUGAAGGAGAGAAGGGGGCUUGGGUUACACAACGCACGCACGCACGCAUAUUUGCAUUCUUUUCGCGUAACCGACCGCGUGACUUGAAACUUGCGACGUAGCGUGCUGCUAAGUCAAGUUGAUAUAACCUUUUUGCCGUUUGCGUGUAAUCUUUUGACAACGGUCAUUGGAGGUGAUAAGCACGCAGUCAAUACCUUAAUCCUGAGUUAAUAGGGCGGUUACUACUGCCAAUUAGUGCAGCAAUUUUGUAGGGGAAACGGUUAGCAGAGGGCUACCGUCUUCUCUAUAAGAAGUUUUGGAGACGUUCAGGAACACACAUGUACAUGUGAGAGACCCACGGAUUCCUUCCCUUCUCCCUUUUCCAUCUGGUGAAGUGUGCUAUGGUACUGAGCUGCUGGAUCUCGCCGGCUCUUCUCCUUGGCGUGCACCGAGGAGGAGGGUGAGCGGUAUCUCUGAGCUAUUGCCGUCAGGAAGCCUGCACGAGGGACAACAAUAAAGUUUUUAGGUAGCGCCUGCCUAAUCUUCGAUCUGCACUGCAACGUGUAACCCUGCAGCAACUCUACACGAGGACGGAGCACUAAUCUGUAAGUCCUAGAUUGGUUUCUUACAUAGUUGUAGGUUACACAAGAUCUAGAAUGGUUACAUACCAAUUAUUAUGGGUUACAUGAUGUUUUGUACGGUUUCGUCUAUUUUGCAUAUGCUAUUUUUUCUAUUUUGCAUAUGCUAUUUUUACAUACCGUUUACAUGCAUAUGUUAAUGGUUACACCUAGCUAUUUGAAUCUAGAAUUGGGUUACAUAGCAGUAGCAAUGAGUUACGUAAUAUGCCUCACGUUUAUAUCUGGUAGAAUUUAACACGUAUCUCCAACAUAUUUUGAGGCAGUAUAAAUUUCAAUUCCUUUUGCUGCUCUGUUAAAUCCCGUCUUUCGUUGUGGCCCAACACUCUAGUAUGCAUGUAGCACCAAGCUUGUUUGAGCCGCUUUGUGCUUUGAUUUUGCUGCGUAGGGGAAUCUGUAUCAGGUUGGACUGUUUCUUUGUCUUGCGAUGUAUAGCUUCAUAUCUUCUAGAGGUUAGACAGCAAAACCCGCAUUCUCUUAAGGCAACAACCCGAAGAAUCUGCAGCGCCUCUGAUAUAUCACUGCUGCAGAAACGAUCUUUAGUACUGAUCUCCAACCCUCUUUAGUAUCGGUUGGGCAACCAGUACCACUAUGUCGGUACUAAAGGGAGUUCUCUAGAAUCGGAUCAAAUAACCGGUACUAAAAGGGCUCCUUUACUACCGGUUGGUAACAACAAUAGGUAGUGACUUUUUUGCACCCAAAAAAUUAAAGAAUAACAGCCGGGAGGCUCGCACACACACGCAUCAUGAGUAAUAUGCGCGUGCAUGGUUUGUGGGAUUUCAACCCACGACCAAGCUAUAAGAACGUAGUUACAACAAAUCAAACACUUAGACAUUUUAGAGCAUCCCAAAUAACUACAAAUUCUAUAGUUUACCAUAUACCAUAAAAUAUUAGUUAAAAUAAGAGCAUACACAUGUCGGAAGAGUCCCAAUGCACCGGUUGAGGAUCAGACCAGGCACUUUGAAUGCACAUGCCAUAAGAUAAUUCUGCAGGACAAUGAUUGCAAUAAUGGACCAUCGAGAAGAUAGGGGCGAUGGGGUUGCCUCAUCAAUUAUCACUUGGCGCAACAAGACCAGCAAAGUCUUUAUCGACAGGGGUGGAUCAAGGGGUGGGGCAGGCAGAGCUCCAGUCCUCCUACCGCCGCUCGAACAAUGGAGCCCCCUUAGCCCCUCCAUAAAUUUUUAGGUAGAAGAAAAAAGAAGAGAAGGGAAGCAAGGGGAAGAAGAGGGAGCCCCUACUAAGUAGGUCGCCAUCGUGCUUCCCAACGCAUGAUCGCCGCACCGCAUCCAUUCCUCUACAAGCCUUCAGCGUCUCUCCCGCCGCUACCUCUGAACCAUGUGCAGCUAUAGACCCAACUAGUGUGUUGUCGCCCAUCUCAGUCCCAACAGAGCGGCGGCGGCUGCCAACACAAAUCUCCCUCCGCCUCUUCUUCACGGUCGAUGGCCGCCACAAGCAUAAACCUCGCCUUCGCAUCCAAGCAAAAGGGUCGUUGGGGUGCCUUCUUGCAUCACUUCUCAGCCUCCUUCACUUGCGGCCAGCGAAGAACUGCGCCACCACCUCGGGUGCGUGCCACCACUCCAGGGCCGCUACCCCAUGCCUGCGGCCGCCACCGGCCACCACGCGUGUGCAACCGCGUUGCACCGCUUCCCUGCUUUGUGCCACCACUACUGCUGUACCACCAGCUCCACCACCUUGGGAUGGUCGCCAGGGUGACUGAUUGGUGGAUUAUUACUAAAAAUAAGUUCCUUAUUAUCUGCAACUACUAUUAACUCAGAGAUACAUGCGUCUUUUCCUUCUCCUGCUAAUAGGUCCUAAAAUAUCUAGGAUGCUUUAUAUUUCUGGACAGAGGAAGUAUUUGAAUAAAAUGAACCAAUUUAAAAAAAAUGUGUUGUACACUACUACAGAAAGACCUAUCAGUGUCAAACCCAAAAAUGUCGUCACCGCCAGUUUUAGGCAUCGUUGGUGAAAGGUUGGCGGUGAUGGGCAUCCCCUUCAACAACGGCACUGGAGCCGACGGUGAUUGACAUUAGAAAACAAAAAAGGGAACCCCACCUAGCCACCCCUGCAACCCAGCCGGCCGUGCCUCCCCUCAUGCCCACCACCUCGCCUCCCCCGUGACCCCCCGCCGGCGCCCUUGUGCCUAGCCCCCUCGCCUGCCCGGCCGGCCACCCUCGUCAUGAGAGAGAGAGGUGCAUGUUGUAUAAUUGCGUGAAUUUUUGAAUGUUUAAUUUUAUGUAAGUUCCAUGUAAUAAAUUGUACAAGUUUUAUUGUAUAUAUGAAUUCCAUAUAUAUAUAUUUAUAAUUUAAUGUAUGGUUUCAUGUGUAUAUUUCAAUCAUGUGUAUAAUUAGUAGAUUGCCGAUUUUCUUUUUCUACUAGACAAGGGUUGAUGUAUAAUUACGUGUAUAUGUUUAUUGUAUGGGCAAUUAGGACAAGUUUUGUAUAAAUUUCUUUUAUUUCAUGGUUGUUGUAUGGUUUCAUGUAUAUACAUUUAUUGUACUACUUGAGACAAUUUUAAUUUAAUAUUUCUAUGAUUACAUGUGUGUAUAACUAAUUGUAUUAUUAGUUAAGAUGGGAGCCAAAGAGGAUGAAAGGUAUAUAAUAGAGUAGAUUAUUGCUGGCGGUAGUGGCUCAAACGUUGCAAGAACCUACACCGAGGGUGAGGGUAGCUAGGUGGACAUGUACCUCAACAUGUCCAGUGAUGGCAAUGACGAUGAGGAGCACGAGCAUGACGUCUAUGAUAAUGCGGAACAAGACAUUGCAGAAUUGGAAGGUUCUAAUGAGGUGUGCUUCAUGUUGACGAUCUAGUUGGCUUUUUUUCUUUGGUCACACCUUAGUUACCAUAGAACUUCGUCUCGGGAGAAGAUUGGUGGUGCUAUGGUGAUUGGAAUUUUAUUGCCUCCAAAUUUGAUUUCCAUCGAAUCAUAUCCCUUGUAUUUAUCUUCUUUUUAUUUGUGAGAGCAUCUUCUUUAUGCUUGCAAAACAAUUCAAGUGCACAUACUACCCCUAGGGUGAUGAUUGGGAGUAGAAACAAUUGCCAACAAAACAACACCACAUCCUAAGAUUCUUAACUUGUGGCAUAAUUAAUCUAGUGAAAAGAAAGAUAAAAACCUAAUGGGUGUACGUGAGUGCAAUGUGUAUAUGCAUAUGAGUGGAAGGCAUAUAAGCAAAGACAAUAUUUACACAUAGUUCUAAACACGAUGUUUACAGCUAGGUUGCUGAAUUUCUCCAUAGCUAUAGAGAUUAAUUAACCAAGGUCAAAACACGAUGUCUAUCCCAAGAUCAGUAAUUCUUUAUAGCACAAGAAAAAGAAAGCGCAUUGCAAAGUUUAUAAACCAACCAAUACAGCAUGAAAACAAGAUGAAUAGCUAGCAAGGUUUAUUAAAUUGAAUGAUGACGGUCUGCAAGCAAGUUUGAACACCAUCUUUACACAAGAUUGCAAAUGGAAAAUGCCCAUAUGAAGCACUAACAUGGAUAUGAAAUCAUUCAUCAUAAAGCGUAAAGAACAACCAAGUAGUUUUUAAUGGCAUAUACAUGUAUAAUAUAGUUUAGGUGCUAAAAUUGAUAUUCACAGCUAUUUUGGGCUCCAAUUCGCGUCCAAACCAACCUAGCCCACAGACCACACCCGGCCGGCCAGCUCAUCGGCCCAUCUAGUCACUGAUCCUUCCACCACCACACUCAGCCCAUCAGUCGGUCAGGUCCCGAGCUCCUGCCUGACCUAGUCCGCUACCGCCGCCAGGCGCCAAGCACAGCCGUACGCACUGCACCGCCCCCGUCCACCCAUGUCCGCUGCGCGGCAAAGCCGCGCCCCCCAGCCCCCGCGGUGAGAUCUCGACGCCCGCUGCCGCCAGACCCCAUUAGGCCUCCACCGGCAAGUCCACCCACAGUCCCACACGACCUAGUCCGCUNNNNNNNNNNNNNNNNNNNNNNNNNNNNNNNNNNNNNNNNNNNNNNNNNNNNNNNNNNNNNNNNNNNNNNNNNNNNNNNNNNNNNNNNNNNNNNNNNNNNNNNNNNNNNNNNNNNNNNNNNNNNNNNNNNNNNNNNNNNNNNNNNNNNNNNNNNNNNNNNNNNNNNNNNNNNNNNNNNNNNNNNNNNNNNNNNNNNNNNNNNNNNNNNNNNNNNNNNNNNNNNNNNNNNNNNNNNNNNNNNNNNNNNNNNNNNNNNNNNNNNNNNNNNNNNNNCCCCCCCUCCACCAGGACUGCUUGUUGGCCCCCACCGCGAGGUAAUCAAAAUGGACGGCUCAAUCACUCAAUCUGUUGACAUGAUGCACACGGUUGCAAAAAUAGAUGUGUCAAAAUAGAUAUAUUGCUAAUUGCUAUAGAUGCAUACGGUUGACAUGAAGAAGUUAAAAAUGACAUUUGGUUCCUUGUAGGCAGUCAAAAAUGAAGUCAAAAAAUAUUGAUCUGAAAUCAAUGUGGGAAAGGGCUACGAAGACACACAGAUUCCCUUGUGAACUUUUUAUGUCAUUCGUCUAAAUAUUUUUUUGCAAUGGGCAUACCCUACUCUGAAAUCCUGGGUCUGCCACUGAUGAUGAUGGUCUAAACAUAAAACAAGCCAAGAUUAAUUAGCCACAACUGAAAUUAAACAAAGGUUAAUGUCAUUGACCCUAGCUCUAUCCUAGCUUUUACAAAAGUCCCGGCACAUAUAGUGGUUGGGCCCACUCUCUCUGCUUCCCUCUCUGCUGCAUGCAUGCACACGAGCAACGGGAGGCCCCACAAAGCCCAGAAGGGUUCGGCUGAACCCGGCCGAUCCAAUCUGAGCACCACUCCCUCCCAGCCUUCGCGCAGAUGCUCCUCCAACAUUCCUUGACCCCUCCCUCAGCGUCCCAUUGGGUUUAACAUUGCAGGAGAGGAGUCCCUUUUUUAAAAUCUCAACCACCUCCUCUCCUCAUUCACUCCACUCUCAUCUCCAUCAAACUCACCAAGAUCCACAUCGGAAAUCCCUGCUUACCACCAUGGCUGGCAAAGCCCUCGUCCCUUUCACCAACUUGGGCUUAACCAUUGAUCUCGAUGGGGAAAUCACUCCGGAAAUAGGGCAGUGACCCAGAGCAAAGGUGAUGCCAGAGUGUAGAUAGCAGUUAGCAUGCCAAAUUGUGAACCGCAAGCGCUCGGAUUAGUUGUUUUUUUUCCCUUAGAGAUUCCCCCAAGGUUUAUCAAUCCAUGGAACAAGGGAUUUGCACAUUUCACUAAGCAUUAAUCAAUGUAAUUGAAAGCUUUUUGAAUAAGAUAUGAUUAUGCUAACAAAGGAACUAAGCAAUCUAGAUUAAGAUGGAUAGAGAGUAAAGGUUGUGAACAAGAUAGAUUAAACGCUUAUAGAUGCAAUCACCAUGCAUGAAUGAAUUAGAUCUAGGUGUUAUUGUGAGUGGUUGUGAACCAUACCCCAACACUUUCCCACCCGCAACAUUGUCACUACAUGUGGGUACUCAACUAUCGAAACAUAAGAACACAUCAAGAUGAUCAUUCUAGGUAAGCAAAUAAGCAACCCAAAGUAGCGCUGGCCAGCCUUUUCAUGAAAGAGCAUCAUCAAGAUAAGAUUGAUAACAAAAUAGAUCUCAACCAAAGGUUCAGCGAUUACAAAUCAAGAUCUCCGUAUAACCCCGAUGACAAAUAGAGGUAUUACCCCCAUGAUCUUACACAUGUUGAUGAAUUUUAGGGUAAAGGACGCCCUGUAGAUCAACUGGACCAAAGAUGAUGAUGAACAGGGGCAGGGAAGGCCCAGGCUGAUCAGCCUGGGCACUUUUGAGCCGAUCAGCUUAGGGAGUUUCCUCCUCCCCUGGUGCUCCUCUUCGCGUGGCCUCCUCUGGAUCCAAUCUUCUCUUCAUUUCUCCUACUUGUGGUGGCAAUGGAUGGUGUUUGCAUGGUGAUUUCCUCUUCUCCCCAACUCUCCCUCCUUGAAGUCCAUGAGGGGGUAUUAAUAGUCUCCAAUAUGCGGCAGCUCUGGGUCAAUGUCGGUGAAAAAACCCUAGAGAUCAUCGUACACUUCACGCUGAGGAAACAAGAGGUCGACCGAGCCCUGGGAUAGACCAAGAGGAUCAGCCUAGAGGGUCCCAGGCCAAUCGGUCUAGGCCCUUCCUAGCCCUUCUAGUCCUCUCCUUCCUCGUGCUGGCUUUUCUCGAUGACCCUUGUCCAAAUAUCCAUUAAGCUCUAUAUACAUACCCCCUUGAUUAUGUCGUAUUUCCUGUCAAAAUACAAUGCUCCAAAAUACAACACAUAUGCAAUAAUAGGGUUAUUUCAUGUGCCAAUUGGUGCGUUAGUAUACGAAUAAGCAUGAAAAUACUGGUUAAAUGACACUAAAAGUGUGUCAAUAACGAGCACCAACAAUCCCCCCACGCUUAGAUCUUGCUCGUCCUCGAGCAAGUCUAGCGACUAAAAGAUCUUGAAUUAAACAUGAGCAAGCGAGUCAAGUACCUAGCCUUGAAACAAAAGAUUAGAGGAGCAGCAAAGAUAAUCAAAGUCUGGGUGUUCAAAGAUUUAUCUAAGCAAAGAUUCCCCUACAACUAUUAUUCAGAACCAAGUAACUUCAAGAAUCAACUACACUUAUUUUCUGGCUUUUUUCAGAGGGUUUUUCUUUCAUCACAAAACAAUCUCCCUGCAACAAAAUUGAAAAAAGAAUUAUUUUCCAGGUGCUUACAUGUCGUUUAAAUGAAUGUUCGCUAUCCUACUUAUUUGCAAGCUCUCAUCUCUCAAAAUUCAUUCAAUUAUAUGGUGGAGCUUGGGUAAGGUUAGCUAGAAUCAACACGUAUAUUAUUGAAUUAAGAAAACCCUCUAACGGUAGCCUACCUUUCGAGCCAUUGAUCAUAAGAAUAUCCACAUAAUGUGAAGUUUUCAAGGAUGAGAAUAGAAUGGUGGACAUGUGCAAAGGAAAAGAAAUAUAGUGACUCUGAGGCACAAGCAAUGUCCUCGUCGUUGGAUUGCAUAUGGUUGGAAUGAAAAUCUGUUCCUUAAACAAGUCCAUCUUUUCUUUGCACCACUCUUGAUCUUCAUGACAGUAAAAACUCCUCCUUUAUUUCUUUCUCUCUUUUCCUAUUAUUUCUUUUUAUUUGUCUCAAUACUUUUCUUUCUUUAUUUCUUUAUUUUAAUCUCUUCUCCGAACCUCUUCUGAACACCACACAAUAAAAAUCAGUUUUAGAUCCUUCUAGAGACCUUCCAGGAAUUUGCUACAUGAAAACCGAGGCAAGGAGACCCCAGGCCGAUUGGCCUGGCCACUCCUUUGCUCUCCUCUAGCUCUUCUUUCUUGUGAAGCUUCCUUAUCUUGUAUCUUUCCAAAAAUUUCAUAAAGCUCAACUAGAAACGGAACACAUCUUCAUAUAAUGAGUUGUGUUCAAGGAAUUGGUAAUAAAAUUGAGAAAUUUGUGGUUCGGGUUUACGAAUUCAGUACAAAAAUAUGAUUAUUCCAAUGAAGAACUCUCAUUACUGAAUAUUGACGAGGCAAGCAUUCAAAGAUGGUAAAAAGGAUAUGAUCAAUUCUCAGAAUUAAAGCAAACCAAGAGAGAGCGAUCCUAAUUCAAUUCAAAGUGUCAAAUGUUGCUUAUGGUGGUAUGAAUAAAUAUUUUUAGGCAUUGGGUAGGAUAAAUAAAAACUCUCAACCUGGUUAAAAGAUAUUGAUCAAUCUUGUUUUUGCAGAGGUUUUAAAUAAAAAAUAAAAUUUUAAAUCACCUCCAAUUCAAAGCCUUACUCAUAAAUCAUAAUCAAAACUGAAGCACUUGAUCAUCAUAAAGCAUGGGUAUUGCAUAAACAAAUCGAUUACUAAAACUCCACAACUACGAUUUAGAAUUCAAGACAAUGCUCAUAAUCUAAAGUUGCAAAGACAAAAUAAAAGACAAGCAAGCCAAGGUAGACACUAAAAACACUUGCACGAUCCUUGAAUUUUAUUCAUGCUUCUUCUCACAAAGACGCUAAAGUAGCCAUGUAGGCCUAAGUCUUCCCAAAAGCUUAAGAAGACUACUACUUUAUCUACUUUUGGUUGAAAUAAAAAUACUAAUCUAGACUCUCACAUGAUUCGACUCGACCAAACUAGAUCCAAAAACUCAUACGAGCGACAAUCUCCCCCCCCCCUCUCAAAUCUACGACCUCCUCGUGGUAACCAUAUGGAGUACAAGGAAAAGACGCUUGUAAACGCACUAAUGACGCUACCCGGACUACUUGCACACGGAAUGGUUGUUGUUUCCUUUGCUUUGUUCUUCGUCAUGUUGCUGCACAUCCCGAAGAGCUUCCUCACGUUCCUCUGCAAGAACUUGAACUUGAACUUGUCCUCCUGACGGCAAUCAUUAUCUUCUGCCUUUUGAUCCAGAGCUUGUAAGGCUUGCAUGAUGUCAUCGAACGCAUCGAAGAGGUAGUGGAUGUUCUUCCUGCAAGCUGUGGAACAUGUACGAUCAUGCUCCUACGAUUCUGGCCCGUCGUCUUCUAGAUCCUCCUCUUUGCCCUUGUCUUGACGGUGGCCAUCUUGCUCCUUGCUCGUCUUCUUGCCUUCAGCCCGAUCCCAGUACGUGUUGUCAUCUUCUUCAUCGUCACGGCCUGCAGCACCCUAUGAUCCAUUGUCUAUCUUGUAUGAAAGAAUCAGAAGCUUGUUCUCCUCAGGGUGUCUUGCGCGGUGCAGCGUUUGCAAGUGCAAGGCUUGCUAGUUCUUUUUACACAUUGUAAUGUUCAUUGCAUGCUCUAAUUGUUCUACAUUUGUAAUUUCUUGGUGAAGUUUGGUUACUGAUCCACUGUUUGAUUAACUCUUGGGCCCAAACACUGUACUACUUCUGAUUAGAUAUCUGUAUCUUAACUUUGACCAAAAAAAAUAUCCGGCAGUUUUUGCCAUUAAAGUUUCAUAAAUCAUCUUGCAAAAAUCGUACUAUACAACAAGGGACGGUUUAUUAUAAAAUAUACGUUCCCCUUAUCACAUGCCACUUCCACUCAAAAGGCAACGAAUCAGUUUUCAAUCCUGAGUGAGCAAUUUGCUUUUAUUACCGAUGCCUCCUAUUCCCUUGUGCACCAAGUUCAUUUUGGAUAGGACUGCAAAAAGCGACUAACCAGCUCGGAUUCUCCACCUGCAAAACCGCAUCUGCAGCAACCAACCCCACGCGGUGGAAAAAAAAACAAAACCCAGAAACCGGACGGGGGUGGAUGUGGGGCUCGGAGCCCAAGCAAAAAAAAGGAUCGGGAGCGCCGGAGCAGGCCAUCACCGGAUGUUAGAGAUAGAAAAUGGUUGAAGUUGGAGUGGAAAUCAAACAAGCCUUGGAGCAAAGGAAAAAAAAGAUCAAACCACUCAAGCAUUCAUUUGAUUUAGAAAAGAGAACAUUUGUUAAGGUGGGGAGUUGAAAUCAUCUUUUAAUUAGUUCCACGUAUCUGGUAUCAUUACAGUUGGUUUACUUGUGUAAGUAUAUAAGUAGCUCUGCCGAAGCCUUUGCUCCUAUAAUUUAGUAACUAGUACAAAUGGAUCAUUAGGAAAAUCAAGUUGCAAUCAUUUCUCAGCCAACCAAACCUAUCUAAAUCAAAUUAUUGUCCAUGCCCGGCAUGCACAGGUGCCUGCCAUGCAUGCAUUGUUGCUCCAUUGUAAUAACCAUUAUUGUCCAUUGAUGUUCCAGCGCAUGUGUGCACUGUGCAGACACCAAGCAUCGAGAUUAUGUACUAGUAAGGUACCAAGAACACGUGAAGCACACGGGGGAGGCUGCUCCACUCGGCAUGCACAGGUGGGGCACGGCACCACUACUCGUCUCCUUCAGGCAGAGGACAAGUGAUGUACGCUGAUCAACCACUAGUAGAAAAACGACUUUCCAUCCGCCCCUUUUGUCCCGGUUUAAAGUUGGCCCGGGACAAAAGGUUCACCAACCGGGACUAAAACUCGGUCACUGGUGGGGGGCUCACCAACCGGGACCUUUUAUCCCGGUUGCAAAGGCUAGUGGGAAAAAAAGACUCUGAGAGGCCUUUUAUCCCGGUUUGAAACACCAACCGGAAUAAAAGGUGGUCUUUUAUCCCGGUUGGUGUUUCCAACCGGGAUAAAAGGGUCCCCCACGAGUUAAUACAAAAGGAUAGUAUCCCCUAUAUAGUCAGAUGUGGUGUGUAGGUGGGAUGGCAAGGAAGCUACGCGCGAGGCUGGAGGUUGUGGGUUUGAAUCCCACGAACCGCGCACCCCCACCACGGCAAACGGAGGUGAUGGCGGAAGGUGAGGCAACGACAGUAGCUGGUGAGCUCCCGCUCCAAUGUCUCGCGAGUGAAGGAGGAGGAGGUGGCAUGGGAAUCGAAGAGGAGGCCGCCGCUGGCGGGUUUAGACUACGUGGAUGUGUGGGUAGGGUUAAGGUGACGGUGUGGACUAGUAUAUAUAAGAUGUCUGGGCUUGUUAGAAUAAGAUAACAUUCUAACCGGCCAAAUUCGGACCCGGUUAGAUUAAAUUGAUAUUCUAACCGGUCCUAUUUCUAGGUGGUAAGAAUAAGUUAACAUUGUAAUUGGCUUUAUUUGGAACCCGAUUGAAUCUUCUUGUUAUUCAAAAAAACAUCAAGUUCAUCAAUUUUAAUCCAGAAAAACAUCAAGAUAAUUUAAGCACGAUAUAUAACAAGAUUAAUAAAUUUAAUAAUUGUUUGAUCCACAAAUUAACGAUAUUUAACAAAUUCAAAAAAUCCAAAUUAACAGAACACAAUAACCAAUUGUUCGAAAAAAUCAAAAUAAUCCACACACAUUAAUAUAUUACAAAUUCAGAAAUAUAUCAAAAUAAUCCCCGAUCCACUCGAUACCGUCAUAGGACUUUUAAAUACUGAGCUUCUUGAUUCGUCUGAGGUCCACGUACUCGUCUCAGUAACACUAGUGAUGGCCAUGCAUCUUGUAGAUGUCUUCUAACGAAUCAAGCUUGACGUACAAGGUCAUGCCUUCCGCUCCUUGAGGAUAACCAUCUUUGGUGAUCUUGAAAUGGCAGACGGUGGAUGUGCCAAAGGUACGUAACGAUCCUUCUAAAUGUAUGCCACCACAACUUCCGUCUGAUCGCCAUGGGUGACACCAAGAAGAGCUACCAUGCGGCAAGGGACGAACAAUUUAUCAAUUAGUGCCGCUGUCCAUUCGCCAUCAUCUAAUCCAGCCAUAUCUUGAUGUAUAUUUAAGUAUAGAAAUUAAGAUUUAAAAAUAAACAGAAUAAAUUGAGAUCGACUAUGUAUGUAUAUCAGAACAUUAGCUUUUGGAAAAAGGGCUUCGAUGGAAGAGAGGCACGGGGCAUAGAGACAACAACGAGUGACAAUAUGUCAGAAGAAUACCCGAUCACAAUUAUUGGCUACAGGACGGGCACACACAGCCGAUAUUUACAGUAGUCAAUACCCCUGGUAAAUAACCACACCAUCAAGAGUAAAUAGUGACAAUAUGCAGUAUAUACACGACAUAGCCUUGGUUGCCGUGGAAGCGCCAGAAGGGAGACAAAUAACAGGGACCACAACAUCAAGUAGAUAGUGACAAUAUGCAGAAGAAUACCCGCGCCUGUUAGCAUGUGUGAACUGACCACACCACGAAACGUGAUACACGGCAAGCGUACCAAGGCCUUGCUGUGCAGACUAUGCAUGGACAACACAUGGUACCUGACCGCUUUUGGCCUCAGACACAUCGAAAAACUGCAUCGUUCCACGUUGUACAUCCAUUGCUAGUUUAUCUAUAUUACAUAAUAUAUUAUUAGCUAUUUGAAUAGAAUGAACCAAUUAAAAAAUUGCGUUGUAUUUUAGUACCGGCUGCAGGAUGGUGUUACCAACCAGUACUAAUUGGCCUGUAGGAGUGAUGGUUAUUAGACUUGGUACUGUUGUUAGCAUCAUUAACCUAAUUGUGCGCGGUAUGAAUUUGGGGAUGCAAAGCUAGCUCUCUAUGAAUGUGAGGGAUGGAAAGCUAGUUCUCUAGUAGUAAUUAGCUAUAUAUAUAUGUCAGUCAAGAAAUCGAACACUAUGCUGCUACGAGUCACCAUCAUUUCCUUCAUUGACAAUCUGACAUAGGUGAAGCUGCUUCAAGAAUUUCCUUCGCGCAGUCGUGGAGCUUAUUGGAUUAUCACCAGGACGGGACACGGAAAUGGCCAGCAAUGAAGCUGAUUGCCGUCUGAGGAAGAUUACAUACUUACCUAUGAAAUGAAGCGAUUGCAUAGACUAAUGAAGCAUUGCAUAUUUGCAUGUGAGUGUGGCAGAUAAUUCUGCAGGACAUGAUUGCAAUCCACGCACCAUCGAGAAGACUGGGGCGAUGGGGUUGCCUCAUCAAUAAUCACGUGGAUGCAUGCAUGCAUGUUCCCGCAACCGGACAAGGGUCUGAUAUAUGGCUAUAGUAUUACUGAGCCCACAUCAAUAAUUUCCGCUGGUGUAUCGUGUGGGAAGAAUCAACAUACUACACCUCGAGUUCUUGGAACUAACUGACGUUCACAUGCAACCUCCACAAGGUGCUGUAUAUAUGCUUUUGACAUUCACCUGCCAGUUCGUGUAGAGGACACCCUAACGUAUGGUUAAUAUUAUCCAUUUCAUGAGUAAAAUACUGUGAUUCAAAAAUACUUCAAAUCCCUUGAGACAAUACUUCUCACUUGACUAACCACUAACCAACCCCGAAACCCUAACUCAACUCCGAACCCUAACACCUAACGGCAUAACCACUCCGUUUUGCCAGCCAGAUGGAGGAACUGGCUGGGAGGGAGAGAGGGCAGCGGUCCAGGGUUGAAAACGACGGGCGAGCGCAGUAACAUGUGGAGGAGGAAGUGCCACGUAUUCGUUCACCGCUAUUGGGCAGCGACACACAACACGCCCAAUAAGAUUUUCGCACGGUAGAAGGGCGCCAUGUAUUCAAUAAUGUUAUUGGUCCUCCAUGUGCAGAAGGGCGCGUAUGGAAUAACAAGUAGGGACACUGCAACUAAUCUACUCUGCUCGUCCAGUCCCUAGCCUAUAAAUAGAUGCCAUGCUAGCUCUUGUUGUGCUCACAGUUAAUCCGAUUACACACGAGCUUCUCUCCCUGGCCAAGACACAAUCAUAGUAUGAUGAAGAACAUGGCACUAGCCGGCAAUGGUAUGAAGAAGUUAAUCCUCGCUGUUCUCUUACUGUGUCUAGUUAUAGGGCAGAUACAAGUGGAAGCUAAGAGCUGCUGCCCAUCCACCACUGCAAGAAAUGUCUACAAUACCUGCCGUUUGACGGGUGCAUCCCGUCCAACGUGUGCAAAACUGUCAGGCUGCCAAAUUAUCAGCGGGAACAAAUGCAAGCCCCCUAACGACCACCUCACCCUUGACCCGGACACUGGUAAAUAAUAAAUUUAUCUCACUUGAUUUCUUUGUGUUUUGAGUCGUUAAUGUAUUUUCCAUCUGAUGAAACGCAUUGGUUUUGCAUUGAAGAGGAAGUUAAUGUGCUUAACUUCUGCAAGUUGGGGUGUGCGUCGUCUGUGUGCAACAACAUCAACGCUGGUAAGCACCUUUUGCUCAGACAGAGAAAACAAUAAUCAUUAAUUAGCGGCAGCUAGAAUCCUAUAAUCUAAUAUAUAUAUAUAAUUUUAUCAGCUCUGGGAAAUGAAGAGGCGAACGAUGCCGUUGAGAGUUGCGACCAAGCCUGCUCUAGCUUCUGCAGCGUGCAUGUUGGCAGCGCCACCGUGGUUGCUUAAGCAAAUGCAUCCAACUAGAUCGUCCUUGUGCUGAAUAAUUGGAUAUCGUAUCCACUUAAAGCUGCCUUGUGUAGUACGUCUUUGUGUCUCUCUUUAUAUUCCAAUAAGGUCGGUGAUCUUGAUGCCACACACUCAGAUGUGUGUUCAUCUCCAGAUACUACUCCAUGCUACCUGCCCUUUGUGUUUUGUUCAAUAACUGGGUAUCAUAUCCCAACCAGUAUGCCGUCUGUUUUGUGUUUGUUUCCUUCUAGUUCCAAAAGGGUCAUCAUGAUGUUACCUUCUUUCAAUAUGGUGCUUUGCAUGACUACUGUUGUAUGGUACCAUCUUGUGGCCAAUAAGUACAUCUUAUCCUAUGACCCUUUGCUAUGACCCUUUGCAAAUAAGUAGAAGAUUGUUAUAAGCGUCAAUACUCAGUAUAAUUGAUCGCUGCUGUGAGUUCCCUUUCAGCUUAUCGUAGGCAUACAUUAUUGCUAGCACGGUAAAGCCAACCAACACGAAUGAUGAAGUAAACGUAGCGGUACUUCUGUAUACCAACACCCUUACUUAAAUGUACCGGUGUCAUUCCCUACUGGCACAUAUAUUCUUAUAUGCUAGCCAGCUUGUAAAAUUAACCAAUUAAAAUAAUUAUUUCAAGAUAGAAAUAACUUAUCGGCUUCUGGAAGCAUGUGUAAUGUGAAUUCAAGGACUCGACGGAAGUUGAAUCACUUCAUCUAUAUUGCUUUCAGGAUUUUGGGUAACUAAAUUUAACAUUUGCACAUACAAAUGUUAAAGUACAAAUGUUAAAUCUAGUUACCCAAGCAGAAUAUGAAGAUAGUUUAUAGUAUAUAUAUACUAUAAAUAUACUAUAUAAAUCUAGUUAACAUUUAGUCUAAAUGUUAAAUCUAGUUACCUAAAAUCCUGAAAGCAAAAUGUAUAAAUAUAUAUCUUUUAAGGCAGUAUAAGCUUCGAUUCCUAUUGCUGCUCUGUUAAAUCUCAUCUUUCGUUGUGGCCCAACACUCUAGUAUGCAUGUUGCACCAAGCUUCUUUGAGCCGCUCUGCCCUCUGAUUUUGCUGUGUAGGGGAAUCUUUAUCAGGUUGGGCUACUUCCAGUUGUGCGAUGUAAAGAUUCGUAUUUUCUAGAAGGUAGACAAAAAACUCGCGUUCUCUUAAGGCAACAACCGGAAGAUUCUGCAGCGCAUAGGGCAUACCAUUAUUGUAGAAACGACCUUUAGUACCGAUCUCCAACCCCCUUUAAAACUGGUUUUGCAACCGGUACCGUUAUGUCGGUCCUUUAGUACCAGAUCAAAUAACCGGUACUAAAAGAGUCAACUAAAAGGACUCUUUUAGUACCGGUUGGUAACCAGUAUCAACUUGUUUUGUGGCCAAAAAAAUAAAGAAAAAAACAGUCAGAAGGCUCGCACACACGCGCAUCACAUGAAAUAUGCGUGUGCGGGGUCCAUGGGAUUCGAACCCAUGAAAUCAAGCUACGCGCGACCCUUCGUUACCAUCUCACCUGAAGUAACCCGUGGAGGAGGCUUUAGUACCGGGUCAUAACACCACCCGGUACUAAAAGUGACUCUUCAGUACCGGGUCAUAACACCACCCGGUACUAGUAUCGGAUGGUGUAAUGACCCGAUACUAAAAGGCCUCUAGGGACCCUCAAAUUUGAACCCGGUACUAAUGCUAAUAUUAGUACCGGGUCAAAGUGCAGCCAGAACUAAAGCAUGGGAUGAAAGGUCAUAUUUCUAGUAGUGUAUAGUUGUUGUGAAGGACUUACUUGGCUGUCCUCUCUCUUCUCCAUCCCCUUGGUCUUACGCCGCCGCUCGCACGCGAGCUGGUGCCCAACCAGAGGAGUGAGAGCUAGGGGCAGGUUGGGAGGUGGGGAUAGCGACUGGUGGCCAGGGUGAUGGUUGAUCCUGGCGGGGUUAGGGUUUUAGGGUUUUCGAGCUUCCUAUGGUCGGCGAACCUAGAGGAGGAGCUCAACAUCAGCUGCAACCCGCGAUGGUGGUGGUUUGGCCAGCGCCCGAGGCGAGGCAGCGCGGGAGUGCUGCCGGUGGGUUGGUGUUGGCACUCAUUAUUGACAACUAUUUUGUUCAUAAAAUAACACUCAAACUUGCUGCUGCUGCCGCCGCCAUCGCCACCCUAGCCAUAAUAUAAAGGCAAAAUUUGCUAAAGGACAUGCAAAAUGAUGCUAGUUUGCUGGCGGGCAUCGUUGACCUUGUAAUAUGCUACAAGACACUCUAGUUGUGUAUCAAUUUGCUGAAAGACAUUGCUAUGACUAAAAUAAUGUUUCUGGACUGAGUUGGAGAGAGAGAUGGAGUGAAAUGUCUGUUUUGCCCAUGACCCCACUGGUCAGAUCCUUCUUCUUCCACCCUCCUUUGUUCUUUCUUCAACCAUUACCCAGCUCCAGCGUGUUGCAGAUCUACGAGGGUGGCGGCCUGGGGCGAGGGGCAUUGCUCGCCCUCGGAGGAGCGCUGCGAGCGACGGCGCGGGGGCGGCAACCGCGCGUCAGAACCUGACUGUUCGUUAGCUCCUCUCGCUGCUGGGGAAGAAGGAGGGGGAUGGGCCAUGGACGGGGUUCCCUUGAAAACCUCAGCGUCGAGCUCGGGCGGCUACGCGCAGGCAGCACUAGGCUGCUUCACGGGGAGGGGGCGCGGCCAAUCAUUGGCACCCCACUGGUCCAAUGCUGAUGAAGAUGGUGCCAGCGUCGUGUGAGGACAUCUCAUCUCCUCGAGUUCCAUGGCCAGCACAGGUGAGCUGCCGCUACCACAAAACAGAGAUUUCGUGAGAGUCAAAAAACCUUAUGAAAAUAGCUAAAACCAUCAUGAAAAUAAUCCGUGACAUGACACUCUCACGAAAAUCCUCUCACAAAUAUGGUGCCAUGAAAAUACCAUUUUCAUGAGAGUGAACUGUCAUGAUUUUAUUUCGUGAGAGUAUUUCCUAUCAAUGACCUCCACGAAAUACUUUGUGCCACCAGGUCUUCAAGAUCAUUUUCAUGAGAGCUGAACAUCAGGAAAAGUCCGCCACAAAUGUUUUUCUUGGAGCCUCUAACUCUCAUGAAAAUCAUGCGGGCCGCCACGAAAAACAGCAUGACCAAAUGACAAAUUUUAUUUUCAUGUGUUCAUACCGUGAAAAUGGUCAUUUUCAUGAGAGUUGAUGAAACAAAAAAUAGUGCCAUUUUCAUGAGAGUUCAAGCAACCAGGAAAAGACACUAAUAAACAUCCAGAUCCCAUCCAGCACACAUCCAUGCACACAUAUAACCCACAUAUUGCUCCAGCACACAUCCAUGCAUAUACAAGAUCCAAAUGUUAAUAUAGUAGACAUCCAUGCCUGAACUAGUCUGCCACACAAGUCAUUGAUGCUACAAAUCCUACAAUCGCAGCAUGUGCAUACAAGUCACAGAAUGAGACAAUGUACCCAAAACUAAAAGGUUAGCAUCAACUGUGCUUCAACCAAAGUUGUCAUCCCAACUCUCCUCUUCAUCCAUGCCAUUCUUGUCAUGGCCGUCACUGUCAGUCCCCAUGGCAUUGCCAAUGCUGUGCAUGUCUUGGUAGGAACCUACAUGUGAUGAACCAGUAACCUGCAAAAAGAACUCAAAGGAUCUUGUUCUCAUAUUGUUCUCAUAUUGUAGCUGUGAAAUUCUUACAAGUAGUGUUGCAAUCAGUUCACUUUGAACCAAAAGAGCUCAAAGGAUCUUGUCCUAAAAGUUCCUCAUAAAGCUUAUGGGUUUGCUGGUGGAACUGGAAGGGCUUGAUGCAGCAGAUGCCAUUCUGCAAUAGAGAAAAAUUUAGAGAGCAGUAAUAGUUAAAAUUGGAUGCAGCAGAUACACAUGAAACUAGUAUUUAUACAAGUCUAUACAAUUAAAAUCUAAGGAGACUUAUCAUCGUUUUCAUGUGUUGCGAAUUAAAAUAAUGAAGGAUACACUGUUAGGUGAAAAUUCAAGAAACAAAAUUUUGCAUAGAGAUAAAGGUCCAACAUUAUUACAAGUUAAGGUAGUUUUAAAUAUCCUUGUAAUCUUCCUUUGGUUUCCUCAACGAUUCGAAGACAAUAACCUUGCUUCUAUCAAUGAUAAUUAUAAGGAGAAUCCAGUGGAAACUGUGUAUUCAUAUUAGAACUACCUAAGGUUAAUUAGGUUAGGAAAGGAAAUCGAAAAUAGAUGGUACCCACACUUACUUAAAGUUGUCGGGCAAUAGUAUGUAAUGCUUGUAAUUCCGUUGCUCCAAGAAUUUGUAUAUGUGGUCCAAUGUAGACUUUGGUUGAUCCCGUAUCUGCUGUUGGUUAAAUAAGUGUUUCUAGCCAUUUCUAGCCAUUAGAACUGGGACUAAAGGGGGCUCUUUAGUACGGGUUGAUAUUACUAACCGGGAUUAAAGAGCCCCCAUUAGAGUUGGUUUUUGGAUGCGGAACUAACAACUCCUUUAGUCCUGAGUACGAAAACGACUGAGAUAUUUGUUGCUUGGUUGAAGGUCCUUUCUCUACCGUGAAUAUUGCCAGAAAGAAUUGAAAGAGACUGCUUGCUAAAAAUAUGUCAUAGAUGUAGACCAAGCUACCAAGGAGGUAGCACUAGUAGAGAAUUGACUUUCGAGCCGCCCCCUUUUAUCCCGGUUUAAAGUUGGCCCAGGACAAAAGGGGGUGCGCCGGGGUGCGGAAAUUUGGAGGGGAGCAUUACUCCCGGUUGGUAAUUGCAACCGGGACUAAAGGCCCCCCUUUAGUCCCGGUUGCAACGGCUAGCUGGGGGGCAUCGGUGGCCGGACCCUUUUAUCCCGGUUGGAUCCUCCAACCGGGAUAAAAGGGACUCCCUUUUAUCCCGUUGGAGGAACCAACUGCGAUAAAAAGUUUAGUCCCGGUUGGUGCCUCCAACCGGGAUAAAAGGGUGUCCCUUUUAUCCCGGUUGGAGGAUCCAACCGGGACUAAACUUCCAACCGGGACAAAAGGUGUUUCCUUUUGUCUCGGUUGGAGUUUUUAACCGGGAUAAAAACUCAUCCCCCACUAUGUCCCGAGACAUAGACUUUCUUCUUCCUCCAGCCCGAGCCAGUCCAGCACAUUGAUAGAGAGCUGAGCUUCACCUACUCUCCGGUGGUGCCAAAGCAAGGGAGGUGCUGCCCGAAGUUUUUUCCCUCAUUUUCGUGGGAAUUUGACUCAGCCAACACAAGUGUUGCGAAGGUUUGCUACUUCAUCCUCGUGUUAUGCUUUGAUUUAUGCUUUGGAGAUGGAAAGAUUAUUUGCUACAAUGUGAUGAUGAAGUAGAAAAAUGGAGAGGUAUUUUGAGCUAGAAUGUGAGGGAGAUUGAUGUGUCAUAUAUAGUAUGCAUUAUUUCAGUGGUUUAAAAAUGAUGCUACCUUGUCUAGACGGUUUAUCUUAUCAAAUUCAAUAUGGUUUUUUAAAUCCAUAUACUUGUUGAACUUGCAUACCGUGUUCAUUUCGGCGAGAAUGUUCUCCGCCGAGCAGCAACGUAUGUCAAGAAGGAGGUUCGAUUCUACGAGAAAGAGUGGAUACGGACAUCGUGACCAUGUCCCCUUUUCCGUAGCAUCUAACCUCUUUCAUGACGAAGUGCGGUGCCACCCAGCUGAGGACAUCCUCGCGAAAUGAACACGGUCUUCAAGUUCAACAACUUCUGUAGUGGUAAGGAAAGAAUUUUUGUACAUAGAUGACUUCUGCUACUUGUUGAACUUGCAUACCGUGUUCAUCUCUCCGAGGAUGUUUUCCGCCGAGCAGCAACGUAUGUCAAGAAGGAGGUUUGAUUCUACGAGAAAGAGUGGAUACGGACAUCGUGACCGUGUCCCUUUUUCCGUAGCAUCUAACCUCUUUCAUGACGAAUACCGGUCCCGCCUAGUUGAGGACAUCCUCGCGAGAUGAUCACGGUCUUGAAGUUGAACAACUUAUGCAGUGUUAAGAUGAUCACGAUCUUUAAUCGAUUUUCACGCGUAAUCCAUUAUCAAGUGUAAUCCAUUUUCAUGCGUAAUACGAUGCAGAUGGACUAGCAAUGGAUGUAUAAUGCAGACAGGCGGAGCAAGGCGUUUAUUGAUGGCUUGCAUUAUUUUCUCGAAGUGGCAAAAGCGAACAAGCCAGAGAAUGGGUUCGUAUGUUGUCCAUGCUUCCAAUGCAAUAACAGGAAGGAGUAUUCAAACGAUUCCUGGGGGACUAUUCACAGCCACUUGUUUAAAUACGGUUUCAUGCCUAACUAUUUGGUUUGGACCAAGCACGGUAAACUAGGGGUUGUAAUGGAAGAUGGCGAGGAGGAGGAGGAAGAUGACACCAUUCCGGACUGGGUUGCAGGCCAAGCUUUUGCAGGUACUACAAUGGGCGAGGCUGAUGAAGAUGAGUUUGCAGAAAAUGACCCUACUGAUGACCUUGGUCAGGUGAUACAAGAUGCAUACAGAGAUUGCGAAACUGAGAAGGAAGCAGCAAAGUUGCAGCGCAUGAUAGAUGAUCACCAAAAAUUGUUGUACCGAGGUUGCCAGCAGGACCAUAAAAAACUAGGUACGACACUAGAAUUUGUGCAAUGGAAGGCAAAAAAUGGUGUGUCCGAUAAGGCAUUUCAGGGGAUGUUGAACAUUGUCAAGAAGAUUCUCCCCGAGAAUAAUGAAUUACCGUCCACAACAUAUGAAGCUAAACAGAUUAUUUGUCCUCUUGGAUUGGAUGUUCAGAAGAUACACGCAUGCCCUAAUGACUGUAUCCUCUAUCGUGGUGAUGAAUACGAGAAAUUGGAUGCUUGUCCCGUCUGCGAAGCCCUGCGGUAUAAGAUCAGGCGAGAUGAUCCUGGUGAUGUCGAGGGGCAGUCUCCCAAGAAGAGAGUUCCCGCGAAGGUGAUGUGGUAUUUCCCUAUAAUACCACGCUUGAAGCGCUUGUUCAGGAACAAGGCGAAUGCUAAGUUGAUGCGAUGGCACAAAGAAGACCGUAAGGAAGAUGAGAUGCUGAGACACCCCGCAGAUGGGGCACAGUGGAGAUCAAUUGAUAGAAAAUUCCCAGACUUUGAAAGUGAAGCAAGGAACAUAAGGUUUGGUUUAAGCACUGAUGGAUUCAAUUCAUUGGGUGAGUUGAGUAGUGGUCAUAGUACUUGGCCUGUGACCCUUUGUAUGUUCAACCUUCCUCCUUGGCUGUGCAUGAAGCGGAAGUUCAUUAUGAUGCCGGCGCUAAUCCAAGGCCCAAAACAACCCGGCAACGACAUUGACGUGUACCUAAGGCCGUUGGUUGAUAACCUUUUACAGCUCUGGAAGGAAGAAGGUGUACGUGUGUGGGAUGAGGAUAGACAAGAGAUCUUUAAUCUACGAGCACUGUUGUUCGUAACCAUCAACGAUUGGCCUGCAUUGAGUAACCUUUCAGGACAGACAAAUAAGGGAUAUCGGGCAUGCACCCACUGUUUAGACGACACAGACAGCAUGUACUUGAAGCACUGUAAGAAGGUCGUCUAUAUGGGUCAUCGUCGAUUUCUCCCUGCUCACCACCAGCUGAGAAAGAGCGGGAUGCAUUUCAAAGGGGCGCCAGACCAUCGUAAAAAACCUGCACACCGUAAUGGAAAGCGUGUGUUUGAGAUGAUGAAGGAUGUAUAUGUAGUCUUCGGAAAGGGACUUGGUAGCCAACCUGUUCCGAACGACGAUAACGGACAUGCACCCAUGUGGAAGAAAAAGUCAAUAUUUUGGGAGCUACCUUAUUGGGAAAUCCUAGAGGUUCGCAACGCAAUAGACGUGAUGCACCUGACGAAGAAUCUUUGCGUGAACGUGCUAGGCUUCAUGGGUGUUUAUGGAACCUCAAAAGAUACAUUGGAAGCACGACAGGACCUGAAAGCCAUGGGGCAACGAGAUGACCUACAUCCGGAAAAGAGAGAUAAUGGACAGCACUACUUACGUCCUGCCAGUUACACUCUCAGCAAGGAAGAGAAGGAUAGCAUGUUUGAAUGCUUGAAUAGUAUGAAGGUCCCGUCUGGGUACUCCUCGAAUAUAAAGGGAAUAAUAAAUAUGAAACAAAAGAAGUUUACAAAUCUCAAGGCUCAUGACUGCCACAUGUUGAUGACCCAGUUGCUUCCGGUUGCACUGAGGGGUGUUCUACCAGAAAAUGUCCGGUUGCCGCUCGUAAAGCUAUGCGCGUUUCUCAAUGCGAUUUCGCAGAAGGCAAUCGAUCCAUCCAAGCUAUCAAAGCUACAGAACGAUGUGGUGCAAUGUCUUGUCAGUUUUGAGUUGUUAUUUCCACCAUCCUUCUUCAAUAUUAUGACGCACUUACUGGUUCACCUAGUAAAAGAGAUUGGUAUUCUCGGACCUGUAUACCUGCACAAUAUGUGGCCUUUCGAGAGGUGCAUGGCAGUCCUAAAAAACUAUGUUCUUAAUCGUGCCCGUCCAGAAGGAAGCAUCGCCAGGGGAUAUGGAACAGAGGAGGUGAUCGAGUUUUGUGUUGAUUUUAUUGAUUCAAUUGACUCGAUUGGGGUUCCAACUUCACGCCACGAGGGGAGGCUCCGAGGAAUGGGCACCAUUGGAAGGAAAUCAAGUUUGAGCAAUGAUACUGAUUUGUUCGACAAGGCACACUACACUGUUCUACAACAGUCAUCCUUUGUGUCUCCGUAUAUCGAGCAGCACAGGCAGAUGGUAGCUUCCAAAAACCCGACCAAAUCCGAUGCUUGGCUUACCCGUCAUCACAUGGAAACUUUUCCCUCCUGGUUGCGCCAACAACUUAUGGGUAACUCUGAGAUUCACCCACAGCUUGCCUGGUUAGCCAGGGGACCUACUACCACAAUCGUCGAAUUCCAAGGCUAUGAGAUAAAUGGUUACACAUUUUACACGAGAGCCAAGGACCAGAAAAGCACGAACCAGAAUAGUGGUGUCCGCAUAGAUGCCAUGGACAGAAAUAAUAGCAAGGAGUCGUAUUAUGGUUUCAUACAGGAGAUAUGGGAACUCGAAUACGGACCGCUGUACAUCCCUCUAUUUCUUUGCAAUUGGGUGAAGCUAACUGCCGUCACCAAAGAUCAGUACGGAAUGACAAUAGUAGAUCUGAGCAAGACUGGAUACAGUGAUGACCCAUUCGUACUUGCCAAUGAUGUGCAUCAGGUGUUCUAUGUGAAGGACAUGUGCAGCAAACCCAAGAGGAAUCCAGAAGAGACAUGGGAGCCAAAGUGCCACAUAGUUCUUCCAGGUAAAAGAAAAAUCGUGGGAGUCGAGGAUAAAACAGACCAAUCAGAUGAUUAUGAUCAGUUUGAUGGCAUGCCUCCAUUCGCCGUUGAAGUUGAUCCAAGCAUCCUGCUAUCCAAAGAAGAGGCUCCGUACUUACGCCGCGAUCAUGAUCAAGGAACUUUCGUGAAGAAGAAAUUUUACAACGUUGUAUUGUAAUGCGUUAAAUGUACAUGACCUUUGUGUAUUAAUUGAUACAAUUUGUAAUGUACCCUAUGUAUGAUUUCAUGUGUUAUUAAAUUUGUUAGGUGAAGAUUUUUUAGAUAAACAUGAACAUUGUUAACCACAUACUAACAUGGAUUUUUCUGCUGUUGACGUCGGAUUUCGUCAUCAGUAGAAUCGGCGCCAAAGAGGAAAGAAAUCGAAGGAGGACGGAUGGAAAUCGGCCAAAAGGUGUUACAGUGCGGAAUCGGUCAAGUGGCUUUUACUUCGCUUCAGAGUGAAUACGCCGGGUUCCCAAUCGGCAAUCCUUUGCUGAUAAGAAAUCGGCCGAUCAGGAAGGUGGACUAAGGUGGGCCUGUAUGGGCUUGGAAAGAUGGAAGGAUAAGGUGGAGUUCAGCCCAUGAAGCGUGGGGUAAUUAGUUUAGCUCGGAUUGUGCUUGUAGAUAUUUGUUUUCUGUUUAAAUUAGAGAUAGAGUCCUAGUCGGUUAAGAAGAUUAUUUGUACGGGGCUAUAAAUAGCUACCUUUGUAAAUCUGUAAAAAAAAAACAAUCAAUCAAUACAACAAGUUACUUUAUUCUUCGUACUUACUUUCGAGCAGGCGACUUCGCCAUCACUUUUCCUUCUCACGAGUUCGUGCGGGUUGGCAGGGCUGCAUCAUCUUGAUCUCCGGCCGAUUCUGUAAGUUCCGUUUAUCGAGUAAUAUCUAAGCUUUAACUUCCGGCGCAUCGCUGUUGUUUCGUUUAGAUUUUAUUCAUCAGUUAUCGAUAUCGACUAGAUUCAUAGGUUUUUACCUGUUCUCCUAGUUUUUAUCACCAGUUACCCCGCUAGGAAUCGGUAGUAUCGGCUUUCAUUACUUUCUGUUACCAAAUCCAUCUGUUGCCGAUUAGAUCUUUUCCUGGUGCUGUUACUACGUGCCUUGUACCGAUUACUUUAAUAUUUUUCUAUCUACAAGGCUACGGGGGUCGUGCUGUCUUGUAGCCGAUUUCUUUACCACAGUAAAUCGGCCGAUCUGCCGAUAAGCUCUCUCGAUCGGAAACUUAGCCGAUCGUAGUUACUGAUUUUGACACGUGUUCUUCCUUGCCAAUCAACAGGUCAGAUUGGCUGGCACGCCGCGCGAACCGCACCAGGGCAUUCACCCGAACAGGAGCUAAGCAGAUUCUCCCGGGUCGUGUGUCGGCCGCUGGGAUUCGGUUGACCGAUUUCUAGCGCCAACACACUUUUGGCACGCCCGGUGGGACCAUUACAACCGCUGUCUUGUCGAAAGCUGCUGAAGUCUCCGAAGAUAACGUCAUCGAAGUGACGGAGGCAGAUCUAAAGGACGACCAAAAAGAAGAUCUAAAUCAGUAUUUGGAGCAAGUCCGGAAAACUUGCUUGAAAUCCUUCAGUCGUUCCAGGAGCGGGGAAACUGUUAAAAAGUCUCCUUUCCCUACUCCCCGCCAGAUCACGAUUUCAGAAGAUUCGGACAAAAUGUCCGAUAUGAUUCAGCAAUCUCUUCAUCACGCCUUCAUCAACCAAUCCCCGGUACUUUCAAACAUGGUGCACAAUGCUGUUGUCAACUCUUUCGCCGGAGGUAUACCACAGGGGUACAGGGGGCCUACGUAUUUUCAGCCGAUUCCACCAAAUCAGGCUUAUCAGGCUUCACAGCCGAUCCAAUCCUCUGUCGGAGGAUCUGGUGCUUCUACGUCAUCAACUCCUUUGGGAUACGGCUCCACUGCACCACUCCCUCCAGUCAUUCCUUUACCCUGGGGGGCACCCUUAAACACGACCGGUUUGAAUCAAUCGGUCAGCCAAGGAAAUCCUCCGUUCCAGACACCCUCCCAAACGGCCACUCGGCCGAUCAUACCACCAUACCAGCCUAUCGCUCCGGAGGUCAACAAGACGUCAGAGCUCAUGCUAUAUGAUGGAACAAGUGGUUCAUACAAGCAGCCGUCCUUUACUACACCGCCGGCUUAUACUCAGAUACCACCUUUUCAUCAACCUCCUUUUAUUCAACCUCCGAUUUAUCAACAUGUGCCGAUUCCGCCGCCAAUUAUUCCCCAACAACAACCGGAUUGGACGGCGCAAAUCGCGGAGGUAAUGCAAGAACAAUUCGGACUGAAGCCGAAGGUGCAAACUUAUACCUACAGGACACCAUACCCAUCUACGUACGACUUGUUGCCGUUUCCCCAUCGGUACAAAGUCCCGGAUUUCACUAAAUUUUCCGGAAUAUAUGAUACUUCUACCGUGGAACAUGUGAAUAGAUUCAUCAUCCAAUGCGGAGAAGCAGCUACGCAAGAUGCCCUACGGGUACGGUUGUUCUCGUCAUCUUUGUCUGGAUCGGCUUUCCAAUGGUUCACCACUUUGCCACCAAACUCGAUUAUCACAUGGGCCGAUCUAGAGAGGCAGUUCCACAAGUACUUCUAUGCUGGAGUCCACGAAAUGAAGUUGUCUGAUUUAACUAGCCUCCGGCAACGAAGUGAUGAGCCGAUACCCUCGUACAUACAGAGGUUUCGGGAAAUCAGAAACAAAUGCUACUCCUUGGCUCUAACCGAUGCGCAGUUGGCCGAUAUAGCUUUCCAAGGCCUGCUGCCACACAUUAAGGAGAAAUAUGCUUCGCAAGAAUUCGAGAGCCUGAGCCAGAUUGUCCACCGAUUGUCCGGACAAGAGGUGCGUCCAUUCGAUCCAAGAAGGAAUUUCCAGAAGAAAGUGGCGUUCCUGGAAGAAUUAGAGGACGAGGAAGACGCCGACAUCGGACUUGCAGAGUGGAUUAAAGGAAAGAAGCCGAUAUCAUGCCCGUUCGGCAAAAAGGAGCCGGAAGCAUUUGGUUUCGAUACAACUAAAGCUGACAAAAUCUUUGAUCUUCUACUCCAGGAAGGACAAAUUAAACUCUCGCCUUACCACACGAUACCCUCUGCCGAACAAUUGAAGAAGAUGAAGUAUUGCAAGUGGCAUAACGCCACAUCACAUGAUACCAACGCCAUUGAGCAAGGCAGACUCAAAUUUGAAGUGCCGGCAAAACUGGCUAAACCUAUGAAGAUUGAUCAACACCCUUUUCCUACCAACAUGGUGGAUACGGGUAAGAAUCCCCUCCAAACAAAAGUGCUGACGUCCGAAUCGGCAAAAAGGAGCGGCUCUGUCGACCCCAGAAAUCAAGUUACACCCGAAGACAUCAAAGGGAAACGGCGAAUGGAGGACGACGAUGGUGAGUCUGAUAGACCACGUAUUACUUCCCAGUUCCUGCUCCAAAAGUACCAACGCCAACAUGAACGAUCGAGGUCCCGAGAGGAAGCAAUGCGUCGACACGAAGAACACUGGAGAUGCCCAUUCUUCAUCCAUUGUUGGGAAAAUAACCUCAGGCUUCCAUCAGCCGAUACUUGCCCAGAGUGCAACGGUCCCUAUCGAAGCAAUCGGCCGAUUACAAGGUCUCGCUCCAGAGACGGAAGGCCAGAACCGAUCAGCAGGAAUCGGCGCAACCCAGAUGAUCAGCGCCCUUCCAUGCGUGAUCGGCUGGGGGGCAGAAGUGACCGAUAUGAUCGGUCAGAAGAUAGAAGCCAUAAUAGGCAGGGGGGCAGGACCGAUCGACAUGAUCAAUCAAGUAGCAAAGCCAGCGUUCACAGUCGGCUCCAAGACAUGGCCGAUGCUCGGGUAACAGACGAGAACCCGUUAGGACGCGAGCCAGAAUGGGAACGCGCCAGGAAAGAAGGGAGGCCAAUAAACCCCAGAUGGUGUCCCGAUGGUUUGACCAAAUCACAAAAACGAAGAGUCCAACGCCUCCGCCAAUGGGAACAGCAAGAAGAAGAAAGCGCGAUGGACAAGAAGGAAGGGAGGCCUCGGGUAUGGCGCCCCAAAGGAAACGACAAGGGCAACGAUGAAUCGGCGGGUGAUGAAUCGGCAGCCGAAAUCGGUAUGGUUUUCAUAUUGCCGACGGAGUUUAUGACCCCUGCCGAUCAACAGAACGUGUCGGCAAUAGAGGAACAAACAGCACGGUUGGCGUUAGAACCAAUGAUGGCCACGUUCGAAAAGCCCGAAGACGACGAACGACAACAUAUGAAGGCGUUGUUUCUUAAAGGGCAUGUUGACGGUCGCCCCCUCACUAAAUUGAUGGUCGACGGGGGAGCUGCCGUCAACAUCAUGCCGUAUGCCAUACUCCGAAAGCUGGGAAAGAGCGAUGACGACCUAACCAGGACGGACAUGAUGCUCAAGGACUUCGAAGGCAAGGUGUCAAACGCUCGCGGUGCCCUCUGCGUUGACCUCACCAUCGGCAGUAAGACCCUUCCUACCACGUUUUUCGUCAUUAAUGGCAAAGGGUCCUAUAAUAUGCUUCUUGGACGAGACUGGAUACACGCAAACUGCUGCAUACCGUCAACUAUGCAUCAAUGCCUGGUACAAUGGGUCGGCGACAACAUCGAGGUGGUCAAAGCCGACUCCGCGUACAGCAUCGCAGCAGCCGACGCACAGCAAUGGAGCUGCGAAACCGUCAGGUGCAUAUCAGGUAGGGUGUGGGAAACUGAUUUCCUGAAGGUCACCGAUUUUGGCCUACAGCCGAUCCGAGCAGUCGGCUCUGAAGAAGCGCAAUAAAUGGAUCAGUUCGCCCGAGAAGACGGGAAGCUGGGACACGGAUUCACGUCGGCCGAUUCAUUGGAAAUGGUAGAUUUAGGUGACGGGACCAAACCAAGGCCGACUUUUAUUAGUGCAAAUUUAGAUCCAGAGUACAAGUGUAAAUUGACAAAUUUAUUAAGAGAAUUCAAGGAUUGUUUUGCGUGGGAGUAUCACGAGAUGCCCGGAUUAGAUCGAUCUAUUGUUGAACAUCGGCUACCCAUAAAACCAGGGUAUCGGCCGUACCAACAACCCGCACGGCGAUGCAAUCCUAAAAUUUUACCAGACAUAAAAGCCGAAAUAACUCGGCUAAUUGAAGCGAAAUUUAUUCGGCAAUGUCGUUACGCCGAGUGGAUUUCUAAUAUCGUACCGGUGUAUAAGAAAAACGGGAAACUGCGCGUUUGCGUCGAUUUCAGAAAUCUUAAUCAGGCCACACCGAUGGAUGGCUACCCCAUGCCUACGGCCGAUGUACUGAUCGACGCUGCCGCGGGGCACAAAAUUAUUAGCUUCAUGGAUGGGAACGCCGGAUACAAUCAAAUACUUAUGGCCGAAGAGGACAUACCCAAAACGGCUUUCAGAUGUCCAGGCCAUCUUGGUCUAUUCGAGUGGGUGGUGAUGACUUUCGGUUUGAAGAAUGCUGGUGCUACAUAUCAGAGGGCCAUGAACUAUAUUUUCCACAAACUCAUCGGCCUCCUGGUGGAGAUCUACAUCGACGACGUUGUGGUCAAAUCCAAAAGCCACGAGGAACACCUAGCCGAUUUGCGAAGGGUCCUAGAGUGUACCAAGAAACAUGGUCUUAAGAUGAAUCCCAACAAAUGCGCUUUCGGCGUCUCCGCCGGACAGUUCCUAGGAUUCAUGGUGCACGAACGAGGCAUUGAAGUCAAUCAGAAGACCAUAGCGGCCAUCAACAAAGUCGUCGCUCCGCAGAACAAAACUGAACUACAAUCUCUAAUCGGCAAGGUAAACUUCAUCGGAAGGUUUAUAUCUAAUCUAUCUGGACGGAUCCAGACGUUCACACCACUUCUGAAGUUGAAGCCAGACCAAGAAUUUAUUUGGGGAGAAGAACAGCGCAAGGCGUUAGAAGACAUCAAGCGAUACUUAGUCUCGCCCCCAGUCCUGGUUCCCCCCCAAACGGGUAAGCCGUUUAAACUAUAUUUAUCAGCCGAUGAAAAAGCUAUUGGGUCGGCUCUAGUCCAAGAGUUUGAAGGCAAAGAACGGGUGAUUUAUUACGUUAGUAGAAGACUCCUGGAUGCCGAAACAAGAUAUCCUCCAGUAGAGCGUUUGUGUUUGUGUCUUUACUUCUCGUGCACCAAACUCAGACACUAUCUACUGUCGGCAGAAUGUAUAGUCGUAUGCAAAGAUGAUGUAGUGAAAUACAUGCUGUCACUGCCGAUAUUGAAAGGGCGAAUCGGUAAAUGGAUUUUAGCUUUAUCAGAAUUUGACCUACGGUACGAAUCGGCAAAAGCCAUCAAAGGUCAAGUCAUGGCCGAUUUCGUCGCACAGCACUGUGGGCCGGAGAUCGCCUUCGUGGAACUAGCGCCUUGGCAGUUAUUUUUUGAUGGGUCAUCAUGCGGAGUCGGAUCGGGAAUCAGCAUCGUUCUCAUAUCGCCUCGGGGGGCAAGAUACGAUUUUUCUCUGCCGAUAGAAACCGCCACCACAAACAAUCAAGCGUAAUACAGAGCUGUAUUAAAAGGCUUACGAUUAUUGAGAGAAGUCAAGGCCGAUUCUGUCGAGGUCUUCGGAGAUUCGAUGUUAAUCGUGGAUCAACUAACCGGGAAGGCUGAGUGCAAAGAUGACAUAUUACGAAUUCAUCACGAAGAUUGCCUACAGCUGUUAAAAGAAUUCAGAUCGGCAGUAAUCGAGCAUGUCCCAAGAGACCGCAAUGAGGAAGCGAACAAACUCGCUCAACACGCAUCUGGGUAUCGGCCGAUUCUAGGCGCCAUGGCCUUAGAGCUUGCAGCUGACGAUUGGCGCAAAGAAAUUGCCGAUUACCUAAAGGAUCCGUCUAAAAAGGUGGAGCGGCGAGUACGCUUUCACGCUACCAAAUACGUAUUACUCGAAGAUGAUCUGUUUUACCGAACGAUCGAAGGUGUUCUUCUUAAAUGCCUUGGGACAGAAGAAGCCAAGACUCUAAUGGGAGAAAUCCACGAAGGGGUAUGCGGAGCUCACCAAUCAGCACAUAAGAUGAAGUGGAUGAUCAGAAACAAUGGGUACUAUUGGCCUACGAUCCUUGAAGAUUGUUUCAAAUAUUAUAAGGGUUGUCAGGAGUGUCAAAAGUUUGGAAAUGUCCAGCAUGCACCUGCAUCGGCCAUGAAUCCCAUCAUCAAACCAUGGCCGUUCAGAGGGUGGGGAAUAGACCUUAUCGGCCAAAUUUAUCCACCAUCGAGCAAGGGGCACAAGUUUAUUCUGGUCGCCACCGAUUAUUUCACCAAAUGGGUGGAGGCAAUCCCAUUAAGAACUGUGACUUCGGCUAUCAUGGCCGAUUUUGUAAGGGAUCAUAUCGUCUACCGAUUCGGUAUCCCUCAAACUGUAACAACCGAUCAAGGAACGAUGUUCACAUCGGGGGAAUUUGAGGAGUUUACAACCGAUAUGGGCAUCAAAUUGUUAAAUUCUUCUCUGUAUUACGCUCAGGCCAAUGGUCAAGCAGAAUCUUCCAACAAAGGAAUAAUCAAGUUGAUCAAAAGGAAGAUUGAAGAAUACCCGAAGAAGUGGCACCUGUGUUUAACCGAAGCCCUAUGGGCAUACAGAAUGGCCUGUCAUGGGGCCACCAAGUUAUCUCCUUAUCAGUUGGUAUACGGUCACGAUGCAGUACUUCCAUGGGAAUCGAGGGCAGGAUCAAGGCGCAUUUCACUUCAAGACCAGUUAUCGGCCGACGACUACUCGGCACUUAUGAAAGAAGAACUUGAUGAUGUGGCCGGUCAUCGACUAAGGGCUCUGAUAAGUAUCGAAGAGAAUAAAAAGAGAGUGGCCAGGUGGUACGAUAAAAAGGUCAAAGUCAAGCAGUUCUCCCCCGGAGAUUUGGUAUGGAAGUUAGUACUACCGAUCGGGUCGAAAGAUCCUAAAUUCGGUAAAUGGUCUCCUACCUGGGAAGGGCCGUAUAAAAUCGGCAAAUGCUUAUAUCUUGGAAACAAUAGAAGGAGAAGAAUUCACUAGAGCUCUGAAUGGGAGGUAUUUAAAAAGGUAUUACCCAAGUAUAUGGGUCGGUGCCUAAGGAAUUAAACACGAUCAUACAUGACCGAUACGAUUCGGUCUUGAGACACACAUAAAGUCAACCGGAACGGCCGAUUACAUUCAUUCGGUACGGGCGACGGGUUACAUGGCCGACAAAAUGUUUAGUCGCCCUUAGAACAAAAAUACAGCAACUAAUUAUUCUUUUUCUUACGCUCCCUCUCAGCCCGACCUAACUCUAUCAUGAGUCGGAUGUAUUCUUCUUCUAUGGCCUUCAUUGAAAUCUCCGCUUCGACUUGACCGGGGAGAUCUACGGGAGGGCGCGAAGUCCCCACUCCCGCAUCUUCAAGAACGACUUGCCGAGGGAGUGGAUGACUCCUGUCAAUGGGAGGUCGACGGCUGCCAUUCCUCUCCACGAAGUCCAGGAUCAUUCGGGCCUCCGUGGCGAUGUCGUCUUCAAGAUCGCCACAACGAUCGCCCCUGACAGGUGGAGAUUGCUGGUUACUUUCACUCACCACGGAAUCCAAGACUACGCGAGCCUCCGUGGUAAUGUGAUCCUGGAGCUCUUCUCGGUGAGCCGCGAUCAGCAUCUUGUCCUCCGACGUUAAUGGAUCUUCGGAAUGAAUGCACUCAAUGGCGCGCACGAGCUCGGGGCUAAGACGUUGAGGCUGAAACAAAGAAGGGAUGAGGAGGGAUAUUCUCUUCCUUAGGGUCUAAAAAAGAAAGGAAGGUAGAGGUCAAAAAACUUCACCUGGUUAACAGAGGAAGAAGAAGAUGACGAGGCCAUAGCGAAGAAAUUGCACCGAUGAGAAGGGGCAGAAAGGUUGAACCGAGAGCCAAGAUUGAUGUUACCAGGAGUAAGCGCCGAGCUUGGUAUUUAUAAAAGAAUGCGUGGAAAUCUGGUAAAGCUACGUCCCAUCGGUAAUAAGAAGGCAAUAAAUAGAAAGGGCGUCGCGAGGGGCGGUCAAAGAAGGUAGUAAAUGAUUCGUACAAAACGGUCAGUGUUUUACAGAUUACCCAGAAGGGUAUCGAUGGCCGUGAUGGCCCGACGCCGGAUCUGAUCGGCAGAGUCAAGUACCCGUUGGUCUUCUUCCGCCGAUCCAGGAACCUCCGAUGCGCUGCGAUGGAGUCUCAGUGCCUCGUGAGCAAAGCGUUGCCUCUCCCGUGUUAAAUCGGCAAUAACAGAAGGUAGCUCUUCGAGUUUGUUCUCUUCGGCACUGAUUGCCUUGAUCACUUGCUCCAUUUCCUUGGCAAGCUCCGCCCUACGACGCUUGAGACGGUCUAUUUCUCCUAUGAUCGCCGGACGGGAAUCUUCUAGGACAUGGAUACGCCGAUUCGCCUCUUGAGCCUGACGUUUGAAAGCGUCUUCCUCUUCGCGAGCCUUGGUCAGCUUAGCGCGAUCGGCCAUGUGACGAAGGGCUCUGAAGACCGGGAUCCUCAUAGACUCGAUGAAGGCCGCCGGCGCCAGGGCCUCCUCCGCCUCUUCUGGUACUCGUCCGCUGACGUCAUUGAAGAGCUGCCGAAUCGGCGAGGCGUCUUCUACUAAUCGGCCGAUGUCCCCUUGAAGGAGGGAUCGGAUGCUGGAAAGUUUGGCUCGGACGUCGUCAGGAACGGAACUCAAGGCGACUUGGCGAGAAGCAACUUCUUCGUCGUCAGAGAGGGCGACCGCAAAAGAAAAGAGACUGUUGUCGGGGGUAUCCUGUUCCUGAAGAUAAUAAAGAAAAGAAAUGAACCAGCUGUAAGAAAGAGCAAAUCGGCUAAGAUGGAGGCCGAAACAGAAAAAUACCAUUUUGAAGCGAAUCUCCUCAUGUUGCACUUGAGAAGCCGCCAUGCCUUGCUCGGGGGCCUGCGCCAUGGGUUCAUCAGAUGGAGAGGACUCCACGAUAAUUGGCGCAGUGUUUGGACCAGCCUCCUGACAAGAAAUCGGCGAUCGAGGAGCGAUUGAUGUGCCGAUGGCCUGUGUCAGAAGUUUGAAUAAAUACGGUACGUAAAUGCCCAAAGGAAAUCGGUACGAGAAGUUCUAUACAUUAACGGAAGGAAACGGGGGCACGUCAAUAGCUGGAGGGGCUGCUGCCGAUUGUGGUACUUCUGUAGGGAUGCUCUGUGCAGUUUAAAGAUAAAAGAAAAAUUAAUAUCAAAAAUAAUAAUCGGAGACAGCGCAACUCAGUUUUACCUGUAUGGCCUCCAACAACAACGAUGCGGCGGCCGCCCCAGCUUGCGUCAUGGUUUGAGUAUCGGCACCUUGAAUGACUUGAGGAGGUGGUACGGCCGAAGUGUCUGCCGAUACGCUCACGGGAGGAUCCGCCGAUCCCGUACGAGCCCGGACUCGGCGACUGGUCUUCUUGGUAGUCCUUUUAUGAACUUGUUUCGAUCGGCCAGUAAUCACGUCAACAGACGGGGCGUUAUAGCCGAUAAGGGGAUAAGUAGUGUAUGGAUGACUCUCUAUCAGUCGUCCGCUGCGGCUGUGUGUUGGAGGGAUCCGAUUCUCGGCCUAAAAUAAUAAAAUCAUUAGUACUCGGUCGUGUUAAGGGGAAUAAAAGGGAAUAAAAAUCGGCUAUGUGAAGUACCUCGGCGUUUGGAUCAAUGUUGGUCGGGUCCAGAAGAUUGCAGUAUGCCGAUGCUGAGUUGCAGAAGAGGAAUUGCUUCCAAUCAGCCCACCAUAGUUUGAACGGCUGAACAGCAAAUGGAGCUACUAGCCAGUCGUUCAAGUUAAUUGUACUGGAGUCUGGAAUUCGGUCUCGCAACCGACCGUAAUCUAGGCUAGAUUUGAGAUCAUCUCUAAACUUGAUUUUGCCAGCAAAGUACACCUGAAUCGGCAGCUGACCCAUGCCAAAUUGUCGUGCCGCAGCAGAAGGGUUGUAGAAUUCAUACGUAGGGGCAUCCUUCCCUGAGAAGAAAUUGGCCGGUAGGAUCCCUGGCUUGAUCAACCCUUCAUAGAGAUCUUCAUCAAACCGGCCAGAAGUUGAGUCAAAGCAGGAAGGGAGCUCGAAGAUGGGAAUGUCUCGCUGGUAUGGAAACCAGAUAGUUGCGUCCUCAUUAAAUCCAUCGUAAAAGCACCGAAAGUACUCGGCUACCUUUGUAGCGGAAUACGCACAACCUGGAAAAGCUGAUGCCGCUUCACCAUAAGACAUGCAUCGGCGACGCUCGGUAGGGUCUUCCGCCGAUUCAAUAUUGGGAAACGUCAUGUGGUCCACUGGCUGCCGGGUGAUCCUGUUCAUGUAAAGGUUCAACCAUAGAUUGACGAACCACCAAGGCCCACCUGGGUUGCCGAUUGGUUCUCCCUUGGAAAGUUUUGUGCCGAUUUGGUGGAGCAUGUGGUACACAGCACCCAGAAGAUGUUUCCCGAGAGGAAUGUGGCUUCCUUUGGACAGUGCCUCGGCUAAAGAUUGGGUGUUGGUUGUUGGGCCGGCGGCUCUUCCACAGAAAAGGUGUUUUUCUAGCCACAUCAUCAGGAAAGCGGUGUGCUCCCUAUUAUCAAUAGUACCGGUCUUCUUGUUAUUACUAAUAAAGCCCUUCCAGCUGCCGAUUCCUCUUACGUCCAGCCGAUGCGACGGUACGGUCAGAAGUUGGAAAGGCGUGUCAGGAGAGGAUAUGUCCAGGCCGGUCAAGAGGACCACAUCGGCCAGAGUGGGGGUCAUAGGACCGUGUCCAAAUAAGAAUGCAUUAAGAGCGUCAGACCAAAAAUAGGAAGCCGCCAUCACUAGCGGUUCGUUUUUCUCCAUUUGCGACAGAGAGAGGUUGAUACAUUGGCCGAUUUUGAGUUCAUCCCACAAGACGCUCUUUGACGUGGCCAUCCGUUGGUACCAUUCCCUCCAACCGGGGGUUUCAUUCGGCCAAGAUCUAAAAGUGCUGGCCCAUUGAUCUAAGUUCAUGUCAGAUCGUUUGAAAGGUAUCCGGUCAGUUUCCAAGUUUAUGAGGUCUGCUGGAUCUGGGUCUCCCAUGGGACCAAGGCAAACAAGGCCAGGACUACCCGUGAGAUGGAUAGUGAUUCUAUGUCUAACCGCCUAAAUGAGGAAAAGAGGCAUAAGAAUAUAAGGAAUAGAUCUAAGAUAAAUACGUUACCGAUAGAGGAAAAAUUCGGUGUUUACCUCCGGUAUAAAAUUCUGAGUAAUCGGUGUGGUCGCCGAUGCAGAUGCAGAUGAUGAAGCCGUAAUGGGGAUCGCCAUUGGGAUCUCUGAUGAAGCUCCUUCAUCUAUGGAUGGAGUGACGGUUGUUGCCACCGUUACCGGAGGUGCUACCUCCACCGGGGGCAUUGUCCCUGGAGCAUCGCGUGCUGGGGAAUUACCGGAGGGAGUCGCCAUUGAAGGGGAGGGGAAGAAGUGACAGGAGCUGGAGCUGGAAGGCUUCGAUGGCAAGAUUGAAGAAGGAAGGAAGUGCGCGCGCUGGAAAGAGGGAUGUGAGCUUGAAGAUGAGUUGCGGUGAAAUGAUAUUUAUAGGGUGCCUGAAGAAAGGGUAAAGAUGGAAUUUUCAACGCGCCGGCGCGUCGAGUUUUUCGGGGUAGUGGCUGUCGUGGGCGCCCGUUUCAAAAAAUUGCAAUGAUCAGCCGGGAGACCGCGAAACGGAAGGAUAUUUUCACUGCGGCCGUUUCGGAAGAGAGGUUAUAAAGAAUUUCGAAGUAAAAGGCUAUGUUUUACUCCGAAACUGGGGGGCAUGUGUUGACGCCGGAUUUCGUCAUCAGUAGAAUCGGCGCCAAAGAGGAAAGAAAUCGAAGGAGGACGGAUGGAAAUCGGCCAAAAGGUGCUACAGCGCGGAAUCGGUCAAGUGGCUUUUACUUUGCUUCAGAGUGAAUACGCCGGGUUCCCAAUCGGCAAUCCUUUGCUGAUAAGAAAUCGGCCGAUCAGGAAGGUGGACUAAGGUGGGCCUGUAUGGGCUUGGAAAGAUGGAAGGAUAAGGUGGAGUUCAGCCCAUGAAGCGUGGGGUAAUUAGUUUAGCUCGGAUUGUGCUUGUAGAUAUUUGUUUUCUGUUUAAAUUAGAGAUAGAGUCCUAGUCGGUUAAGAAGAUUAUUUGUACGGGGCUAUAAAUAGCUACCUUUGUAAAUCUGUAAAAAAAAAAAACAAUCAAUCAAUACAACAAGUUACUUUAUUCUUCGUACUUACUUUCGAGCAGGCGACUUCGCCAUCACUUUUCCUUCUCACGAGUUCGUGCGGGUUGGCAGGGCUGCAUCAUCUUGAUCUCCGGCCGAUUCUGUAAGUUCCGUUUAUCGAGUAAUAUCUAAGCUUUAACUUCCGGCGCAUCGCUGUUGUUUCGUUUAGAUUUUAUUCAUCAGUUAUCGAUAUCGACUAGAUUCAUAGGUUUUUACCUGUUCUCCUAGUUUUUAUCACCAGUUACCCCGCUAGGAAUCGGUAGUAUCGGCUUUCAUUACUUUCUGUUACCAAAUCCAUCUGUUGCCGAUUAGAUCUUUUCCUGGUGCUGUUACUACGUGCCUUGUACCGAUUACUUUAAUAUUUUUCUAUCUACAAGGCUACGGGGGUCGUGCUGUCUUGUAGCCGAUUUCUUUACCACAGUAAAUCGGCCGAUCUGCCGAUAAGCUCUCUCGAUCGGAAACUUAGCCGAUCGUAGUUACUGAUUUUGACACGUGUUCUUCCUUGCCAAUCAACAGGUCAGAUUGGCUGGCACGCCGUGCGAACCGCACCAGGGCAUUCACCCGAACAGGAGCUAAGCAGAUUCUCCCGGGUCGUGUGUCGGCCGCUGGGAUUCGGUUGACCGAUUUCUAGCGCCAACAUCUGCGCAUUCAAAUAAUUUAAUUGAAUAAUUUCUUGAUCACAGCAAUGCAGUAAAAUAAAUAUUUUACAGGCUAAAUGAGUUGGUAUAGAAUUAAUGAUUACUUCAUACUUAUUGUCAAUUUACUCGUUAAUUAAAUAUAUUUUUGCAUGUACAAAAUCUGUGAAGGUUUUGUUUUUCAUCCUGAAAUGCAGUGAAAAGGUAAAAUAAAAUCCAUUUCCAAAAAACAGGCGGGAGAAGAAAAAUAGGAAAAAAGACCUUUUGUCUCGGGGCUAACAGCAACCGGGACAAAAGGCCCCCCUUUUAUCCUGGUUGCCAACGGCAACCGGGAUAAAAGGGUACGUUUCGUCUCCCGCCCAAACGUACCCUUUUAUCCCGGUUGCCAACUGCAGCAGGGAUAAAAGGGUACACUCCCAGCCCCACCUGGCGGGGGUACCCUUUUGUCCCGGGUCCCGUCGCCAACCGGGAUAAAAGGGGGGGGGCCUUUUAUCCCGGUUGGUGNNNNNNNNNNNNNNNNNNNNNNNNNNNNNNNNNNNNNNNNNNNNNNNNNNNNNNNNNNNNNNNNNNNNNNNNNNNNNNNNNNNNNNNNNNNNNNNNNNNNGACGAGACGACGACGCGAGACGACGACGGCCGAGGCGAAGACGACGACGGCGGCGUAGGCGGGACGGCGACGAGACGGCGACGAGGGGCGACGAGGAUGGAGCCGGCGACGAGGAUGUGGAGCCGGUGGCCGGAGGCGACGAGGUGGCCGGGGGCCGGGCGCGUCGACGGACGAGGAGGGGAUCGAGGAGGGCCGGCCGGGGGACGACGACGGCGCAAUGGGGGACAUCGACGGCGCAAUGGGGGACGACGACGGCGGCGGCCGGUGAGGGAGGCGGACGGGCGGCGACGGCGGAGAACGCGCGGGACUUGCGAAAUUUUGGCUAAGUGUGUAACUGGCAGGGGGUAGAAGGGAGUACAGUGCCUUUUAACCCCCCCCUUUUAUCCCGGUUCGUAAUAGGACCCGGGACAAAAGGCUCUUUUGUCCCGGGUCCUAUUACGAACCGGGAUAAAAGGGGGGGGUUAAAAGGCACUGUACUCCCUUCUACCCCCUGCCAGUUACACACUUAGCCAAAAUUUCGCAAGUCCCGCGCGUUCUCCGCCGUCGCCGCCCGUCCGCCUCCCUCACCGGCCGCCGCCGUCGUCGUCCCCCAUUGCGCCGUCGAUGUCCCCCAUUGCGCCGUCGUCGUCCCCCGGCCGGCCCUCCUCGAUCCCCUCCUCGUCCGUCGACGCGCCCGGCCCCCGGCCACCUCGUCGCCUCCGGCCACCGGCUCCACAUCCUCGUCGCCGGCUCCAUCCUCGUCGCCCCUCGUCGCCGUCUCGUCGCCGUCCCGCCUACGCCGCCGUCGUCGUCUUCGCCUCGGCCGUCGUCGUCCCGCCGUCGUCGUCUUCGUCCUCGUCGCCGUCCCGCGCGCCGCCCGGCCGCCGCCGUCCCGCCGCCCCGGCCGCCGCCGUCCCGCCACCCCGGCCGCCGCCGUCCCGCCGCCCCGGCCGCCGCCGUCCCGCCGACCCGGCCGCCGCCGACCCGCCGACCCGGCCGCCGCCGUCCCGCCGUCCCGCCGUCCCGGCCGUCGGCCCGCGCGGGAGAGGUCCGCUGCCGCGCCGGCCGGCAGCGCCGGGAGGGUUUUCUUUUUAAGUUAAUUAGAAAAUUAAGUUUUAUUUUUAGAUAGAAUUGUAAUUUUGUUAAGUUAGAUUUUUAGAUUUCUAGUUAGUUUGUUAAGUUAGAUUUCUAGUUAGUUUUUUAAGUUAGAGUUGAUAUAGAGAUCGCCGAGUAGCCGCCGUGAUCGUCGCCUUGUAGCCGCCGUGAUCGCCGCCGAGUAGCCGCCGUGAUCGCCGCCAUCCCGCCGCCCAUCACAACCUAGUAGGCACCGCCCGUGGUUCCGGUGAACCGUCCCCGCCGUACCGCCGCCCUGACCGCCGCCGUCCCGCCUCCGCCGCCCUGAUCGCCGCCGUCCCGCCUCCGCCGCCCUGAUCGCCGCCGUCACAACCUAGGCACCGCACGUGGAUAUUGUUACAAAUUCGUAGAAAUUCGUCAAAAUUCGUAGAAAUUCGUCAAAAUUCGUAGAAAUUCGUAGAAAUUUGUAGAAAUUCAUAGAAAUUCGUAGAAAUUCGUAGAAAUUUGUAGAAAUUCGUAGAAAUUCAUAGAAAUUCGUAGAAAUUCAUAGAAAUUUGUUGAAAUUCGUCAAAAUUCAUAGAAAUAUUUCGGACUUUGUACGAUUCAUGUUAUUUUAUGAUUUCAUUAUAUACAUGUAUGAUUCCAUUCCGGACUUUGUACAAAUUUGUAUUAAGACGAUUUCUAUGACUGUCAUGUAUGAUUCCAUGUAUGUUUCCAUCAAUAGUUGAAAUGGCAGACGAUGAGACCGCAAGGUAUAUCAUGGAGCAGAUAAUCGCUGGUGAUGGUAGUGGCGACAACGUUCCACUAUCAUACACGUAUGAAGAGGGCACCCAGGCGGACAUGUUCCUCAACAUGUCCGCUGAUGGGAAUGAAGAGCAACAGCCGCAACAACAACUUGCCGUGGCGGAAGGUUCCGGCGAGGUAUAUACAACCAUUCUUGUAUUGUUUCACGCCACCGCUACUACUACGUACUAAUUAACGAAUCUUGAACUGUUAGCCCUCCGGAUCGACACAAGGGCAGAAGACCUGAGGUCGUACAAAGGUGAUGGAAGGGAGGCUUGUCAUCACCGAAGUUACAGAAGAGGGCAAGCCGGUUGCUCCCGAGAAAGUAGCAAAGAAGUACGUGAGUCAAAUCGGGGCAAUCGUUCGGGACAACGUGCCUAUCAGCAUCAGAGAAUGGAAGGGCAGAAGAGAUAAUCCGUACGCCCUUCCAGAGAUAGAAAAGAAUAUGCUGUGGGAAGACGUGAAGAGACAUUUCACAUUCCCCGAAGGAUAUAGCGAGAAGGAUGUCAAAGCGUGGACGCUUAAGAAGAUGGCUACUCAAUUCCAGACAUUCAAGAAGAUGCUGGACACCCACUACAUCAAGAAGGGCAAAACUCCAGACUUCAACGCGUGGCCAAAGUUGAGGGACCACUGGGAUGCAUUUGUUGAAUACAAGAGGAGUGAAGAAGGUGUGAAAAAGAUCACGACCAACAUAGCAAAUGCUAGUCAGAAGGGCUACCACCAUCAUUUGGGGUGAGGUGGGUAUGGCUCAGCAAUUCCCAAGUGGAGGAAGAUGGAACAAGAUCUGAUCGAACGGGGAAUCGUACCUGCAACUAUUGAAUGGCCCGAACGAUCAAAGAACUGGUACUACGCUCAUGGAGGCUCCCUAAGCCAAGAGGAUGGGACGCUGAUUUUCAAUGACACAAUACGUGAGAAGGCCGAACAUCUCAUGAAGAACAUUGAAGAUUCCAAGGCUGGGAGGUUGAGGGUGGACCAAGAAAAUGAUGAGCUCACAUUGGCCCUCGGUAAUCCAGAGCACCCAGGACGUUGCCGGGGGUUCGGGGUGGUUCCGUGGAAGUUCGCUUUCCGAGGCGACAGCGCCUCUUACAGAAGCCGGAAGCGAAGAAAGGAACAGAUGGAGGAGAGCUGGUAGCAGAUGGUAGAACAAAGAAUGAUGGAUGAAAUCAAUCGGCGGGUGGCCGACGCAGUUGCGGAGUUGGCGCAAUCUGGAGCAAUGCCGAAUCCUAACACCGCCAGCCCUUCUCAACGCCUCGGGAGCAGUUGUGCUUCUACAGGGGUCCCCGAUGCGCAGACGCCCAGGUUACCCGUGGAGGAGCAAUGGUUCCCCGUGGAUGCCAUCACGCAACGGACCUCAUGUAAGCUGCAUGCACCGGUCGGCAACCUCACUAUUAAGGUAUACUUAUACAUAAUAUUUAUGCAAUCUUGUCAAUUGAUCCAGGCCUCGAGAUCGGAGUUCAACCUGUUUACUUCUACUAUAUGUACAGGUAGCGUACGGGAGUGUGUUACCAACCCUGGCAGGGCAGAGCAGUCAUGGCAUGGACAUUCCAACAGGCUACGCCAGCGUCUGCGUCGAGCAAAUAGUUGAUCCCCAGUAUGAAGGUCUAGAGCUCGACUUCCCGGGAGGCGACGGGGAAAAGACAUUGGCAGAUGCGCUUCAUGGGAUCAUUCUAUGGAAGAAACGCUACAUCAUUAUUCCCCGCACGGAGCCAUCUCCUCAGACCUCAAGACCACUCCCCGUAGAUCCCCAGCAGCGACCUUCUCCUCAUACCUCGAGACCGGCAUCUCCUGCUCCAGGACCGUCUCUUCCAUCUAUAUCAAGGUCUCCAUCUCCACCACAUCCUGGUGCUGGGAGCGACGACGACAAUAACAACACCCCUCCCCGAUCACCGUCACCGGCACCAAGAGCGGCCCCCUCGAAGGAACCUGCAGCACCACUCAAGAAGUCACGAGCACCGCCUCCCAAGCAAAGACAGAGAAAGAAGAAAACAAAGGUCGACCCUGAAGUGGCUCGCAAGGAACGCUUUGAGGCAAUGUCUCAUGAAGAACAGUGGGCAGAAAUCCAACGAGAGGCCAGUGAGUGGUUCAAGAAACAAGCCGAAUUAAAAAAGGCAAGGGAGAUGGAGCCACCGUCAGUAAGUCGGCGAGAUUUAAACUUUUUUAUCAGGAUGGAGGAAGAAGCCAAGAAAAGGAUACCACUCUUGUCAAACUAUGAACGGGCUCUAGUAAAGGCUGAUGAAAAGGAUAAAAGGAAAGGAAAAUCAUCCUCCAGCAGUCCAGUCCCCGACCUCAGCCAUUUAUCAAAAAAAGAUGCUCAACGGGUAAAAGCAAUGCCCUUGGAUCAACAAGCAAAUAUAUUGAAGUUCAUGGAAGAAACAGGUCUGGGACUUGAUGAAUGCAUAGGGCAAGUCGAGACGCCAACUGCACCGCCCCCUGAGCCGAAGUGGACUUAUGAGCUAGGCAAACCUCUAGUAAAGCCUUCAAUGGUACGGAAGCUAUCAACAAAGAUGUACGAAUUCCAUCAAUGGUCGGCAUGAAGGUAAAACCGAUAGAUUUUCACGGUGAAGGGGAGAAAGUGCUGUGGCUAGACUUCAAGGAUAUAUACGAAGUGUACCAUCAUGAUGCCCUGGACGUCUCUCUGAUCAGCGCUUGGAUUCUGUAAGUGUCCGUUUAUUAUCUCUACAUGUAAAUUUUGGCGUGCGUCACCGUACUAACUUCAUCUUCCAUUUCAUGUAGGAUGCUAAUUCAGACAUGCCGCCGAGAGGCGUACCUACAUGUAGGCUUCAUGGAUCCAUCUGUAGUUAACCAACAACAGAUACAAUUAGCGCCGGAAAAAACCUUUGCGGAAAUAUACAAUUUCCUACACAAACAAACAUUCAAGGAUUUCAUACUACUUCCAUACAACUUCAAGUAAGUGUGUGUAUACCGUCUACUUUCGAUGUCUUUUUCCUUAUCUCUACAUGUUAGUUAGCUCUAAUAUGCAUGAACAUUUUACGCACGCAGCUUCCACUGGAUCCUUAUUAUAAUUGAGCCUGAAAGAAGCCACGUCACUGUCUUAGAUUCGUUAAGGAAAGAUCCGAUGGACUACCAAGAAUUGCAAGACAUGCUAGGCUUGUAAUAAUUCUGGACCUUUAUCUCUAUGCAAAAAUUUAUUUCCUAAAUUUUAUCCCUGUUACACUAUGUCAUUCAUUAUUCUAAUCCGCAGCGCAUGGAAACAAUUCAUAAGGACACACAAAGGUCCAUUCAAAGAAAAUCUUACAUGGAACACAGACUUCCCGGUACGUAUGCAGUCUGCACAUUUAUUACAUUGUAUAACACAAAUAUUUCAUAACUUAUUUUUUUCCGCACUGAAGUGCUUAAGACAGGAACCCGGGAAUAAUCUAUGUGGCUACUACAUCUGUGAGCACAUGCACAGUUUUUUGGGACCCAAGGGACCGAAGAUGACGCCGCACAACUUUAAAGUACGUAAAAUAACUAUAUUACUAGUUAAUUAUUUUCUAGCUCCUUAUAUGUAUUUGUUCAUGUAACAUUCACAAAUUUCCAAAUUAUAGAUGUUAAAUAUUCAACAAGGACUCUUGAAGGAAGAAAGAGUAGCGGCAAUAUGUGAAGGUCUCAUUGGAUUCAUAAUGGACGAGGUGGUGGACGAGGUGGUAAAUCCAAGAGGAGAAUUUUAUUACGAUGGACGACAAUUAGACACUCCGAUCAGCAACACCACGAUGGAUACUUUGAUUUAUUUGUAUAUAUAAUACGCGCUAAUUAUGAUCGAUUUGUACUAAGCUAGUUGAAUUGUGUAUAUGAAUUGUGUAUAAGGAUUGUGUAUAUAUAUAGUAAUUGUAUAAUUACAAAUCCCAUUCGUUUAAAUACUAGUUGAUUUCGUUCUAAAAAAAUCUCAACUACAAGGUUAACAAAUUAAAAGGGCUGCGGUACUACUAUACGUAUACGUGAUGCAUGCAUGAAAAAUUCAGACGUCACGGCUGUGCCAUGCAAGCGCCAUUUAGUCCCGGUUGGAAUCGAGCCGGGACUAAAGGGGACCCCUUUAGUCCCGGUUGGGAAAUCCAACCAGGACUAAAGGGGGACCUUUACUCCCGGUUAAAAGACCCGGGAGUAAAGACCCCCCCCUUUUGUCCCGGUUGGUUUAUCCCGGAUGGAUAUCCGAGAGAUAUGCACCCUACCAACCGGGACUAAAGGCCAAUUCUCUACCAGUGUAGACCAAACAUGAUACACACCAUGCGUACCUUGCUGUGCAGACUAUGCAUUGACAAGAUACCCGACCACAUGUUGGCCUCGGUCACAUCAAAAGAAUCAUGUAGGCCACCAAUAAACUACUUGAAGCGGCAUUCCGUAUCGUAUAUGCAUUGCCGGUUCAUCUGCAUUACAUUACAUAAAGCACUAUUAACUAUUUGAAUAAAAUGAACCAAUUUAAAAGUAAUGUGUUGUACUCUACUAUAGAAAGCCCUAUCACUGCCGGAUCCAAAAACAUCAUUGUUAAUGGUGGUUAAGUACCAAAUAUGAUGGUCAAUAUUCUCAAGAAUAAUGGAGAAUUAGCAUUUCUUAGACACAUAUUUGGUUUUGAACAAUGUAGUUCCACAUGUCUUUGGAGAUUAUUUGGGUGUGGGUGAAAUAAUACAAAAAUAAGGAGAAAACACACUCCCAUGGCAAAGAAACACAACUCCAACCAAUGAGAGAUAGCCACAGGGGCAGCACACGGAUCCAUGGGCCCACAAACCGCAUCAAACCGUCUUACCAAGGCAGGUAGCACCCACAACCGUCAUUAGGACCCACCUGGAAGUCUACCAAGAAGAAGGUUGCGAGUGGGGCCAGGAGGGGUUCGGUUGAAUCAUCUCUAGCUAGCUCCCCUCAUCCCCAGCUGGUGGGUGGUGGUGGUUGAUGGUGUCCCUACAUCGGUUAGAGGAGAUUCCCCCAAAUAUUCCUCCUGUAAACCACCUCUAUGGACCUAUACAUAGAGGGGUGUGCUCUCCAUUCCAACACACACCACAAGUUGAAUCACUGUCUCCCUCUUUAGUUUCCAAGUUUAUGGAGUUAGGCUAGAGUAGCUCUGCUCAAGGUUCCAAGUCCACUUGGAGUUAAGCAUAUGUCUCUUGUAUCGUUAUUUCCUAAAUUGACUUUAUGCUUAGUUCUUAUAUGCAUGAGUUAGUCUAAUACCCUUGCUCUAUUGAUAUGCUCGACUUAUAUGCUCGUAUGCUAGUCAUAUACCCUUGCUGUCGUAGUAUAGGCUUAUAUGCUCUCAUGUGUGCCUGUAGACCUUGCUAUAGUAUAUACUUGUUGUGUAUACAUACCAUGUAUAGGCUAGUCGAUCUAUACCAUGGCAUUGGUUCAAUAGCCAUGUUUUUGGUGGCUCCAGCCCUAGUCACAAUAGCUCGGGACAGCUGGAGUGUUGUUAAAAAUGCAAGAGUGGUGCUUGGGUUGUUUAGCAUCGUUGGAUAUGGGUUUGCCCCACAGGUUUCUAACGGUAGGCGACAGCUAGUGACAUCCCUGUCCGUCCUUCGUAAUCCCCCCACAUUCAGGUACGCCAUAAAUGUUCGUAAAUUAGCAGUAACUACGCCGGUACACCCAUAGGGUAUUGUCUCCCUGUAGUACCUUGGUGCAUAGAACUAAGUCCUAUACACUGUGUGUGUAUGUUUACGCUGAUAUGAUCUGUGCAGUAUAUAGGAUGUAUAUAUGAACCUAGAGCUAACUCCUAGUCCGUUCUCCAUAGCUUAGUUAUCUUGAGAUGAUUCUUUUGUAUGUGUAACACUACCCAUCUUAUCAUUAUCCUUGCUCCUGUCUUGUGUAAUAUAUCUACUCAUCCUAUGAUAUACUCAUAUGCAUAGUAAACUAUUUUGACCUACCCGCCUUCCUUUGGGAAAUAUGAUACCCUGGAAUAAUCCUAGGUGAAAUCCUACAACGGUAUAUCCAUGUGCUUGCGGAUUUAUUCAUGACCAUUAAAUAUACCAACAAUCAUCACUGCCGGUUAUGGGCGUCGUUAGUGAAGGGUUGGUAGUGAUGGGCAUCCCCUUCACCAAUGGACCUGGAACCGGCGGUGAUGGCUGUUAUAAAAAAGGGGACACCACCCAGCGUACCCCGCGACCCGGCUGGCCGCACCUCCCAUCAUCCCCGCCAGCCGCCCUUCCUUUUCGCCGGCCGAGCAUGGUCCUGGCCUUUGUCCCUACCGCCUCGCCUCCACCGCGACCCCCCGCCGAUGCCCUCAUGCCUGGCCCCCCUCAUCUUGCCGGCCACCCUCCCGAUGCGUCCACUAGGGCCCUCACACCACCAACCGCCCUUGCCUAGAGAGGGAGAGAGAGGAGGGAGGUGAGGCCACGCACCUCGUCCUACACCGCCGCUGUUUCUCCUCGGCCCACCGCGCCUCACCCCACACCACAGCCGCGCCUUGCCAUCUUACCGGCUGCGACGCCUCAUCUCACCGGCCACCGUUCCUCACCCCCACUUCGGUCGUCGCCGCUCCUUGCCCUACUGCUGCUCUUUGCCGCUGCGACUGAGCGGCGAGUGGAGGAGGAGGGACGGGGCAGGAGGAGGGCAAGAUCCGGGAGGAAGGGAGAGAUCUUGGGAGGUGGAGAUGGAAGGAUAUGGCGGAAGGGAGAGAUCCAGAGGGAGAGAGCAGGGGAGAGAGGGGGGCAUGUGGGGAGAGAGUGCGUGUGGGGUGGGGCCAGGCUGGUGGGAUGGAAGGGAGAGGGGCUAGACGGGCGCAGUGCAUUCAACUGGAUGAAGUAAAUAUUUCGGAUUCGAGACCCCAGCUUUAUUAUCACCGCUGGUCCGUAGUACCAUCCGGUGCCUGCUCGUAAUUUAAUUUGAAUCUGCGGUGAUGUUUUAUUAUCACCAUCGGAUCAUAUAAAAAAUCCGGCGGUUAAAAAUCCGCUGGUUUCGAUGAAAACCGACGGUGAUAGGAUGACUGUGAUAGUCUCUUCUCUAGUAGUGGUAUAUUAGUACCGGCUGCCAGACGGUGUUGCCGACCAGUACUUCUCCGGAGGCGAUUCAGUACUGCUGUUAGCAAAGCUUGUUCUCUAUGAAUCUGGGGAUGGAAAGCUAGUUCUCUAGUUGUGAUUUGUUACAUAUAUAUCUAUGAUAGUCUAGAAAUUGCAUGUCCUUCGUUGACAUAGUUGAAGCUGCGCGCUUCAAGAAUUUACUUCGUGCAGUCGUGCAGCAUAUUGGAUUAUCACCUAGACAGGAUACAUAGGUGAAGCAUUGGAUGUGAUUGUGGCCGAUAAUUAUGCAGGACGCUGUUGCAAUCAACCACCAAGAAGUCUGGAGUGAUGGGGUUGCCUCAUCAAUAAUUUUUAUAUAUGGCUGCAGUAUUAUUAAGCCCACGUCAAUAAUUUUUUCUCCGCACCAUAUAUCGAUGGGGUUGCCUCAUCAAUAAUUCGCGCAACCAGACAAGCUGCAGACUCAAUAUGGUACGAAGCUAGUUGCUCAGCCCACAUGCUCUGAUAUAACAUUGACAUCUGCUGAUCUACAGUAUAUAUGACCAGAAAUAUUGUGCCCACCUCAAUAACUUUCUGAAGUAUCGUGGGGAAGAACCUACUCGUACUAUGCCUCGGAACUAACUGACAUAUCGGCCUAGGCGGUCUAGGCCGAUUGGACUGGCUCUUCCUUGUGGCUUCUCACGUCCCCUUCGUCCCCAAGUAAUUUCAGGUGUUCUGCAGUUUCCUUUUCACUUGCAUCUGAGCCUCAUAUAUCAAUAGCUUCGGGAUAAGAAUGCCUCUUGAUAACCUUCCAAAUCCUCGCUUGAUUCACAUUGAUUCCGAAAUCAUCUUGCCAUAUCUUCAGAGACUUAGGUCCUAAGGCAUCAUGGAGGAUUGCUCGCCAGGAAUGAGCACCAUUGGGCUCCUGAGGACCCUAGGCCGAUCAGCCCGGGCUCUAUAGGUCGAUUGGCCCAGGCCCUCUCUGGGCCCGUUGGCCUUCAUCUUUCUCUGAGUCGACGCUUAUUCAGGGCUUUGUCCAAUUAUAGUCUAUUAUAGUCUAAUUUCCUACAAAAACAGAAUGUCCUCCAAAAUACAAUGCAUAUGUGAAAACAGCCCAAUUAUUAGGUAUGAUCAAUAGUUUAGGUAUAUAAAUUAAUAUUAUUAUUUAAGAUAAACAGGGGUAAAGGGUGUCAUUAAUAACAAGCGCCAACAAGCGUCCUGGCUGUUCAAUAAAUUUUUUCUAGUACCGAUUGGUAACACUAACCGGUGCUAAUAUGUACCCUUUAGUACCGGUUAUUUUACCAGGUACUAAAGGAGACAAGAGCAUCCUAACAUAAGGUUAAUAUCAUCCAUUUCAUGAGUAAAAUACUAUGAUUCAAAAAUAAUUCAAAUCCCUUAAGACAAUACCUAUCAAAUGAGUAAAUUGUAAAUAGAGUAAUCUUGAUCAAACAAUGUCCUAAUGAAACGGAACACUUCUGGUUCGUGUAGAGCACAAUAUAGAAAACAGUAGGGUAGCUGUACGAUUGACACGUGGUCCAUUAAUUCUUGAGCCAACACUAUGGACAUGUCUUCAUGAGUAGUGUACUAGUCAUGAUACAUGGUAUGCAGUAGGUGGAGGUAUUGACUUAGCCAUGCUAUGAGCACUUAGUUACAACAAACACUUUGCCAUUAUCGAGCAUCCCAAAUCACUACAAAAUCCAUAGUUUACCAUAUACUACAAAAUCUGAGUUAAAAUAAGAGCAUACACGGAAGAGUCCGAAUGCACCGGCACAUUGAAUUACUAGACAAAAAUUAUGGGACAAGGUUUUGGGUAACCGCAUGAAAAAUAUUGGAUUUUACUGAACACUUAGUUACAAUUACCAUGCCGUGAGCACUUAGUCACCACAAACAUUUAACCACUUUAGAUCAUCCUGAAUCCCUAUAAAUUCUAUACCUUACACCGUACCAUGAAAACGACAAGAACAGAGACAGAUGCGGUGAAAAUCUCCAGAGCAAGCCUGAAAUUAAAAUAAGAGGAGGCAGUCACUAUCGACAGGACACGGAGAUUGCUAGCCAUGACAGAGGAAGACAUGAUAUGAUAUUCACCUCUGAAAUGCAGCGUAGACUAAAUGAAGCACAAUUGCAAGUGAGUGUGGCAGAUAAUGGACCAUCGAGACCAUCGAUUGGUAUGAAGCAUGAUUAUCACCUAGACAUGAUAUCCUAGACAGGACGGUGAAUUGUAAAAAGAGUAAUCUUGAUCAAAGAAUGUCCUAAUGAAACGGAACAUUUUUGGUACGUGUAGAGCACAAUAUAGAAAACAGUAGAGUAGUUGUACGAUUGAACUGCAUCCAUCGACGUGGUGCAUGAAUUGUUGAGCCAACACUGGGGACAUGUCUUCAUGAACACCAUCUAGUGAGGACAGCAUGCAGAAAAAUAUCAAAACAUGUCAUAGGGAGGCAGACCAAUCUUGCGAGGUAGACGAAACGUGAUACACGAUCUGCCUACCUUGUCGUGGAUACCCCAAGUGAAGAUGUCAUAGAGGUGCAGACCAAGCUAGCAAGGAGGUAGAUGAAACGUGAUACACGGCCUGCCUACCUUGCCGUGGAUAUUAGUCCUGAUAUCAUUCUAUUGUUCAAGGAAUAACACUCAAUGCUGCUGCUGCUGCUGACCUGGCUCCAUAAAGUUAUAUUCCUCUAGCCGCUUGCACUAACUUUAUCUGAAGUAUUAUUCUCUCUGCACUGUAUAUAUGGUUACGGAGUUUGCUGGAGUAUCCGGGGGGAAGAACCUACAUAAUAUGUCUUGGAACUAACUGACAUUGAUUCACAGACAAGGUGCUGUUGUUGCCAUAUUUUAGAGCAUCCCAAAGGACUAUAAAUAAUAUAGUUUACCAUAUACCGUAUACCAUUAUAUGUUAGCUAAAAUAAGAGCAUAACAUGUCGCAGGAGUCCAAAAGCACCGGUUGAGGACCAGGUACAUUAAAUUACUAGAAAACGAAAGGGGACAAGGUUUAGGUAGCCACAUGAAAAACAUUUGAAUUUACUGUACCAUGAACACUUAGUUACCAUGCCGGGAGCACCUAGUUAACACUAACAUUUAGCCACUUUAGAUCAUCCCGAAACACCAAUGACCCUCAAUAGCGACAAAUUUUGGUUUAAAUGCCGUCACCAAUGAUCCUCAAUAGUGACGUGUUUAGGUUUAAAUCCCGUCACUAAUAACCCUUGGUAGUGACGUGUUUUGGUUUAAAUCUCAUCACCACUGAUCCUCACUAGUGACGUGUUUUUAGCAACACACGUUAUGAAUGACUUGUCAUUGGUGACAUGUUAAACGCGUUAUCUCAAUGGCAAAUCAAUGGUGACGUGUUUAAAAAAACAUGUCACCGUGAGAGUUAUUGGUGAAGGGUAAUUAAAAUGCAUCACUAAUUUUGUAGCAUUAGUUAUGAUAUAAUUUUGUAACGCAAAAAUCUACCAUAGUAACGAGGUUUAGAGCCGUCGCUAAUGUGGGUUUCUUACGUAGUGAUGCAAGCUCUACAAGGUGCUGUUGUUGCCAUUUUAAAGCAUCCCAAAUGACUACAAGUGUCUGGUUGAGGACUAAACAAAUUGAAUUACUAGAACCAAAUGUAUGUCCAGAACAAAGAAAGGGGUCAAGGUUUGGGUAACCGCAUUAAAAACAUUGGAUUUUACUGUACCAUGAACACUUAGUUACCAUUACCAUGCCUUGAGCACCUAGUUACCACAAACAUUAAUUUAGCCACUUUAGAGGUUCCUCAAUCACUAUAAAUAAUAUACCAACACCGUACCAUGAAAACAUCAAGAAGAGAGACAGGUACAUGGACCACCAUCAAGUGAGUAGUGACAGCAUGCACAAGAAUACCCGGAACCUUUUAGCUUGUCUGUAGUGAUCUGUUUUCUUCCCCGUAAAAUCCAUGAGUAUUGCCACAAAUAAUGAAAGAGGCUGACCAAGCUAGCAACGAGGUAGAGCAAACGUGAUACACGUAGGUUUCAUUCAAGACAUCCAUGUAAGAUUCAUUCAAAACAUUCAUGGAAAUUUCUUAUAAGUUUUCAUGUAAAUUUCAUUCAAGACAUUUGUUAGAGGUGUUGUAUAUAUACUUAACGUACAUAUAUCUAUGAUUUCAUGGUUGUUAGUGAUGGCAGAUGAGGAGCAUGCAAGGUAUUUAAUGGAGCAGAUUAUUGCUAGUGGCAGUGGCUCCAACCUGCCCGUAACGUACACCGACGAAGAGGGCAGCCAGGCGGACAUGUUCCUCAACAUGUCCGGUGAUGGCAAUGAAGAGCCCGAGCAAAACCUUGCCGUGACGGAAGGUUCCAGCGAGGUAUAUAUCAUUUCCAUUAUUUUACCCCAUCUAUAAUUUCAUAUUCAUUAUUACUAUGUACUAAUUAACGAAUCUUGAACCGUUAGCCCUCUAGAUCAACGAACCGAAAUAAGCCCCGAGGUCUUACAAAGAUAAUGCAGGGAAGGCUUCACAUCAUGGAAGUCACAGAAGAGGGCACCUCGGUUGCUCCCGAACAUGUGGCAAGAACGUACGUGAGUCAAACCGGGGCAAUCGUAAGGGACAACGUGCCCAUCAGCAUCAGGGAAUGAAAGAGCAAUAGAAAUGAUCUAUACGCACCCCCGGAUACACAAAAGGAUAUGCUGUGGGCAAAUAUCAAGAAACACUUCACAUUUCCCAAAGGAUAUGUUGAAAAAGAUGUGAAAGCGUGGAUGCUGAAGAAGAUGGCCACCCAAUUCCAAACAUUCAAGAAGAUGUUGGAUGCCAACUUCGUCAAGAAGGGUCGAACUCCGGGUUUCGAUGAGUGGCCAAAGUUAAGGGACCACUGGGAGUCAUUUGUCGAAUACAAGACGAGCGAAGGUGGUGCCAGUAAGGUUCGCAUCAAUGUUGCCAAUGCUAGCAAGGAGUACCAUCAUCAUCUAGGGCGACGUGGUUACAGCACUGCAAUUCCCAGAUGGCGCAAGAUGGAACAAGACUUGAUCGAUCGGGGUAUCGUACCAGCAACUCUUGACUGGCCUGAUCGAUUGAAAAAUUGGUAUUAUGCUCAUGAAGGCAAUCUGAGCCAAGAGGAUGCGACAUUGGUCUUCAAUAAAACAAUACAUCAGAAGGUCGGAAGGCUUAUUAGGAACAUUGAAGAUGCUAAAGCUGGGAGGUUCAAGGUGGAUAGAGAGAAUGAUGAACUCACAUUGGCCCUCGGGACUGUCAUCUCUAGCACUUCCAGCUCCAGGACUAUCAUCACCACCGGGACCGUCGCUUCUUGCUCGAUCACAGUCUCCAUCUCCAGCACAUCCUGGUGGUGCGAGCGACGACGACAACAACACCCCUCCCUGCCCACCAUUGCCGGGACUAAGACCCGCAUUGUGUAAGGAACCUGCAACACCACUGAAGAAGUCGCGACCACCACCUUCAAGGCAAGUCAGCAAAAGAAGAAAGCAGAGAAGCCUAAACCCACUGAGAAGCCAGCGACUGAUAUGACCGAUGCGGAAAGAUGGAAGGCACUCAAAGAAGAAUGCAUGGAGUGGUUCAGAAAAAGGACCAAAGAAAGAAAAGGAAAGGAGAUGGAGCCACCGCCAGUAGAUCCAAGAAAAUUAUAAUUUUUUAUUAAGAUGUCAAAAGGAGCUAAGAAGAUGAUGCCACAACUAUCAAACUACGACUGGGCGUUAGUCAAGGCUGAUGAGAGUUAAAAAAGGAAAGGAAAGUCAUCGUCAAGUGGUACUGUCCCCCAGCUCGAGGAUCUACCAGAAAAAGAUGCUAAAAAGAUAGUAGCAAUGCUCUUGGAUCAACAAACACAUAUAUCGUGAGAUUAAUGCAAGAAACAGGUAUGUCCCUUGCUGAAUGUCUAUGGCAAGUUGAUAUGCUAGCUCCAGAGCCAGUUGUACCGAAAUGGACCUUUGAGCUAGGCAAGCCUCUAGUAAGGCCUGAGUUGGUACAGAAGCUAUCCACAUAGAUGCAUGAAUUCCAUGAAUGGUACAUGAAGCAGUCUGCCAAUGAGAGGGAAAUGUUCGGUCUCGAGGAAAAACUAAUAAUUUUUUUCGGCGAAGGCGAGAAAGUCGUAUGAAUCAAAUUCAAGGAUAUAUAUGAAGUGAACCAUCAGGAUGCCCUUGAUGUCUCUCUCAUCAGCGCCUAGGUUUUGUAAGUGUAUGUUUAUCUAUACGUAAAUUUUGGCUCAUAUCAUUAUUUUUUUUGCGUGCGUCACCCUACUAACUUCGUCUUCCAUUUUAUGUAGGAUGCUAAUUCAGACGUGCCGCAUAGAAGCGUACUUCCAUGUUGGCUUCAUGGAUCCAUCCCUAGUUAACCAAAAGCCGAUACGGAAGUAGCUAGAGAAAACGUUGGAGGUGGUGUACAACUUUCUGGACAAACAAAACUACAGAAUAGGGGCAAUAUGUGAGGGUCUUGUAGGAUUCCUAGUGGACGAGGUGAUAAAUCCAUAAGGAGAAUAUCAUUACAACGGACGAGCAUUAGACACACUGAGCAACACCUAGACGGGAGGAUCCUAGGAAUGACCUCAACAGAUUUUGGUAUAAAUAGUAAUUGUGUAAAUACUAGUUUGAUUUGUAUAGGAAUAUACUAAGAAUUGUAUAUAUAGUAAUUGUACAAAUACUAGUUUGAUUUGUAUGAAUACUAGAUUGAUUUUAUUAUAAAAAAGUUUUAAGUCGUACGUGCAUGCGCCUACAAAGGCGCGGAUGCCCUUUAAUCCCAGUCGGAAAAACAAACCGGUACUAAAGGGGCUCGUGCCGCACCUGGCAUGACCACCCCUUUAGUCCCGGUUGAACGACCCAGGACUAAAGAUCUCCGCGUCUCAAAAAUUUUAUCUCGGAUGCUUUUUAGAGAGAUUUGAGGCCUAUCAACCAAGACUAAUAUCGAGUUUUCUACCAGUGGAACUAACUAACGUUCACAUGCUUUUGACAUUCACCUGCCAUUUGGUGUAGACAAGGGCACCCUAACAUAUGGUUAAUAUUAUUCUUGAAAGAAAAUCCUUUGAUUCAAAAUACUUCAAACCUAAUAAUACAAUACUUCUCACAUCUCAAAAAUAUGAGACGGCCCGACAGUAUUCUAACCGACGCAAUAAUAUUUUGAGGGCAGCACUACUACAGCGACCCUCAUUCGUGCCGGUGCUGGGACUCCUAUCACGACCCUGAUACAAAUGAGGGUACAUUAUUGGUGCCAGUGCUAGAACAGCCACCAAUAACUUGCUAAACGUGCUGUUACACUCACUACAGGGACCAAGAAGGUAGAUAAAUUACACGACAUAGCCUUGGUUGCCGUGGAAGCGCCAAGAAGGGAGACAAAUUACAGGGACCACACCAUCAAGUAGAUAGUGACAAUAUGCAGAUGAAUACCCGCGCCUGUUAGCAUGUGAACUGACCACACCACGAAACGUGAUACACGGCAAGCGUACCAAGGCCUUGCUGUGCAGACUAUGCGUGGACAACACAUGGUACCUGACCGCUUUUGGCCUCAGACACAUCGAAAAACUGCAUCGUUCCACGUUGUACAUCCACUGCUAGUUUAUCUAUAUUACAUAAUAUAUUAUUAGCUAUUUGAAUAGAAUGAACCAAUUAAAAAAUUGCGUUGUAUUUUAGUACCGGCUGCAGGAUGGUGUUACCAACCAGUACUAAUUAGCCUGUAGGAGUGAUGGUUAUUAGACUUGGUACUGUUGUUACAUCAUUAACCUAAUUGUGCGCGGUAUGAAUUUGGGGAUGCAAAGCUAGCUCUCUAUGAAUGUGAGGGACGGAAAGCUAGUUCUCUAGUAGUAAUUAGCUAUAUAUAUAUGACAGUCAAGAAAUCGAACACUAUGCUGCUACGAGUCACCAUCAUUUCCUUCAUUGAGAAUCUGACAUAGGUGAAGCUGCUUCAAGAAUUUCCUUCGCGCAGUCGUGGAGCUUAUUGGAUUAUCACCAGGACGGGACACGGAAAUGGCCAGCAAUGAAGCUGAUUGCCGUCUGAGGAAGACUACAUACUUUACCUAUGAAAUGAAGCGAUUGCAUAGACUAAUGAAGCAUUGCAUAUUUGCAUGUGAGUGUGGCAGAUAAUUCUGCAGGACAUGAUUGCAAUCCACGCACCAUCGAGAAGACUGGGGCGAUGGGGUUGCCUCAUCAAUAAUCACGUGGAUGCAUGCAUGCAUGUUCCCGCAACCGGACAAGGGUCUGAUAUAUGGCUAUAGUAUUACUGAGCCCACAUCAAUAAUUUCCGCUGGUGUAUCGUGUGGGAAGAAUCAACAUACUACACCUCGAGUUCUUGGAACUAACUGACGUUCACAUGCAACCUCCACAAGGUGCUGUAUAUAUGCUUUUGACAUUCACCUGCCAGUUCGUGUAGAGGACACCCUAACGUAUGGUUAAUAUUAUCCAUUUCAUGAGUAAAAUACUGUGAUUCAAAAAUACUUCAAAUCCCUUGAGACAAUACUUCUCACUUGACUAACCACUAACCAACCCCGAAACCCUAACUCAACUCCGAACCCUAACACCUAACGGCAUAACCACUCCGUUUUGCCAGCCAGAUGGAGGAACUGGCUGGGAGGGAGAGAGGGCAGCGGUCCAGGGUUGAAAACGACGGGCGAGCGCAGUAACAUGUGGAGGAGGAAGUGCCACGUAUUCGUUCACCGCUAUUGGGCAGCGACACACAACACGCCCAAUAAGAUCUUCGCACGGUAGAAGGACGUCAUGUAUUCAAUAAUGUUAUUGGUCCUCCAUGUGCAGAAGGGCGCGUAUGGAAUAACAAGUAGGGACACUGCAACUAAUCUACUCUGCUCGUCCAGUCCCUAGCCUAUAAAUAGAUGCCAUGCUAGCUCUUGUUGUGCUCACAGUUAAUCCGAUUACACACGAGCUCCUCUCCCUAGCCAAGACACAAUCAUAGUAUGAUGAAGAACAUGGCACUAGCCGGCAAUGGUAUGAAGAAGUUAAUCCUCGCUGUUCUCUUACUGUGUCUAGUUAUAGGGCAGAUACAAGUGGAAGCUAAGAGCUGCUGCCCAUCCACCACUGCAAGAAAUGUCUACAAUACCUGCCGUUUGACGGGUGCAUCCCGUCCAAUGUGUGCAAAACUGUCAGGCUGCCAAAUUAUCAGCGGGAACAAAUGCAAGCCCCCUAACGACCACCUCACCCUUGACCCGGACACUGGUAAAUAAUAAAUUUAUCUCACUUGAUUUCUUUGUGUUUUGAGUCGUUAAUGUAUUUUCCAUCUGAUGAAACGCAUUGGUUUUGCAUUGAAGAGGAAGUUAAUGUGCUUAACUUCUGCAAGUUGGGGUGUGCGUCGUCUGUGUGCAACAACAUCAACGCUGGUAAGCACCUUUUGCUCAGACAGAGAAAACAAUAAUCAUUAAUUAGCGGCAGCUAGAAUCCUAUAAUCUAAUAUAUAUAUAUAAUUUUAUCAGCUCUGGGAAAUGAAGAGGCGAACGAUGCCGUUGAGAGUUGCGACCAAGCCUGCUCUAGCUUCUGCAGCGUGCAUGUUGGCAGCGCCACCGUGGUUGCUUAAGCAAAUGCAUCCAACUAGAUCGUCCUUGUGCUGAAUAAUUGGAUAUCGUAUCCACUUAAAGCUGCCUUGUGUAGUACGUCUUUGUGUCUCUCUUUAUAUUCCAAUAAGGUCGGUGAUCUUGAUGCCACACACUCAGAUGUGUGUUCAUCUCCAGAUACUACUCCAUGCUACCUGCCCUUUGUGUUUUGUUCAAUAACUGGGUAUCAUAUCCGAGCCAGUAUGCCGUCUGUUUUGUGUUUGUUUCCUUCUAGUUCCAAAGGGGUCAUCAUGAUGUUACCUUCUUUCAAUAUGGUGCUUUGCAUGACUACUGUUGUAUGGUACCAUCUUGUGGCCAAUAAGUACAUCUUAUCCUAUGACCCUUUGCUAUGACCCUUUGCAAAUAAGUAGAAGAUUGUUAUAAGCGUCAAUACUCAGUAUAAUUGAUCGCUGCUGUGAGUUCCCUUUCAGCUUAUCGUAGGCAUACAUUAUUGCUAGCACGGUAAAGCCAACCAACACGAAUGAUGAAGUAAACGUAGCGGUACUUCUGUAUACCAACACCCUUACUUAAAUGUACCGGUGUCAUUCCCUACUGGCACAUAUAUUCUUAUAUGCUAGCCAGCUUGUAAAAUUAACCAAUUAAAAUAAUUAUUUCAAGAUAGAAAUAACUUAUUGGCUUCUCGAAGCAUGUGUAAUGUGAAUUCAUGAGACUUCAAGCAACCAGGAAAAGACACUAAUAAACAUCCAGAUCCCAUCCAGCACACAUCCAUGCACAUAUAUAACCCACAUAUUGCUCCAGCACACAUCCAUGCAUAUACGAUAUCCAAAUGUUAAUAUUGUAGACAUCCAUGCCUGAACUAGUCUGCCACACAAGUCAUUGAUGCUACAAAUUCUACAAUCGCAGCAUGUGCAUACAACUUACAGAAUGAGAUAAUGUACCAAAACUAAAACGUUAGCAUCAACUGUGCUUCAACCAAAGUUGUCAUCCCAACUCUCCUCUUCAUCCAUGCCAUUCUUGUCAUGGCCGUCGCUGUCAGUCUCCAUGGCAUUGCCAAUGCUGUGUAUGUCUUGGUAGGAACCUACAUGUGAUGAACAGUAACCUGCAAAAAGAGCUCAAAGGAUCUUGUUCUCAUAUUGUAGCUGUGAAAUUCUUGCAAGUAGUGUUGCAAUCUGUUCACUUUGAACCAAAAGAGCUCAAAGGAUCUUGUCCUAAAAGUUCCUCUUAAAGCUUAUGGGUUUGCUGGUGGAACCGGAAGGGCUUGAUGCAGCAGAUGCCAUUCUGCAAUAGAGAAAAAUUUAGAGGGCAGUACUAGUUAAAAUUUGAUGCAGCAGAUACACACGAAACUAGUAUUUAUACAAUUCUAUAUAUGUAAUAAUUUGUCCCCUAAAUUUUUAGGAUCCUCUUGAUGGUGGUGAGUCUUCCAGUAAGGCAAUUGAAUGUCCGUCAUAAUAAAAUUCUCCUUAGGAUUUAUCAUCUCGUCAACCAGAAAUCCUAGGAGUGCUUCUUGGAUUGCCAAAACCCUAUCCUGAUGCAGGAGUUCGUCCUUAAGCCUUAACAUUUGUAAUUUGGAAAUAUGUGAAAGUUAAACCAACAAUUAAAAUAUAAGGAGCCUUAUCAUCAUUUCCAUGUGUUGCGAAUUAAAAUAAUGAAUAAUACAGUGUUAGGUGAAAAUUCAAGAAACAAAAUUUUGCAUAGAGAUAAACGUCCAACAUUAUUACAAGUUAAGGUAGUUUUAAAUAUCCUUGUAAUCUUCCUUUGAUUUCCUCAACGAUUCGAAGACAAUAACCUUACUUCUAUCAAUGAUAAUUAUAAGGAGAACCCAGUGAAAACUGUGUAUUCAUAUUAGAACUACCUAAGGUUAAUUAGGUUAGGAAAGGAAAUCGAAAAUAGAUGGUACCCACACUUACUUAAAGUUGUCGGGCAAUAGUAUGUAAUGCUUGUAAUUCCGUUGCUCCAAGAAUUUGUAUAUGUGGUCCAAUGUAGACUUUGGUUGAUUCCGUAUCUGCUGUUGGUUAAAUAAGUGUUUCUAGCCAUUACUAGCCGUUAGAACUCGGACUAAAGGGGGCUCUUUAGUACGGGUUGAUAUUACUAAUCGGGAUUAAAGAGCCCCCAUUAGAGUUGGUUUUUGGACGCGGAACUAACAACUCCUUUAGUCCUAAGUACAAAAAUGACUGAAAUAUUUGUUGCUGGAUGGAAGGUCCUUUCUCUACCAUGAAUAUUGCCAGAAAGAAUUGAAAGAGACUGCUUGCUAAAAAUAUGUCAUAGAUGUAGACCAAGCUACCAAGGAUGUAGACCAAACAUGAUACACACCAUGCGUACCUUGCUGUGCAGACUAUGCAUUGACAAGAUAGAAAUAAUUAAUUCUAAUAUGCGUACCCUUACUUACACUAGUAGAGAAUUGGGCUUUAAUCCCGGUUGGUAAGGUGCAAAUAUCUCGAAAAUGCAUCCGGGAUAAACCAACCGGGACAAAAGGGGGAUCUUUUAUCCCGGGUCACUCAACACGCGAUUUUUCACAAAAAAAAAAUUCCCGAGCUCCCAGGCAGGCCCCCCACACGCGAUUUUUCACGCGAAAUAUGCGCGUGCGCGGUUCGUGGGAUUCGAACCCACAACCUCCAGCCUCGCGCGUAGUUUCCUUGCCAUCCCACCUACACACCACAUCUGACUAUGUAGGGGAUACUAUCCUUUUGUAUUAAAAGGCUCUUGACCCUUUUAUCUCGGUUGGUGUUACCAACCGGGAUAAAAGGGGGGGUCUUUUAUCCCGGUUGGUGUUUCAAACCGGGAUAAAAGGCCUCUCAGAGUCUUUUUUUCCCAUUAGCCUUUGCAACCGGGAUAAAAGGUUCCGGUUGGUGAGCCCCCCACCAGUGACCGAGUUUUAGUCCCGGUUGGUGAACCUUUUGUCCCGGGCCAACUUUAAACCGGGACAAAAGGGGGCGUAUGGAAAGCCAAUUCUCUACUAGUGUUAAAUAUACCGGUGUUAUUGCCCACUGGCACAUAUAUUCUUAUAUGCUAGCCGGCUUGAAAAUUAACCGAUUAAAAUAAUUAAUUCAAGACAGAAAUAACUUAUCGGCUUCUCGAAGCAUGUGUAAUAUGAAUUCAAGGACUCGAUGGAAGUUGAAUCGCUUCAUCUAGAUUGCUUUCAGGAUUUUGGGUAACUAAAUUUAACAUUUGCACACACAAAUGUUAAUGUACAAAUGUUAAAUCUAGUUACCCAAGCAGAAUAUGAAUAUACUCUAUAGUAUACAUAUACUAUAUAAAUCUAGUUAAUAUUUAGUCUAAAUGUUAAAUCUAGUUACCUAAAAUCCUGAAAGCAAAAUGUAUAAAUAUAUAUCUUUUAAGGCAGUAUAAACUUCGAUUCCUUUUGCUGCUCUGUUAAAUCUCAUCUUUCGUUGUGGCCCAACACUCUAGUAUGUAUGUUGCACCAAGCUUCCUUGAGCCGCUCUGCCCUCUGAUUUUGCUGCGUAGGGGAAUCUUUAUCAGGUUGGGCUGCUUCCAGUCAUACGAUGUGUGGCUUCAUAUCUUCUACAAGUUAGACAGGAAACCCGCGUUCUGGAAGAUUCUGCAACGUGCACGUUGGCGCUGCCACCGUGGUUGCUUAAGCAAAUGCAUCCAACUGAAUCGUCCUUGUGCUAAAUAAUUGGAUAUCGUAUCCACUGCUUAAAGCUGCCAUGUUUAGUACAUCUUUGUUUUUCUCUCUUUAUAUUCCAAUAAGGUCGGUGAUCUUGAUGCCACACACUCAGAUGUGUGUUCAUCUUCGGAUACUACUCCAUGCUACCUGCCCUUUGUGUUUUGUUCAAUAACUGGGUAUCAUAUCCUAGUCAGUGUGCCAUCUGUUUUGUGUUUGUUUCCUUCUAGUUCCAAAGGGGUUAUCAUGAUGUUACCUUCUUUUGAGGUGUCUAUGACUUUGUUAAUAUCAAUAUUAACCAAUUCAAUCUAUCUUAACUAUUUGUAAGGGGUAUGAUGUAUGCAUGAUUAUAACAAUGAUUGCGCAUACAAUCACUGCCAAAGAAACGGUCAAUACCAUAAAGACAUAUUACAGACAAUUCUCAUAAUCUAUAAUGAAUAUACAUAUUCACUACUGCAGAGACUGUCAUCUGUAUCAGCUCAUACGUGCCAGGGCAAAGGUCACCCUUGCAUUAAAAGUACAUUUGCACGGUAAAGAUAACCAACACGAAUAAUGAUGUAAACAUGCCGGUGCUUUUGUACACCAACACGCUUACUUAAAUGUACUGGUGUCAUUCCUCACCGGUAGCCGGCUUGAAAAUUAACCAAUUAGAACAAUUAUUUAUUGUAUCGGUGUGAAUUUUGACCUAUUGGAAUAUGAAUUUGACCAUUACUGCAUUCGUCAAGACUCAAGAGAGAAAUAACUGAUCGGCUUCUUAGAGCGUGUGCAAUGUGAAAUCAAGGACUGGAUGGAAGUUGAAGCGCUAGCUUCAUCUUCCGCUGCAUGUUAAUUGCUUGGAUAAGAAGUUGUAGCCGCGUAUAUAAAUAGUCCCGCUGAUGCUGUGCUCCGAAGUCUAUACUAUAUAUGCGAAAACUAGAUUGCUUUCAGGAUUUUGGGUAACUAAAUUUAACAUUUGUACAUAAAAAUGUUAGUUUACGAAUGUUAAAUCUAGUUACCCAAGCAGAACAAGAAGAUAGUAUAUACUAUAUACUAUGUAAAUCAAGUUAACAUUUAGUCUAAAUGUUAUAUCUACUUACCCAAAAUCUUGAAAGCAAAGAAAGAAUAAGUAUAUAUCUUUUGUUGGAAAAUUGGUCCACGGAGAGUGGCCUCGUUCGUUUCACCGGGAAGGAAUUCCAGUCAGGAUUACUUCCAAGUCCGGUUUAAGUGAUUCCACCCAUGUCACUCAAUUCGGCUAGGAUUCAUUCCAGGGGUGAGGAGGUAUGGUUUCAAUCCGGGCCAUCUAAUGUAGAAGGAUUCCAAUCCAGGCCGGUUUUCGUUCUAGGCUAGACUAAAACGAACAACACUUUCAAUGCAAGUCUGGUUUCAAACCGGGCCACUUCAAACCACCCGGAAUGGACCUCAUUCCGGGCCAAUCCGGUGAUAACAAACGAGGCCUUAAUGGAAUCCCAAAGCAAGAGUUCAGUGGCAUUCUAUAGUCCCAUGCUGCUAGUUUGAGUUGGUCGAAGCCAACUUAAAUAGGAGAGCUCUCUCACUUCUCUAAAAAUGUAACUGAAGGAGAGAAGGGGGCUUGGGUUACACAACGCACGCACGCACGCAUAUUUGCAUUCUUUUCGCGUAACCGACCGCGUGACUUGAAACUUGCGACGUAGCGUGCUGCUAAGUCAAGUUGAUAUAACCUUUUUGCCGUUUGCGUGUAAUCUUUUGACAACGGUCAUUGGAGGUGAUAAGCACGCAGUCAAUACCUUAAUCCUGAGUUAAUAGGGCGGUUACUACUGCCAAUUAGUGCAGCAAUUUUGUAGGGGAAACGGUUAGCAGAGGGCUACCGUCUUCUCUAUAAGAAGUUUUGGAGACGUCCAGGAACACACAUGUACAUGUGAGAGACCCACGGAUUCCUUCCCUUCUCCCUUUUCCAUCUGGUGAAGUGUGCUAUGGUACUGAGCUGCUGGAUCUCGCUGGCUCUUCUCCUUGGCGUGCACCGAGGAGGAGGAUGAGCGGUAUCUCUGAGCUAUUGCCGUCAGGAAGCCUGCACGAGGGACAACAAUAAAGUUUUUAGGUAGCGCCUGCCUAAUCUUCGAUCUGCACUGCAACGCGUAACCCUGCAGCAACUCUACACGAGGACGGAGCACUAAUCUGUAAGUCCUAGAUUGGUUUCUUACAGAGUUGUAGGUUACACAAGAUCUAGAAUGGUUACAUACCAAUUAUUAUGGGUUACAUGAUGUUUUGUACGGUUUCGUCUAUUUUGCAUAUGUUAUUUUUACAUACCGUUUACAUGCAUAUGUUAAUGGUUACACCUAGCUAUUUGAAUCUAGAAUUGGGUUACAUAGCAGUAGCAAUGAGUUACGUAAUAUGCCUCACGUUUAUAUCUGGUAGAAUUUAACACGUAUCUCCAACAUAUUUUGAGGCAGUAUAAAUUUCAAUUCCUUUUGCUGCUCUGUUAAAUCCCGUCUUUCGUUGUGGCCCAACACUCUAGUAUGCAUGUAGCACCAAGCUUGUUUGAGCCGCUUUGUGCUUUGAUUUUGCUGCGUAGGGGAAUCUGUAUCAGGUUGGAUUGUUUCUUUGUCUUGCGAUGUAUAGCUUCAUAUCUUCUAGAGGUUAGACAGCAAAACCCGCAUUCUCUUAAGGCAACAACCCGAAGAAUCUGCAGCGCCUCUGAUAUAUCACUGCUGCAGAAACGAUCUUUAGUACUGAUCUCCAACCCUCUUUAGUAUCGGUUGGGCAACCAGUACCACUAUGUCGGUACUAAAGGGAGUUCUCUAGAAUCGGAUCAAAUAACCGGUACUAAAAGGGCUCCUUUACUACCGGUUGGUAACAACAAUAGGUAGUGACUUUUUUGCACCCAAAAAAUUAAAGAAUAACAGCCGGGAGGCUCGCACACACACGCAUCAUGAGUAAUAUGCGCGUGCAUGGUUUGUGGGAUUUCAACCCACGACCAAGCUAUAAGAACGUAGUUACAACAAAUCAAACACUUAGACAUUUUAGAGCAUCCCAAAUAACUACAAAUUCUAUAGUUUACCAUAUACCAUAAAAUAUUAGUUAAAAUAAGAGCAUACACAUGUCGGAAGAGUCCCAAUGCACCGGUUGAGGAUCAGACCAGGCACUUUGAAUGCACAUGCCAUAAGAUAAUUCUGCAGGACAAUGAUUGCAAUAAUGGACCAUCGAGAAGAUAGGGGCGAUGGGGUUGCCUCAUCAAUUAUCACUUGGCGCAACAAGACCAGCAAAGUCUUUAUCGACGGGGGUGGAUCAAGGGGUGGGGCAGGCAGAGCUCCAGUCCUCCUACCGCCGCUCGAACAAUGGAGCCCCCUUAGCCCCUCCAUAAAUUUUUAGGUAGAAGAAAAAAGAAGAGAAGGGAAGCAAGGGGAAGAAGAGGGAGCCCCUGCUAAGUAGGUCGCCAUCGUGCUUCCCAACGCAUGAUCGCCGCACCGCAUCCAUUCCUCUACAAGCCUUCAGCGUCUCUCCCGCCGCUACCUCUGAACCAUGUGCAGCUAUAGACCCAACUAGUGUGUUGUCGCCCAUCUCAGUCCCAACAGAGCGGCGGCGGCUGCCAACACAAAUCUCCCUCCGCCUCUUCUUCACGGUCGAUGGCCGCCACAAGCAUAAACCUCGCCUUCGCAUCCAAGCAAAAGGGUCGUUGGGGUGCCUUCUUGCAUCACUUCUCAGCCUCCUUCACUUGCGGCCAGCGAAGAACUGCGCCACCACCUCGGGUGCGUGCCACCACUCCAGGGCCGCUACCCCAUGCCUGCGGCCGCCACCGGCCACCACGCGUGUGCAACCGCGUUGCACCGCUUCCCUGCUUUGUGCCACCACUACUGCUGUACCACCAGCUCCACCACCUUGGGAUGGUCGCCAGGGUGACUGAUUGGUGAUUAUUACUAAAAAUAAGUUCCUUAUUAUCUGCAACUACUAUUAACUCAGAGAUACAUGCGUCUUUUGCUUCUCCUGCUAAUAGGUCCUAAAAUAUCUAGGAUGCUUUAUAUUUCUGGACAGAGGAAGUAUUUGAAUAAAAUGAACCAAUUUAAAAAAAAUGUGUUGUACACUACUACAGAAAGACCUAUCAGUGUCAAACCCAAAAAUGUCGUCACCGCCAGUUUUAGGCAUCGUUGGUGAAAGGUUGGCGGUGAUGGGCAUCCCCUUCAACAACGGCACUGGAGCCGACGGUGAUUGACAUUAGAAAACAAAAAAGGGAACCCCACCUAGCCACCCCUGCAACCCAGCCGGCCGUGCCUCCCCUCAUGCCCACCACCUCGCCUCCCCCGUGACCCCCCGCCGGCGCCCUUGUGCCUAGCCCCCUCGCCUGCCCGGCCGGCCACCCUCGUCAUGAGAGAGAGAGGUGCAUGUUGUAUAAUUGCGUGAAUUUUUGAAUGUUUAAUUUUAUGUAAGUUCCAUGUAAUAAAUUGUACAAGUUUUAUUGUAUAUAUGAAUUCCAUAUAUAUGUAUUUAUAAUUUAAUGUAUGGUUUCAUGUGUAUAUUUCAAUCAUGUGUAUAAUUAGUAGAUUGCCGAUUUUCUUUUUCUACUAGACAAGGGUUGAUGUAUAAUUACGUGUAUAUGUUUAUUGUAUGGGCAAUUAGGACAAGUUUUGUAUAAAUUUCUUUUAUUUCAUGGUUGUUGUAUGGUUUCAUGUAUAUACAUUUAUUGUACUACUUGAGACAAUUUUAAUUUAAUAUUUCUAUGAUUACAUGUGUGUAUAACUAAUUGUAUUAUUAGUUAAGAUGGGAGCCAAAGAGGAUGAAAGGUAUAUAAUAGAGUAGAUUAUUGCUGGCGGUAGUGGCUCAAACGUUGCAAGAACCUACACCGAGGGUGAGGGUAGCUAGGUGGACAUGUACCUCAACAUGUCCAGUGAUGGCAAUGACGAUGAGGAGCACGAGCAUGACGUCUAUGAUAAUGCGGAACAAGACAUUGCAGAAUUGGAAGGUUCUAAUGAGGUGUGCUUCAUGUUGACGAUCUAGUUGGCUUUUUUUCUUUGGUCACACCUUAGUUACCAUAGAACUUCGUCUCGGGAGAAGAUUGGUGGUGCUAUGGUGAUUGGAAUUUUAUUGCCUCCAAAUUUGAUUUCCAUCGAAUCAUAUCCCUUGUAUUUAUCUUCUUUUUAUUUGUGAGAGCAUCUUCUUUAUGCUUGCAAAACAAUUCAAGUGCACAUACUACCCCUAGGGUGAUGAUUGGGAGUAGAAACAAUUGCCAACAAAACAACACCACAUCCUAAGAUUCUUAACUUGUGGCAUAAUUAAUCUAGUGAAAAGAAAGAUAAAAACCUAAUGGGUGUACGUGAGUGCAAUGUGUAUAUGCAUAUGAGUGGAAGGCAUAUAAGCAAAGACAAUAUUUACACAUAGUUCUAAACACCAUGUUUACAGCUAGGUUGCUGAAUUUCUCCAUAGCUAUAGAGAUUAAUUAACCAAGGUCAAAACACGAUGUCUAUCCCAAGAUCAGUAAUUCUUUAUAGCACAAGAAAAAUAAAGCGCAUUGCAAAGUUUAUAAACCAACCAAUACAGCAUGAAAACAAGAUGAAUAGCUAGCAAGGUUUAUUAAAUUGAAUGAUGACGGUCUGCAAGCAAGUUUGAACACCAUCUUUACACAAGAUUGCAAAUGGAAAAUGCCCAUAUGAAGCACUAACAUGGAUAUGAAAUCAUUCAUCAUAAAGCGUAAAGAACAACCAAGCCAACCAUAUGCAAAGCAUGAAUGGAAUGCAAUGAAGGUGCAAGAGAACAUUUUUGGAUGAACACAUUAUGAUGAUGGCAAAAUGCAAUGCGUGCAGAAAUAAUAAAUAUGAACAUGAAUAUGAUGAUCAGGGGCGGACCCACUAUUGUGGCCUGGGUAUUCCUGGGCAUACCCAAUAUUUUUGGGAAAAUGUUUAGUAGUUUUUAAUGGCAUAUACAUGUAUAAUAUAGUUUAGGUGUUAAAAUUGAUAUUCACAGCUAUUUUGGGCUCCAAUUCGCGUCCAAACCAACCUAGCCCACAGACCACACCCGGCCGGCCAGCCCAUCGGCCCAUCUAGUCACUGAUCCUUCCACCACCACACUCAGCCCAUCAGUCGGUCAGGUCCCGAGCUCCUGCCUGACCUAGUCUGCUACCGCCGCCGGGCGCCAAGCACAGCCGUACGCAUUGCACCGCCCCCGUCCACCCACGUCCGUUGGGGGGCCAAGCCGCGCCCCCCAGCCCCCGCGGUGAGAUCUCGACGCCCGCUGCCCCCAGACCCCAUUAGGCCUCCAUCGGCAAGUCCACCCACAGUCCCACGGGACGGGGCAGCCUUUUGGCUUUGGGCGCUCGGGGCGCGCCAAUGCCAGCGCAGCCCCAGCAGGCGACUGCCCCCCCCCCCCGCAUCAGGCCUCAGCCCCUCCCCAGCUCCCCCUCCCCCCUCCACCAGGACUGCUUGUUGGCCCCCACCGCGAGGUAAUCGAAAUGGACUGCUCAAUCACUCAAUCUGUUGACAUGAUGCACACGGNNNNNNNNNNNNNNNNNNNNNNNNNNNNNNNNNNNNNNNNNNNNNNNNNNNNNNNNNNNNNNNNNNNNNNNNNNNNNNNNNNNNNNNNNNNNNNNNNNNNNNNNNNNNNNNNNNNNNNNNNNNNNNNNNNNNNNNNNNNNNNNNNNNNNNNNNNNNNNNNNNNNNNNNNNNNNNNNNNNNNNNNNNNNNNNNNNNNNNNNNNNAUUUUUUUGCAAUGAGCAUACCCUACUCUGAAAUCCUGGGUCUGCCACUGAUGAUGAUGGUCUAAACAUAAAACAAGCCAAGAUUAAUUAGCCACAACUGAAAUUAAGCAAAGGUUAAUGUCAUUGACCCUAGCUCUAUCCUAGCUUUUACAAAAGUCCCAGCACAUAUAGUGGUUGGGCCCACUCUCUCUGCUUCCCUCUCUGCUGCAUGCAUGCACACGAGCAACGGGAGGCCCCACAAAGCCCAGAAGGGUUCGGCUGAACCCGGCCGAUCCAAUCUGAGCACCACUCCCUCCCAGCCUUCGCGCAGAUGCUCCUCCAACAUUCCUUGACCCCUCCCUCAGCGUCCCAUUGGGUUUAACAUUGCAGGAGAGGAGUCCCUUUUUUAAAAUCUCAACCACCUCCUCUCCUCAUUCACUCCACUCUCAUCUCCAUCAAACUCACCAAGAUCCACAUCGGAAAUCCCUGCUUACCACCAUGGCUGGCAAAGCCCUCGUCCCUUUCACCAACUUGGGCUUAACCAUUGAUCUCGAUGGGGAAAUCACUCCGGAAAUAGGGCAGUGACCCAGAGCAAAGGUGAUGCCAGAGUGUAGAUAGCAGUUAGCAUGCCAAAUUGUGAACCGCAAGCGCUCGGAUUAGUUGUUUUUUUUCCCUUAGAGAUUCCCCCAAGGUUUAUCAAUCCAUGGAACAAGGGAUUUGCACAUUUCACUAAGCAUUAAUCAAUGUAAUUGAAAGCUUUUUGAAUAAGAUAUGAUUAUGCUAACAAAGGAACUAAGCAAUCUAGAUUAAGAUGGAUAGAGAGUAAAGGUUGUGAACAAGAUAGAUUAAACGCUUAUAGAUGCAAUCACCAUGCAUGAAUGAAUUAGAUCUAGGUGUUAUUGUGAGUGGUUGUGAACCAUACCCCAACACUUUCCCACCCGCAACAUUGUCACUACAUGUGGGUACUCAACUAUCGAAACAUAAGAACACAUCAAGAUGAUCAUUCUAGGUAAGCAAAUAAGCAACCCAAAGUAGCGCUGGCCAGCCUUUUCAUGAAAGAGCAUCAUCAAGAUAAGAUUGAUAACAAAAUAGAUCUCAACCAAAGGUUCAGCGAUUACAAAUCAAGAUCUCCGUAUAACCCCGAUGACAAAUAGAGGUAUUACCCCCAUGAUCUUACACAUGUUGAUGAAUUUUAGGGUAAAGGACGCCCUGUAGAUCAACUGGACCAAAGAUGAUGAUGAACAGGGGCAGGGAAGGCCCAGGCUGAUCAGCCUGGGCACUUUUGAGCCGAUCAGCUUAGGGAGUUUCCUCCUCCCCUGGUGCUCCUCUUCGCGUGGCCUCCUCUGGAUCCAAUCUUCUCUUCAUUUCUCCUACUUGUGGUGGCAAUGGAUGGUGUUUGCAUGGUGAUUUCCUCUUCUCCCCAACUCUCCCUCCUUGAAGUCCAUGAGGGGGUAUUAAUAGUCUCCAAUAUGCGGCAGCUCUGGGUCAAUGUCGGUGAAAAAACCCUAGAGAUCAUCGUACACUUCACGCUGAGGAAACAAGAGGUCGACCGAGCCCUGGGAUAGACCAAGAGGAUCAGCCUAGAGGGUCCCAGGCCAAUCGGUCUAGGCCCUUCCUAGCCCUUCUAGUCCUCUCCUUCCUCGUGCUGGCUUUUCUCGAUGACCCUUGUCCAAAUAUCCAUUAAGCUCUAUAUACAUACCCCCUUGAUUAUGUCGUAUUUCCUGUCAAAAUACAAUGCUCCAAAAUACAACACAUAUGCAAUAAUAGGGUUAUUUCAUGUGCCAAUUGGUGCGUUAGUAUACGAAUAAGCAUGAAAAUACUGGUUAAAUGACACUAAAAGUGUGUCAAUAACGAGCACCAACAAUCCCCCCACGCUUAGAUCUUGCUCGUCCUCGAGCAAGUCUAGCGACUAAAAGAUCUUGAAUUAAACAUGAGCAAGCGAGUCAAGUACCUAGCCUUGAAACAAAAGAUUAGAGGAGCAGCAAAGAUAAUCAAAGUCUGGGUGUUCAAAGAUUUAUCUAAGCAAAGAUUCCCCUACAACUAUUAUUCAGAACCAAGUAACUUCAAGAAUCAACUACACUUAUUUUCUGGCUUUUUUCAGAGGGUUUUUCUUUCAUCACAAAACAAUCUCCCUGCAACAAAAUUGAAAAAAGAAUUAUUUUCCAGGUGCUUACAUGUCGUUUAAAUGAAUGUUCGCUAUCCUACUUAUUUGCAAGCUCUCAUCUCUCAAAAUUCAUUCAAUUAUAUGGUGGAGCUUGGGUAAGGUUAGCUAGAAUCAACACGUAUAUUAUUGAAUUAAGAAAACCCUCUAACGGUAGCCUACCUUUCGAGCCAUUGAUCAUAAGAAUAUCCACAUAAUGUGAAGUUUUCAAGGAUGAGAAUAGAAUGGUGGACAUGUGCAAAGGCAAAGAAAUAUAGUGACUCUGAGGCACAAGCAAUGUCCUCGUCGUUGGAUUGCAUAUGGUUGGAAUGAAAAUCUGUUCCUUAAACAAGUCCAUCUUUUCUUUGCACCACUCUUGAUCUUCAUGACAGUAAAAACUCCUCCUUUAUUUCUUUCUCUCUUUUCCUAUUAUUUCUUUUUAUUUGUCUCAAUACUUUUCUUUCUUUAUUUCUUUAUUUUAAUCUCUUCUCCGAACCUCUUCUGAACACCACACAAUAAAAAUCAGUUUUAGAUCCUUCUAGAGACCUUCCAGGAAUUUGCUACAUGAAAACCGAGGCAAGGAGACCCCAGGCCGAUUGGCCUGGCCACUCCUUUGCUCUCCUCUAGCUCUUCUUUCUUGUGAAGCUUCCUUAUCUUGUAUCUUUCCAAAAAUUUCAUAAAGCUCAACUAGAAACGGAACACAUCUUCAUAUAAUGAGUUGUGUUCAAGGAAUUGGUAAUAAAAUUGAGAAAUUUGUGGUUCGGGUUUACGAAUUCAGUACAAAAAUAUGAUUAUUCCAAUGAAGAACUCUCAUUACUGAAUAUUGACGAGGCAAGCAUUCAAAGAUGGUAAAAAGGAUAUGAUCAAUUCUCAGAAUUAAAGCAAACCAAGAGAGAGCGAUCCUAAUUCAAUUCAAAGUGUCAAAUGUUGCUUAUGGUGGUAUGAAUAAAUAUUUUUAGGCAUUGGGUAGGAUAAAUAAAAACUCUCAACCUGGUUAAAAGAUAUUGAUCAAUCUUGUUUUUGCAGAGGUUUUAAAUAAAAAAUAAAAUUUUAAAUCACCUCCAAUUCAAAGCCUUACUCAUAAAUCAUAAUCAAAACUGAAGCACUUGAUCAUCAUAAAGCAUGGGUAUUGCAUAAACAAAUCGAUUACUAAAACUCCACAACUACGAUUUAGAAUUCAAGACAAUGCUCAUAAUCUAAAGUUGCAAAGACAAAAUAAAAGACAAGCAAGCCAAGGUAGACACUAAAAACACUUGCACGAUCCUUGAAUUUUAUUCAUGCUUCUUCUCACAAAGACGCUAAAGUAGCCAUGUAGGCCUAAGUCUUCCCAAAAGCUUAAGAAGACUACUACUUUAUCUACUUUUGGUUCUAAUAAAAACACUAAUCUAGACUCUCACAUGAUUCGACUCGACCAAACUAGAUCCAAAAACUCAUACGAGCGACAAUCUCCCCCCCCCCCUCUCAAAUCUACGACCUCCUCGUGGUAACCAUAUGGAGUACAAGGAAAAGACGCUUGUAAACGCACUAAUGACGCUACCCGGACUACUUGCACACGGAAUGGUUGCUGUUUCCUUUGCUUUGUUCUUCGUCAUGUUGCUGCACAUCCCGAAGAGCUUCCUCACGUUCCUCUGCAAGAACUUGAACUUGAACUUGUCCUCCUGACGGCAAUCAUUAUCUUCUGCCUUUUGAUCCAGAGCUUGUAAGGCUUGCAUGAUGUCAUUGAACGCAUCGAAGAGGUAGUGGAUGUUCUUCCUGCAAGCUGUGGAACAUGUACGAUCAUGCUCCUACGAUUCUGGCCCGUCGUCUUCUAGAUCCUCCUCUUUGCCCUUGUCUUGACGGUGGCCAUCUUGCUCCUUGCUCGUCUUCUUGCCUUCAGCCCGAUCCCAGUACGUGUUGUCAUCUUCUUCAUCAUCACGGCCUGCAGCACCCUAUGAUCCAUUGUCUAUCUUGUAUGAAAGAAUCAGAAGCUUGUUCUCCUCAGGGUGUCUUGCGCGGUGCAGCGUUUGCAAGUGCAAGGCUUGCUAGUUCUUUUUACACAUUGUAAUGUUCAUUGCAUGCUCUAAUUGUUCUACAUUUGUAAUUUCUUGGUGAAGUUUGGUUACUGAUCCACUGUUUGAUUAACUCUUGGGCCCAAACACUGUACUACUUCUGAUUAGAUAUCUGUAUCUUAACUUUGACCAAAAAAAAUAUCCGGCAGUUUUUGCCAUUAAAGUUUCAUAAAUCAUCUUGCAAAAAUCGUACUAUACAACAAGGGACGGUUUAUUAUAAAAUAUACGUUCCCCUUAUCACAUGCCACUUCCACUCAAAAGGCAACGAAUCAGUUUUCAAUCCUGAGUGAGCAAUUUGCUUUUAUUACCGAUGCCUCCUAUUCCCUUGUGCACCAAGUUCAUUUUGGAUAGGACUGCAAAAAGCGACUAACCAGCUCGGAUUCUCCACCUGCAAAACCGCAUCUGCAGCAACCAACCCCACGCGGUGGAAAAAAAAACAAAACCCAGAAACCGGACGGGGGUGGAUGUGGGGCUCGGAGCCCAAGCAAAAAAAGGAUCGGGAGCGCCGGAGCAGGCCAUCACCGGAUGUUAGAGAUAGAAAAUGGUUGAAGUUGGAGUGGAAAUCAAACAAGCCUUGGAGCAAAGGAAAAAAAAGAUCAAACCACUCAAGCAUUCAUUUGAUUUAGAAAAGAGAACAUUUGUUAAGGUGGGGAGUUGAAAUCAUCUUUUAAUUAGUUCCACGUAUCUGGUAUCAUUACAGUUGGUUGACUUGUGUAAGUAUAUAAGUAGCUCUGCCGAAGCCUUUGCUCCUAUAAUUUAGUAACUAGUACAAAUGGAUCAUUAGGAAAAUCAAGUUGCAAUCAUUUCUCAGCCAACCAAACCUAUCUAAAUCAAAUUAUUGUCCAUGCCCGGCAUGCACAGGUGCCUGCCAUGCAUGCAUUGUUGCUCCAUUGUAAUAACCAUUAUUGUCCAUUGAUGUUCCAGCGCAUGUGUGCACUGUGCAGACACCAAGCAUCGAGAUUAUGUACUAGUAAGGUACCAAGAACACGUGAAGCACACGGGGGAGGCUGCUCCACUCGGCAUGCACAGGUGGGGCACGGCACCACUACUCGUCUCCUUCAGGCAGAGGACAAGUGAUGUACGCUGAUCAACCACUAGUAGAAAAACGACUUUCCAUCCACCCCCUUUUGUCCCGGUUUAAAGUUGGCCCGGGAUAAAAGGUUCACCAACCGGGACUAAAACUCGGUCACUGGUGGGGGGCUCACCAACCGGGACCUUUUAUCCCGGUUGCAAAGGCUAGUGGGAAAAAAAGACUCUGAGAGGCCUUUUAUCCCGGUUUGAAACACCAACCGGGAUAAAAGGUGGUCUUUUAUCCCGGUUGGUGUUUCCAACCGGGAUAAAAGGGUCCCCACGAGUUAAUACAAAAGGAUAGUAUCCCCUAUAUAGUCAGAUGUGGUGUGUAGGUGGGAUGGCAAGGAAUCUCCGCCCUCUCCACCUUCGGUACUCCAUGGGAAACCAUUCCUUUGGAACCAAGGAAGCUUGAACAGUAUAACGAAUAAAGUUUCAUAUAUCCAUUUGAUUUCACAUGAAAUAAAAUAUCCUGUCAGAACCAAUGGUUUCACUGAAGCUCCAGGCAGCGAGCGAAGGGGUGAGAGAGGAUAACGCUUACUGUGUGUUACCAUCACGUGCACCAUGGAUGACCAACGCGCAGCCGAGAUGAAACGGCGGACCUAAACAGGUCCUCGCUAUUUUUGCAGGUUCUCGACCAGGCCAGUUCUUUGGGCCAACCUAUAAUUCACGAGUUAAACAUACGGUGGCUGUAGAAAUGUUCUAUUCUUUUCAACAAUACCAGCUGGUUCCUCCGUUUUUAUUCCACCAAUACAAGCACCACCUUGUAACAUUUCCUAUGUUUUUUUUCCUUUCGUCUGUUUUCUCACUACAUGCGUUGCUCUUUCAUGCAUUUUUUUCCAUUCCUGUAUUCCAAAUAGGUCUACAUGAACACAAAAUGAACUAGGGGACAGAAAAAGCCAGUGAAGUUAGUUUUGAGCUUCACCAGCUACUUGCUACAUAAAGUGUGCUAUAGUCGCAGAAAAGCUAAGCUGGAUCAGACGUGGCCGAAACCAUGCCAAAGAGCUAGGUCCCUAGCUGAUGGCAACACAUCAGAUGACUAGCCUGCUUUUUUGUAAUAAUGAUAUUGAGCAAUACACUGCAUGGCUAACCUGCUUUACAAUAAUUGUCAUUUUAUAAUAUUGGUCAUCACGAGAGAUGCACAUUGCAUACACCGGUCCAUCCCUAUAAAUAGCCAAGCCUUUCAGCCAUCUUGGGCACCUCCUCUCAGGGCCUCGUCUCACCAUUAGACAUCUCGUUCCCAGUUAUAAUUUGCGAGGUUAGAUCAGGCUGCGCCAUGGCGUCCGCAGCUGCUGUCAAGAUCGCCGCCAUCUUCAUGCUGGUGCUGACCAUGGGCCACCUGAUGGCCGAAGCAUCACCGCAGCCUCGGCGUCUGCUUGCAGAAACGGAGCAUGCUGCGGUGUCCGGGAAUCCUGGCCUCCCAGGUGAUGCUAGCGUCAUGCAGGUCCUCGAACCCGCCCUAGUUUCUCCUCUUGCCUGCAAGCCAGAGUGCACAGUCCCUUGGCCUCCUUUUGUAUGUAUCUGCUAGAUCCUCUUCCUGGAUCAACGGAACUUCAGGGAAAUGGCUGUGACGUCGGCCAAAGAAUAAAUUGGCUGAACAUAAUAUACCCCGGGUAGUGUAGCUUGGGCUUUUGUUGAGCGUCUGGUACUAGUUGUAUUUUGUUUGCUCAUGUGGCUUUGUUUCUGGUUGCAUAUUGUCUUUCCUAUCGCUCUCUGUUGCAGCUAUGGUUUCUGCCAGGUGUGUGUCAAUGCGGUUUGUAAGCGGUGCUUGUUCCUACCUUCUGUUUUCAAUAAAAGAAGUCGGAGUCUCCCUCCGACUCUUGUUAUCAGUCAAGAAAAAUGAGUUGUAUCAUAUAUAUCUGCGUCUUUUUUCUAUGUAUCUCUGGGCUGCUUCAGCUGGAAGUUUAUCGUAAGUACGUGUAUCAGGAUGAUCGUUUGAAUUAAAACGAAAUGAUAAUGUGUGGCUGCUAGAAAUGGAAUGAGCAUCUUACUAUAUUACUAAUUGGAAGCCUCCACGUGAAGCCACCUAGAAAUUCUAGGUGGAUGUUUUAAAAAAAAGAAAACCAAUAGAAGCCUCCACCACCUAGGAAUCCUAGAUGGACGCUCUAAAAAGAGAGAAAUCCUAGAAAUUCUAAAAAAAGAAAAAAAAUAAUAACAAUAAGAUUUUUUUUGCAGUCAGUUACAUAUAUUUUUUUGAGACACCGUGCUGCUAGCUCUUGCCAUUGCGACCAAUAAAGCAAGCAGAUAGUAAGAUGACAUGCGUGUGGAUUGAUUAAAACAGAUUCUGUUAGUUGAUUCUAAAUCAUAUGUAUCCUAAAAGGAACUAGAUAUGUGCGUGCAUGGUCCCUAGCGAUGACAUGUAGACAUGUAUUGCAAUUUCUUUUUUAAAAAAUAUGUCUAUCUCUAAACCAACAAACAGAAAAAAUAUCAAUCUAAAUCUAAAUCUCUUCCGUUCUCACACGCCUAUUAAAGAGAACACAACCAAUCCCAUCCAUGUUCCAUAGAAUCCAUCUAAAAGCUUGCUCACUGCGGACGGCAAAUCAACGAAAGAUCAUCCUCUCCAAAUAGCUAGACGGCAUCACCAUCUUUAUCUCACCAACCUACAGAGCUACAACGAUGUUGUAGAGAUCAACUAGGUAACCUACCAAUCACCCUCCCCUUUUCUAUAUGCUCUAAAGAACACGUGGAGUAAUUAUAGGCCUAUAGGAGCCGACUAACCUAGAUUAAUAUGAAAAAUAUUCCAAUAUUAAAAGCAAGCAGAUAGUAAUACUUGCCUUUGAGCAUUUUUCAAGAACUGUUAUUCCUAUUGAAUGUUCAAGUGCUACGGCCAGGCAUCGAAUGUCUGCACGGAACCUUCCUAUUGAAUGGUUACUCUAGAGAUCAACGCACCGCGAGACAUUGUUUUUGGAAUUUGUUUGAUUCCCCUUCUACAAUUAGAUUAAUUUUUCAUGGUAUAUAUUACUACUAUUAAAUUAUUUGUUUAUUAUCUGGCCUGCUGCAUGUGUGGUAUAGAUGACUUGCUUCUCACCAUUGUUCUCAAACUGUUAUUCCUAUCCAAUCUUUCUAUCGAAAUAUAUUUUAAUUACUUGAUUGUUGUUUGUGUACCAUAACUUCUGUAUAGAAAAAUUCCAUGUUUGUAGAUAAUGUCUUUUGUAUAGAAAAAUAGCCCAAUUAGGUCCAUCACCAUCUUUUGCUUAUGUAGUUGAACAAGUUGCAAUGCUGAACAAAACUUUAAGUGAAAUUAGACUAGGAAAAGGAAUUGUGGAACAUUAAGGCAAGGGUAACCAGAUUGUGGAAUGCAACCUUACUCAGUAGUGGCGAACAAUUAAGUCUUGACAUGAUCCUUAUUGAUCAAGAGGUAUGAUAGAUGUUCACUUUGAUUGCAUUUUUGGUAUAAUUUUUGGCUUACAAAUUAUUAAUGAUGAUGCAAAAUUAGGGAACCAUGAUCCACGGUGUUAUCAAUAAGCCCUAUAUGGAAAAGUUCAAACCAUUGAUUGAAGAAGGCAAUGUGUACAUAAUUGCAAAUGUCAGAAUCACACCAGAACCACAGAAGUAUCGGCCAGUGGGAAAUGACAGGAUAGUCAACUUCUUACCCACAACUGCACUAAAAAAGGUCAAAGAUACUGAAGACAUUCCAAAGUAUAGUUUUAACUUCAUGAGCACGGAUAUGCUUUCAGCAAGAAUAAAUGUGGACAUGUACCUAUCAGGUAAAACAUUACUGGUUUUUCAAUUUUUACACUUCCACUCAUUCAAUGACCAUCUAAUAAUAAUUCAGAUUUAUGUUUCAUAGAUGUUAUAGGUAUCUCAGCUCACAUUGGACCGAUAGAAGAAACAAGGACAAACUUCGGAUUUACCAAAAUCCGUGAUAUUGUGCUCCUGAUCGAGUAAUUCUCAUUUCUUUUGUAGAGAACAACUAUGAAACUUUCAACAUUUACAUGUAUGGUAUAGAACUUCUGUUGAACUAAAAGAUAUCUUCUACAGUGCCCCUACAAAUAAUUAAUUUCGCAGUUAGGUAUUUAAAAUAUUAAUUAUUCACUUUUAAUUUUGUGGCCAUGAAGUUAAAGUUAGAUUUUGGGGAGACAAAGUUGAGGAAGUUGAUGAUAAGACAAAAUCCCAUGUCAUUGCAAUAACAUCUACAACUGUGAGGAAAUUUGGCAGUAAGUCUUCAUUCAAUAUGAGUUAUUCAAUAUUAGUCAUUCAACAAACUAACCUCCUAGGAAAAAUAAAUAAUUGAUAUUUUAUCAGGGUAUUCUCUAUCGUCAACCAAUGCAACAAAAGUUUAUGUAGAUCUACCUAUUCCUGAAACUAAGGAUGCGCAUGAUAGGUGAGAAAAAUUAGAUAUUGUUUUUCUAUUUUAAUCUAUGUAGCAUGCACUCUAACAUGAUACAUUCUUUCGUAUGAUGAAAAAAUGUUAGUUCAAUUGAUAAUAUUGUCAAAGAGAUUCAUUAUUGAGGACCAUCUAAAAGGGAUAUUGGAAGACCAAAUGCAGUACAAUAGAAGAACUUUAGAAGAAUUAAAUUUGAUAUUAUUUGAAACAUCAAAUCAGGUAUGGAUUAGUAUGUUCAUUGUACACUAUACUAUUUAGAGACAUACAUACAUAAUGAUGGUAUUGUUCCUACUUUCAGGAUGAGGUAUUUACGAUGAGGUAUUUACUAUUGAAGCAACAAUAAAUGAAAUUAAUGCAACAUAUGGUUGGUACUACAUCUCAUGUAGUAGAGGCGAUUGUAAGAAGCAACUUGAAAAGAAGUUUCAUCACUACUAUUGCAAUAAAUGUGACAAGAGAGCCGAACCUAAAGCAUGGUAAAUUAUUUAGUAGUUUACAAUCUUAUUAUAAUACUUCUAUUUCUAAUUGGAGAAUAAUAUUUGCAAAUUCAAAAUUAAGCUUCAAAUAAGUGAUCCAACAACAAGUGCAACUUCUGUACUUUUGACAAGGAAGCAGAAAUGAUAAUUAAUGAAUGAGCAGAUUCGAUGAUCACCUCCGUUGAUCAUGAUAAUAAGUAGCUACCAAAAUCAACUAUGCAAAAAGUAGGAACAGAUCUUAAUCGGCUAUGCAAAAAGUAGUAAAUUGAGCAAUAAGAUAUAAAAAAGCUGACAGUCCUAAUUCCAAGCUGUAUAACUGGUGAUAAAACUAGAACAACAUGCAAAACCUAGAAUUCUAGUGAUUAUCGAUAACUGGUGAAUAAAUCUAAACAAAACGACAGCAAUGCGCCCGAAGUUAAAGCUUAGAUAUUACUUGAUAAGCGGAACUUAUAGAAUCGGCCGGAGAUCAAGUUGAUGCAGCCCCGCCAACCCGUACGAACUCGUGAAAAGAAGAAAAGUAUUGGCGAAGUCGCCUGCUCGAAAGUAAAGUGCGAGGAAAUAGUAGUUUGUUGUAUUGAUUUGAUGAUGAUUACAGAUCUAUGAAAGCGGCUAUUUAUAGCCAGUUACAACCAAUCUCUUAACUGACUAGGACUCUAUCUCUAAUUUUAAACGAAAACGAAUAUUUACAAGCAUAAUUCGUAUCGGAGUUGGUCAUCGUGUUCCCAUGGGCCGAUCUCCUUUUUAUCUUCAUAGCUCACUUUAGGCCCAUAUUGGCCCAACUGCUCCAACCUCCCAAUCGGCCGAUUUCCACCAACUCCAUCCGCCGAAAUACUACAGCACCAAUCGGCCGAUCCUCAACUGUAGCACCAAUCGGCCGAUUCCCAAUCGUGACCUCCGUGUUUCGCCGCAUCAGCUGAUUCCUUCCCUUCUUGACGCCGAUUUCAUACGCGUCAAAAUCUGGCAUCAACACAUGCCCCAAGUUUCGGAGUAAAACAUAAUCUUUACUUCAAAAUUCCUUUCAACUUCCCUUCCGAAACAAACGCAUUGAAAAUACCCUUCCGUUUCGCGGUCUUCUGCCUGAUGAUUGCAAUCUUUUCGAAACGGGCGCCCACGACAACCACUCCUCCUGAAAAAAUCGAACCGCCGGCGUGGUAAAAAUUCCGCUUUUACCCUUUCUCAGACCGCCCUUAGAUAUCAGUACGUCCCGUACUUCUUCUUCACGAGCCCACGUCUUCCUUCUUUGGCGCACUGACCUCCUUCUUCUUCCGGCGUCUCUUUAGCCUCUAACCUCUCACUCCGGCGAGUUCUUCCAUCUACAUUCCACCCCACCUUCCCGAUGGCAACACCUUCAGGCACUCCACCAACAUCCGAGGUCCCGGAGACGGCUCCAUCAGCAGCGGCUCCAACAGCAAUGGUGGCAGCUCCAUUGGCAGGAGCAGGAGCUCCAUCGGGCGGGAGCGGGAGCUUCAUCAACGACCACAAUGAGCUUCAUACCAGAGGUUUCUACCAAAACUUUCCUUUCCGCUCCUCUAUGUCGAUGCAUUUACCUUAGAUCAUUUCUUACUGCCCCUUCCAUUCUUUACCUGUUUAGGCAGUUAGGCACCACAUUACUAUUCGCCUCACCGAAACUCCCGGCCUUAUCUAUUUUGGUCCCAUGGGAAACCCAGAUCCAACCGACCUAAUCAAUUUGGAAACCCAUAGGAUCCCUUUCAAGCAAUCAACCAUGGACCUAGAUCACUGGUCAGGUACCUUCAGAUCAUGGCCGAAUGAAACCCCCGGCUGGAGGGAAUGGUACAAAUGGAUAGCCGCCUCAAAAAGAGUUCAAUGGGACGAGCACAAAAUCGGCCAGUGCAUCGACUUAUCUUUGUCCCAAAUGGAAAGGAAUGAGCCUUUAGUAAUAGCAGCCUCCUACUUUUGGUCCGAUGCCCUAAACGCAUUCCCCUUAGGACACGGAGCUAUGACCGCUACCCUAGCCGAUGUGGUCAUGUUGACCGGCCUUGAUAUCUCCUCUCCCGAUACUCCUUUCCGUUACUUGGCCAAAACAUCCCAUCGGCUAGAGACGAAAGGAAUCGGCGGGUGGAAAGGAUUCAUCAAGUGCAACAGAAGGGCCGGGACAGCCCAGGAAAGAGAGCAUGCGGCCUUCUUGAUGAUGUGGCUAGAAAAACACCUUUUUUGCGGGAGGGCAGCCGGUCCAUCCACUAACACACAGGCUUUGGCCGAGGCACUAUCGAUAGGUGCCUCUGUUCCUCUUGGAAAGCACCUAUUGGGAUCGGUUUACCAUAUGCUGCAUCAGAUCGGCGUCAAGCUAUCCAAAGGAGAGCCGAUUGGAAACCCAGGUGGACCCUGGUGGUUCAUCAACUUGUGGCUUAAUCUAUAUAUGAGCAAGAUCUCCCAGCAGCGAGUGGAGUACAUGAUGUUCCCCAACAUCGAAUCGGCAGAGAAUCCCACUGUACGGUGCCGGUGUACUUCCUUCGGUGAAGCGGCAUCGGCCUUCUCCGGUUGCUCAUAUUCUGCUGCCAAGGUGGCCGAAUACUUCAGAUGCUUCUACAAUGGCUUCAGCAAAGACGCAACCAGCUUGUUCCCUUAUCAAAGGGAGGAACCACUCUUCGAGCUCCCCUCCUGUUUUGACUCGGCCACCAGCAAAUUUGAUGAGGACCUCACAGAUGAAUUGAUCAAGCCUCUCGGGGAAGGAUGCCCCCACUUAUGAGUUUUACCAUCCUUCCGUCACAGCACGGCAAUUCGGCUUGGGUCAACUGCCGAUUUAUGCAUACUUCACCGGCCGAGCAAAAUUUCGAGACGAGCUCACCAAAGGUCUCCACUACUACGAUCGGAUUCCAGACUCCAGCACCAUAGACUUGGCCAGUUGGAUAGUAGCCCCUUUCGCUGUUCAGCAGUUCAAGCUAUGGUGGGUGGAAUGGAAGCAACAUCUAUUCUGCGCCUCUACGGCGAUAUAUUGUAAUCUCCUGAAUCCCGACAACAUCGAUCCGAAUGCUGAGGUAUCGCUCUCUUUCUAGCUGAUUUUCAACUCCUUUUUUUUUAUACUGACUCUUAUUAUUAUUUCAGUCUGAGAGCCAUGCUCCCCCAAAAUGCAGUCGGAGUGGUCGGUCGAUAGAGGACCGUUAUCCAUACACAACAUUCCCCCUCAUCGGCUAUCACGCCCCCUCCGUUGAUGACAUAGCCGGCCGAGCGAAGCAAGCGCAGAAAAAGAUUAUCAAGAAGACAAGUCGCCGAGUACGCGCCCGCACAGAAUCGGCCGAUCCACCCGUGGUUGCAUCGGCAGAAAUUUCGGCUACGCCGACCCUUCCGGUCGCUGAAGAAGUUGACCUCCAAGCCGCUAAAGAGGCCGGAGCGGCUGCCGCGUCAUUGUUGGUGGAAGCUAUUCAGGUAAACUCACCAUCCGAUUUUCCUGACAGUCAUUUCAAUACUGACCUUUCCUUUAUUAGGCCGUGCAGAUUGCCUCAGCAGAUCCACAGCAAUCUGCAAUGCCCCAAGCAGAAGUUGAAAUACCAGUGCCCCUUCCCGUUGAGGUACAUGAUCUCUCAACUCACUUCUUUAAUAUUUGAAUGAUGAUCCUACCAACCUUGACGCAGGUCAUCGGCACGUUAACUAUGCUAUCCGACUAGCCAUCUGCCAAAGAAGUCCUUCAAGAGGCCGGCCCGAGCAGAACGCCGAUCGUUGUCGAAUCCUCUUCUUCCGAUGAGCCAAUGGCACCAGUCCCCGAGUCGAUAGUGGUUGUUCCACAAACGCAGAUGGAGGAGAUCCAUUUCAAAGAGGUGAGAAGUCAUUUGACUCGCAUUUACCGAUUCGUCACCACCAUCGGCUGACUCAUUUUCCUUUUAUUUAUCAUUCACAGGAAUAGGACACUCCCAAUAAUAGCCUCUUCUCAUUUGCGGUCGCGCUCUCUGAUGACGAGGAAGUUGCUUCUCGUCAAGUUACUUUGAGCUCCAUCCCCGAUGACGUCCGCGCUAAGCUUGAAAGUAUACGGUCCCUUCUUUAAGAGGACAUCAGCCGAUUGGUGGAGGACGCCUCGCCGAUUCGGCAGCUCUUUGGUGACGUCAACGGGCGAGUCCCAGAGGAAGCAGAAGAAGCCUUGGCACCGGCCGCUUAUAUCGAGUCGAUGCGGAUCCCGGUCUUCAGGGCUCUGCGUCACAUGGCCGAUCGCGCCAAGCUGGCCAAGACUCGUGAGGAAGAGGACUCGUACAAGCAACGGGCCCAGGAGGUACACCAUCGGAUUCACUUCCUCGAGAAUUCCCGACCUGGACUCGUCGGCACGAUAGAUCGCCUCAAGCACCGAAGGGCGGAACUUGCCAAGGAGAUGGAGUAGGUAACCAAAGAAAUAGCUAUUGAAGAGAAGAAGCUUCAGGAACUCCCUUCCGUUAUCGCCGAUUUAAAGCAGGAGAGGCAGCAUUUGGCCCAUGAGGCCCUUAGACUCCAUCGCCAUAUGUCAGAAGUUCCAGGGUCGGCAGAUGAUGACCAACGAGUCUUGGACUCGGCCGAUCAGAUCAGGCAUCGAGCGAUUGCGGCCAUUAACGCCCUUCUGGGUGACUUGUAAAAGUACUAGCCGUUUUGUACGAACAUUAAUGCCUUUUGACCGUCCUUCGCGGCGCUCUCCUAUUUAUUACCCUUUUUACUCUGACAGGACGCGUCUUACCAAACCUCCGCUCUUCCUCUUAUUAUAAAUACCGGCCCUGGUUUCGCUCUUGAGAAUACCUGCUCCACUCGAUUCCUUUUUCCCCCAUUACGUUUCCAUCGGAACGUUCGUAGUCAUGUCUUCUUCAUCUUCUUCUUUCUCCUCUCCUUGUAUCAAUCAGGUACGAGGUCCGUCUUCGCCCUUUUUUCAGUUUGAUCCCUUUAAAUCGUUCCAACUUUUAGGCGGCUAUGUGCUAACUUCUUCAGCCAAGGCACCUUAUCCCUGAACUCGAAUGAGCAAUCGAACUCGUGCACUCUAAUGAGUCGUUGUCGCAAGAGGACAAGGACUUGAUCAAGGAACACCGUGAAGAACUCAGAGAUCACGUUCCUGCCGACGUCUAACGGAUCUGGGACUUCAUCGACGGCAAUGAUUACGGGCGACCGCAAGUUGACAGGAGCCACCCACUUCCUCUUCCGGUUGUUCUUGAAAACGCCGCGGUAGGGACAUCGCGCCCGGUGAUGGAUCGGAGCCAUCCUCUUCCUUGCCAAGUUGAGGCGGAGGCCGCGAUGAGAGAUGUGGCAGAACGAAGCAUUCGCCUUCUAAUGGAAUUAGGUAGGAUUGAGAGGGAACUCAAGAAGAAGCGUAGUUGAGUAUUUUUUGUUCUAAGGGCGAAGUGUACUGUGUCGGUCGUGUAAUUCAUCGUUCGUACUGAAUCACAAAUCGGCCGAUUUGAACGAUUAUUUUUCUCCUUUAGGCGAUUUCUUCUCCCGUAUCGGCUGUGUGAUCGUUCAGGGAGCGAUCUUUCUGUCUUGUCAAUGCCUUGCGAUCGAUUCUUAUGUUCCGACCCAUAUACUGGGGUAAUACCUUUUCAAGUACCUCCCGUUUAAGGCCCUAGUAAAUUCUUCUCCUUCGAUCAUUUCCAGAAUGUAAGCGUUUCCCAGGGCACAUCGGCCGAUUCUAUACAGCCCUUCCCAAGUGGGAGACCAUUUACCGAAUUUAGGAUCUUUUGAUCCAAUCGGCAACACUAACUUCCAUACCAGAUCCCCUUGGGAGAACUGCUUGACUUUGACCUUCUUGUCAUACCAUCUGGCCACUUUCUUUUUGUUUUCCUUGAUACUGAUCAAGGCUCUCAAACGUUGGCCCGCCAAAUCGUCGAGUUCCCUAUUCAUGAGCGAGGAGUAAUCAUCGGCCGUCAGCUGAUCUUGAAGCGACGUGCGUCUCGACCCUGUUCUCAACUCCCAUGGCAAUACUGCCUCAUGACUGUACACCAAUUGAUAAGGAGACACCUUGGUAGCCCCAUGGCAGGCCAUCCUGUAUGCCCAUAGAGCUUCGGUUAGACAUAAGUGCCAUUUUUUGGGUUGUUCUUCGAUCUUCCUCUUGAUCAACUUGAUUAUCCCUUUAUUGGAAGAUUUGGCCUGGCCGUUAGCCUGAGGAUAGUACGGGGAGGAAUUUAGCAACUUGAUUCCCAUAUCGGCCGUGAACUCCUCGAACUCUCCCGACGUGAACAUCAUCCCUUGAUCAGUUGUGAUAGUCUGAGGGAUGCCGAAACGAUAGACAAUAUGAUCCCUCACGAAAUCGACCAUAGCGGCCGAUGUUACGGCCUUUAAUGGAACCGCCUCCACCCAUUUGGUGAAAUAAUCUGUGGCUACCAGAAUGAAUUUAUGUCCUUUACUUGACGGAGGAUAAAUUUGUCCAAUGAGGUCUAUUCCCCAACCUCUGAACGGCCACGGCUUGAUAAUUGGAUUCAUAGCCGACGCGGGCGCGCGUUGCACAUUCCCAUAUUUCUGACAAUCUUGGCAUCCUUUAUAAUACUUGAAACAGUCCUCAAGGAUUGUCGGCCAGUAAUAUCCAUUAUUCCUAAUCAUCCACUUCAUCUUAUGCGCCGAUUGGUGGGCUCCACACACCCCUUCGUGCAUUUCUCCCAUCAGGGUCUUUGCCUCCUCCGUCCCUAGGCAUUUGAGUAGAACACCAUCAAUCGUCCGGUAGAACAAAUCAUUUUCCAAUAACACAUAUUUUGUGGCCUGAAAUCGUAUUCGCCAAUCCACUUUCUUAGAUGGGUCUUUUAAAAAAUCGGCGAUCUCUUUUCGCCAGCCGUCGGCCGCGAGUUCCAGAAUCAUGGCGCCUUGAAUCGGCCGAUACCCGAACGCGUGCUGAGCCAGCCUGUUGGCUUCUUCAUUGUAAUCCCUGGGGAUAUGCUCAAUAACUGUGGAUUUGAAUUCUUUCAGAAGUUGGAGGCAAUCCUCAUAGUAAACCCUUAAUACAUCAUCUUUGCACUCGGAUCUUCCUGUCAAUUGGUCCACGAUGAGCAUGGAAUCUCCAAAAACCUCGACGGUGUCGGCCUUAAUUUCUCUUAACAAUUGUAACCCUUUCAGGACAGCCCGGUAUUCCGUCUGGUUAUUAGUGGCGGAUGCUUCUAUCGACAGAGAGAAAUCAUAGCAUGCCCCCUGAGGCGAUAUGAGAACGAUGCCGAUUCCCGAUCCGGCCCCACAUGACGAGCCAUCAAAAUAUAAGGUCCACGGUACUGGUUCCACGACAGCGAUUUUUGGUCCGCAGUGUUGGGCGACGAAAUCAGCCAUAACCUGACCUUUGAUGGCGUUUGCCGAUUCGUACCGUAGAUCAAACUCUGAUAAAGCCAAAAUCCACUUUCCGAUCCACCCUUUCAAAAUCGGCAAUGACAGCAUAUACUUUACUACGUCAUUCGUGCAUACAACCACGCAUUCUGCCGAUAACAAGUAGUGCCUGAGCUUGGUGCAUGAGAAGUAAAGACAUAAGCACAGCCGCUCUACCGGGGGAUAUCUUGAUUCGGCGUCCAAAAGUCUUCUACUAAUAUAAUAUAUUACCCGUUCCUUUCCUUCGAACUCCUAGACCAGUGCCGAUCCGAUAGCUCGCUCAUCGGCUGAUAAAUACAGCUUGAAUGGCUUACCAGUUUCUGGUGGGACCAAGUACUGCUUGAUGUCUUCUAGUGCCUUGCGUUGCUCUUCUCCCCAUACGAACUCUUGGUUGGGUUUCAAUUUCAACAACGGUGUGAAGGCCUGGAUACGUCCAGAUAGGUUGGAUAUGAACCAGGCAACGUUGGUAAAGAAAACUGCUAAGAGUAAACUAAACAACGCUACAGUAGCAACACUAGGAACGGAUCUUAAUCGGCUAUGCAAAAAGUAGUAAAUUGAGCAAUAAGAUAUAAAAAAGCCGACAGUCCUAAUUCCAAGCUGGAUAACUGGUGAUAAAACUAGAACAAUAGGCAAAACCUAGAAUUCAAGUGAUUAUCGAUAACUGGUGAAUAAAUCUAAACGAAACGACAGCAAUGCGCCCGAAGUUAAAGCUUAGAUAUUACUCGAUAUGCGGAACUUACAGAAUCAGCCGGAGAUCAAGUUGAUGCAGCCCCGCCAACCCGUACAAACUCGUGAAAAGAAGAAAAGUAUUGGCGAAGUCGCCUGCUCGAAAGUAAAGUGCGAGAAAAUAGUAGUUUGUUGUAUUGAUUUGAUGAUGAUUACAGAUCUAUGAAAGCGGCUAUUUAUAGCCUGUUACAACCAAUCUCUUAACCAACUAGGACUCUAUCUCUAAUUUUAAACAAAAAUGAAUAUUUACAAGCAUAAUUCCUAUCGGAGUUGGUCAUCGUGUUCCCAUGGGCCGAUCUCCUUUUUAUCUUCAUAGCUCACUUUAGGCCCAUAUUGGCCCAACUGCUCCAGCCUCCCAAUCGGCCGAUUUCCACCAACUCCAUCCGCCGAAAUACUGCAGCACCAAUCGGCCGAUUCCCAAUCGUGACCUCCGUGUUUCGCCGCAUCAGCUGAUUCCUUCCCUUCUUGACGCCGAUUUCAUAUGUGUCAAAAUCUGGCGUCAACACAUACAUAAUGAUGGUAUUGUUCCUACUUUCAGGAUGAGGUAUUUACUAUUGAAGCAACAAUAAAUGAAAUUAAUGCAACAUAUGGUUGGUACUACAUCUCAUGUAGUAGAGGCGAUUGUAAGAAGUAACUUGAAAAGAUGUUUGAUCACUACUAGUGCAAUAAAUGUGACAAGAGAGCCUAACCUAAAGCACGGUAAAUUAGUUAGUAGUUUACAAUCUUAUUAUAGUACUUCUAUUUCUAAUAGAGAAUAAUAUUUGCAGAUUCAAAAUUAAGCUUCAAAUAAGUGAUCCAACAACAGUGCACUUGUGUACUUUUGACAAGGAAGCAGAAAUUAUAAUUAAUGAAUGAGCAGAUUCGAUGAUCACCUCAGUUGAUGAUGAUAAUAAGUAGCUACCAAAAUCAAUUCAGAAAAUAUGUGAAGAAACAUUGAUUUUUCAAUUCAAAUUGACCGAGUACAACUUGACAAGUUUUAGACCUGAUUAUACUGUUUCAAAGAUAUUUUUUCCAAAAGAAAAGAGCAGUUCUAGAAUUGGUAUGGAAAGUGUAAAAAAGGUAACACUUUAUUCUUAAGUUUUUAUUGCACUUUUUUCUUUUGAAUCCUUAAUAUUUAAUAAUUUUACUAUAUCAAUGAAACAAAUUCUAACCUAAAUUUACAACUCAGACAAAUGCUACAUGAUAACUACCGAGAAUGAAGAGGUAGACACUGAUGACUCUUUUACCGAGAAAGUAACAUUCGUAGAAGAAGCCAUAAGGACUGGGGAAAGAUUGGCUAGAAAAGUAUACUCACUUCCAUCUAAGUAUUCAUUCUAUUUACAAUACAUGCAAAAAAAUAUUAUUCAUGCAAAAUUGCAGGUCUACUAAGCAUUAAAGGAAUAGCGGAUAGUGCAAUAUCUAAUUUGAGCAGCAUGCAUUACAAAGUGCUCUACUGCAAUUAAAUUAAAAAACAUGAUAUAUGUUGAAUUCUUAGACUUUAUUAUUAUACUUUUCUAUGUGACAAUUCACAAUUUUUUAGAAAAAAGAAGAUCCCAGAAGAAGUGACCAUGAAAAAAGGUCUAUGCCCAGCAAUAAGAAAAAAUGCAAGCAUAGAAACAAAUCCGUAGAAAACAUAGAAAAUAAGGUACUCCAUAAACAAAAGUAUUCUCUUAUAUUUUUAUUAAAUAUUUCUUUAACACUUGACAAGUUCUUUUUUAGGAUCAAUAUAUCAGCAAUUCAGAUGUCAUUGGAGAUGAAAACCUUAGUUCGUCCAAAAGGUCAAAAAAAACAUCUGAAGAAAGGUGUUUGGCUGAAAAGGAAAAGCAAGAAAGUUGUAAUGCAGACAAACACAUGCAGAAAAAUAUAAAAACAUGUAAUAGGGAGGCAGACCAAUCUUGCAAGGAGGUAUAGACGAAACGUGAUACACGACCUGCCUACCUUGUCGUGGAUACCCCAAGAAGAUGUCAUAGAGGUGCAGACCAAGCUAGCAAGGAGGUCGAAACGUGAUACACGGCCUGCCUACCUUGCCGUGGAUAUUAGCCCUAAGAUCAUUCUACUGUUCAAGGAAUAACACUCAAUGCUGCUGCUGCUGCUGACCUGGCUCCAUAAAGUUAUACUCCUCUAGGUGCUUGCACUAACUUUAUCUGAAGUAUUAUUCUCUCUGCACUGUAUAUAUGGUUAUGGAGUUUGCUGGAGUAUCCUGGGGGAAGAACCUACAUAAUACGUCUUGGAACUAACUGACAUUGAUUCACAGACAAACUCUACAAGGUGCUGUUGUUGCCAUUUUAGAGCAUCCAAAGGACUAUAAAUAACAUAGUUUACCAUAUACCAUAUACCAUAAUAUGUUAGCUAAAAUAAGAGCAUACACAUGUUGCAGGAGUCCAAAAGCACCGGUUGAGGACCAGGUACAUUGAAUUACUAGAAAAAGACAGGGGACAAGGUUUAGGUAACCACAUGAAACAUUUGAAUUUACUGUACCAUGAACACUUAGUUACCAUGCCGGGAGCACAUAGUUAACACUAACAUUUAGCCACUUUAGAUCACCCCGAAUCACCAAUGACCCUCAAUAGUGACAAAUUUUGGUUUAAAUGCCGUCACCAAUGAUCCUCAAUAGUGACGUAUUUAGGUUUAAAUCCCAUCACUAAUAACCCUCAAUAGUGACCUGUUUUGGUUUAAAUCUCAUUACCACUUAUCCUCAAUAGUGACGUGUUAAAACGCGUUAUCUCAAUGGCAAAUCAUUGGUGACGUGUUUUAAAAAAACAUGUCACUGUGAGAGUCAUUGGUGAAGGGUAAUUAAAAUGCGUCACUAAUGUUGUAGCAUUAGUUAUGAUAAUUUAGUAAUGCAAAAAUCUACCAUCAGUAAUGAGCUUUAGAGCCAUCGCUAAUGUGGGUUUCUUACAUAGUGAUGCAAGCUCUACAAGGUGCUGUUGCUGCCAUUUUAAAGCAUCCCAUGACUACAUGUUAAUAACAUACUUUACCAUAUACCAUAAAAAUAUUAGUUACAAUAAGCACAUACGCAUGUGGAAGAGUCCGAAUGCACCGGUUGAGGACUAAACACAUUUAAUUACUAGAACCAAAUGUAUGUCCAGAACAAAGACAGGGGUCAAGGUUUGGGUAACCGCAUUAAAAACAUUGGAUUUUACUGUAGAUGAACACUUAGUUACCAUUACCAUGCCUUGAGCACCUAGUUACAACAAACAUUAAUUUAGCCACUUUAGAGCUUCCAGAAUCGCUAUAAAUAAUAUACCUACGCCGUACCAUGAAAACAUCAAGAAGAGAGACGGAUACAUGGACCACCAUCAAGCGAGUACUGACAGCACGCACAAGAAUACCCAGAACCUGUUAGCUUGUCUGUAGUGAUCUGUUUUCUUCCCCAUAAAAUCCAUGAGUAUUGCCACAAAUAAUGAAAGAGGCUGACCAAGCUAGCAAGGAGGUAGAGCAAACGUGAUACACGGCCUGCCAAGAUUGCCCUGGAUACGCCAAUAAGAGCGACAGAUACAUGGAUCACACCAAUAUGGUGAAACGUAUAUUCAUCACACAAGCAAAGCUGGUCAGUUUAUCCAUGGUCAAAUUGUGGUCUUUGUUUUCACUUGAGAGCUAAUUGAGGCACUAUAAUAUGGGCAGGCCUAUCUUCAACAGACAUGACAGCUACAGGGAACUUGACAUAAUUUGCUGGACCGCCUGUGCACAAUUAUUUGUUUUAUUGUCCUUGCAUAGAAUGCUAAAAUACUCUUUACAAAAUGUUGGAUCUAAUAUUUGAAAUAUAGAGUAGUAAUCAUAUAUUGAUCAACAACUUGAAAUUAUCUGUACAUUCUCGGUGAAGCUGUUGAACUAAUUUUUGCAAAUUAUUAAUUAAUUCAUCUCAUUACGUAAAGAAAACAGUAAGUGGAUAAGAUAUUUCGUGGACCACAUCACUGCAAACAUGUCAUGGAGAGACAGACCAAGGAGGCAGGACGUGAUACACGACUUACCCUAGGUUGCCGUGGAACCGCCAAGAAGAGAUACGGAUACAUGGACCACACCAUCUUGGGAGUAGUGACAGCAUAUAUGCAGAAGAAUACCCCGUGCCUAUUUGCAUGCAUGUCUCAAGUGAUCUGUUUUCUUCAGAAAAUACAUGAGCAUUGCCAGAAAGAAUGGCAAGAGACAAACAUGUCAUAGAUACUUGCAUGUCUUGCCUUGGAUACGCCAAGAAGAGGGACACAUACAUGGAUAACACAAAUCUAGUGACACGUAUAUUCAUCACAAAGGCAAAUCUGAUAAUUUUAUCCAUGGAGCAGACCAAGCAGAAAUUGAUGACGGACAUGUGAUCUCUGUAUUCAGUUGAAAGCUAAUUGAGCUACACUAAUAUGAGCAGGACUAUAUUCAAGAGACUUGUUGAGAGCUACAGGGAACUUGUAAUAAUUUGCUGGGCGGCCUGCGCACAAUGAUUUGUUAUACAUAGUUGAAAUAUUUCAAGAAUUUAUCAACCUCGUACUCUGAAACCCUUGGUGCAAUGUACUCUGCUUUCCGAGGUAGACUGUUCACGUAAAAUGAGGUCAUGCGUAAGACGGAAUCGGAUUGGAUUCGCAGGGAAUCAGAUUUGGAUAGCACCUUUUAGCCGGUUUUUAGUCAAAUGCAAAUUCGGAUCCAGAUGUGGUUGAAUGCGAGUUCAAAAUUCUACUUGGAUAUCCAUUUAAUUUAGGUGAUAGCAAUUAGCACAAAAUGUUGGAAGAACAAAAUCAUAGUUAGACAUACAAUUACAUGUAUUGUUAAAGUAUAAUACAAUACACCAAGAUUAUUCCUUCAAAAUAUUUCUUAAAAAUAUUAUAAUAAAUGAAUAAAUAUAAUUGUGGCCACCAACAAAUAGUCGGUGGUCACUAAGUUGGAGCCAUUUCUGGUUACUAAUGCGGCCUGCUCCUCGACCAGCGACGACAGCUGAGCUUGUUCCUUCUGACACCAAAUCAUCAGAGUCUUCCCUCCACUACUAUAGAAUGCACCUUUAGCACCAAUUGGGAAAUCCCCUUCAGUAUCGGAUGCUGCAACCUGUGCUAUGAAAAUGGAGACUAAAAGCCUCGGUCUUGGGUACCGGUUGCAUGACGCAUUACUAAAGGAGGCAAAAGAGAAAUGUAACAAAAAAAUAUUUUGAAUUCCAAGAAUGUUUCACUAUUCAAGAUGACUAACUGAGAGUCAUCAGACAAGAUACUAGGAAUGUGGGUGCUUGAAUGCAUUUGUACAGAGGUCAUACUAUUUACAAACUCUUCUGUGUUUCCAUAUGACUACCUACUUCAAUGUCACGCGAGCCAUUCAGGACACAUGGCACACAAGCUUGCAUGUCGAAUCCAUGAUUAAUUAUUUCCACUUGUGAUCUCUUACCAGUAUUUGUCCAGACUAGAAACGUGCAACACAUUUUUUGGAUAUGGACACGCAUAUAUUUGGACUAGUAUACAGGUCACCUUUGGAUGAGUACAAGGAUGACCGGGAGGGACUAAUGGAUACAAGGAAGGGACCAUCAGGAUUAAUAGUGACAUAUGCCACAUGACAAUCUUCAUUGUCAUGCAAUCCCUAUCAACAAUCAUGGAAUCCCUAGUGUACUAAUCCCUGGAGGGUUGUGUGGAAAUUUAUUUUACCUUGCGGUGAAAAUCUCAUGAGCAGUCAUUAGUUAAGCUGACUAGCUGAGAUAUAAUAGACAAGCUAGUAAGAUUGGGAGCAUCAAUGCAUCCAUACAGGGUCACAAUAUCCUUUCCAUUCACUUUUAUAUAUAACCCUACGAAUACAAGUCCAACGAAACGCGGGCCUUUCGAUCAAGAUAAAUUAAAUGGCCCACUUGUAUUUCUAAUCCAGGAUUAAUUAUGCCCUCUGUUCAUCUCUUGCAAGCACGUGCAACACAUUUUCACGAUAUGGACAUGCAUGGAGGUUAUUAUACUGUUUGGACAAACUCUGAUGUGCCAUGACCUGGGCCUGUUUGGUUUGAGUUGCUUAUUAUAAGCAACUUAAAGUUGCUUAAAGUUGCUUAUUUGAAGUUGCUUAUUUUUAGUCUAAACUGUUUGGAUACCCUUGCUUAUGAGCAUUGAAUGAGAUGGACAUUGUCAUAUUUGCCCCUUGUGUAGCUACCCCUCCAAUUUGCCUCCCCACCCUUCUUCUUCCUGCACACGCCCGAUCCCGGGGGCCGACGGCGGGCAGGGAGCAGCAGCAGCUGGCUGGGGCGGCGGUGGGGCGGGAGCGGCGGCGCACACCAGCAUGCGCUCGCACGCCAGGUGCUGGAGCGCGGCGAGGCAGUCGUCGUAGACCGCCGGGAGCGGGUGCUCGGGCGUGAGGCGGUACUCGACGGAGACAUCGAGCGUUGGGCGCGUGGCGGCGAGCGCGUUGAGGAAGCGAUGGUAGUGCGGCGACGUCGCGGACUCCGCCACGAAGCCGCCGCCGUGGACGUACACCACCACGGGCAGCUUCGUCUUGCCGUCGGCGGCCACGGCCGCGGCCUAGGGUGGCAGGUAGAGGCGGAUGGAGCAGGAGCCGAGGUCGACGUCCCCGGAGUCGACGCCCGUGGCGGCGUCCAGGCCGGGCCCGACCGGCGGCGGCACGAGCGACGCAGCCGCUCUUGUAAAUCCAGCAGGUCUGCGCGGAGGCGGGCGGCGGGCGGGAGCGGCGGCGGGUGGUGCGGAGGCCGGCGGCGGCGGGUGGCGCGGAGGAAGGGGAGCUGGUGAGUGGUGACAGGGGAGGGGGGAGAGAGAGAGGGGGGUAGGGUGCAUUGAAUGAGGGCAGGAGGUGUAAAGUGCACCUUUUAGUCCCCAUAAGCAACCAUAAGCAGCCCAAGAGUUGCUUAUUUACUUAUAAUAAGCAACCCCAUAAGCAAGAGUGAUUGGUUUCAUAAGCAACUUAUUUGCUUAUUUUAAGUUGCUUAUGCGUAAGCAUGUGAAACCAAACAGGCCCUUAACCUAUGGUUGUGGCACACAACCAUACAGUAGAUAGUAUUUAAUAAUGCUAUUCGUUUGGUAUGUGCAGAAGGGCACGCAUGAAAUGUCUGGCCCACGGUAAACAAGUACGGACGCUGCAAAUAAUCUACUCUGCUCGUCCAGUCCCUAGCCUAUAAAUAGAUGCCAUGCUAGCUCUUGUUGUGCUCACAAUUAAUCCGAUUACACACGAGCUUCUCUCCCUGGCCAAGACACAAUCAUAGUAUGAUGAAGAACAUGGCACUAGCCGGCAAUGGUAUGAAGAAGUUAAUCCUCGCUGUUCUCUUACUGUGUCUAGUUAUAGGGCAGAUACAAGUGGAAGCUAAGAGCUGCUGCCCAUCCACCACUGCAAGAAAUAUCUACAAUACCUGCCGUAUCACGGGUACAUCCCGUCCAACGUGUGCAAAACUGUCAGGCUGCAAAAUUAUCAGCGGGGACAAAUGCAAGCCCCCUAACGACCACCUCACCCUUGACCCGGACACUGGUAAAUAAUAAAUUUAUCUCACUUGAUUUCUUUGUGUUUUGAGUCGUUAAUGUAUUUUCCAUCUGAUGAAACGUAUUGGUUUUGCAUUGAAGAGGAAGUUAAUGUGCUUAACUUCUGCAAGUUGGGGUGUGCGUCGUCUGUGUGCAACAACAUCAACGCUGGUAAGCACCUUUUGCUCAGACAGAGAAAACAAUAAUCAUUAAUUAGCGGCAGCUAGAAUCCUAUAAUCUAAUAUAUAUAUAUAUAAUUUUAUCAGCUCUGGGAAAUGAAGAGGCGAACGAUGCCGUUGAGAGUUGCGACCAAGCCUGCUCUAGCUUCUGCAACGUGCACGUUGGCGCUGCCACCGUGGUUGCUUAAGCAAAUGCAUCCAACUGGAUCGUCCUUGUGCUGAAUAAUUGGAUAUCGUAUCCACUUAAAGCUGCCUUGUGUAGUACGUCUUUGUUUGUGUCUCUCUUUAUAUUCCAAUAAGGUCGGUGAUCUUGAUGCCACACACUCAGACGUGUGUUCAUCUCCAGAUACUACUCCAUGCUACCUACCCUUUGUGUUUUGUUCAAUAACUGGGUAUCAUAUUCCGGCCAGUGUGCCAUCUGUUUUGUGUUUAUUUCCUUCUAGUUCCAAAGGGGUCAUCAUGAUGUUACCUUCUUUCGAUAUGGUGCUUUGCAUGACUACUGUUGUAUGGUACCAUCUUGUUGGCCAAUAAAUACAUCUUAUCCUAUGACCCUUUGCUAUGACCCUUUGCAAAUAAGUACAAGAUUGUUAAAUACUCGGUAUAAAUUGACUACUGUUGUGAGUUCCCUUUCAGCUUAUUGUAGGCAUACAUUAUUGCUAGCACGGUGAAGACAACCAACACGAAUGAUCAAGUAAACGUACCGGUACUUUUGUAUACCAACACCCUUGCUUAAAUGUACCGGUGUUACUCCCCAUUGGCACAUAUAUUCUUUUAUGCUAGCCGGCUUGAAAAUUAACCGAUUAAAAUAAUUAUUUCAAGAUAGAAAUAACUUAUCGGCUUCUCGAAGCAUGUGUAAUGUGAAUUCAAGGACUCGAUGGAAGUUGAAUCGCUUCAUCUAGAUUGCUUUCAGGAUUUUGGGUAACUAAAUUUAACAUUUGCACAUACAAAUGUUAAUGUACAAAUGUUAAAUCUAGUUACCCAAGCAGAAUAUGAAGAUACUCUAUAGUAUAUAUAUACUAUAUAAAUCUAGUUAACAUUUAGUCUAAAUGUUAAAUCUAGUUACCUAAAAUCCUGAAAGCAAAAUGUAUAAAUAUAUAUCUUUUAAGGAAUCCCAAAGCAAGAGUUCAGUGGCAUUCUAUAGUCCCAUGCUGCUAGUUUGAGUUGGUCGAAGCCAACUUAAAUAGGAGAGCUCUCUCACUUCUCUAAAUACGUAACUGAAGGAGAGAAGGGGGCUUGGGUUAUACAAUGCACGCACGCACGCAUAUUUGCGUUCUUUUCGCGUAACCAACCAUGUGACUUGAAACUUGCGACGUAGCGUGCUGCCAAGUCAAGUUGAUAUAACCUUUUUGCCGUUUGCGUGUAAUCUUUUGACAACGGUCAUUGGAGGUGAUAAGCACGCAGUCAAUACCUUAAUCCUGAGUUAAUAGGGUGGUUACUACUGCCAAUUAGUGGGGCAAUUUUGUAGGGGAAACGGUUAGCAGAGGGCUACCGUCUUCUCUAUAAGAAGUUCUGGAGACGUCCAGAAACACACAUGUACAUGUGAGAGACCCACGAAUUCCUUCCCUUCUCCCUUUUCCAUCUGAUGAAGAGUGCUGUGGUACUGAGCUGCUGGAUCUCACCGGCUCUUCUCCUUGGCGUGCACUGAGGAGGGUGAGCGGUAUCUCCGAGCUAUUGCCGUCAGGAAGCCUGCACGACGGACAACAAUAAAGUUUUUGGGUAGCGCAACUGUGCAACCGCUCGAUUCGAUCGACUAUGUUAUGCGCUGCCUCAUCUUCGAUCUACACUGCAACGCGUAACCCUGCAGCAAGUCUACACGAGGACGGAGCACUAAUCUGUAAGUCCUAGAUUGGUUUCUUACAAAGUUGUAGGUUACACAAGAUCUAGAAUGUUACAUACCUAUUAUUAUGGGUUACAUGAUGUUUUGUACGGUUACGUCUAUUUUGCAUAUGCUAUUUUUACAUACCGUUUACAUGCAUAUGUUAAUGGUUACACCUAGCUAUUUGAAUCUAGAAUUGGGUUACAUAGUAGUAGCAAUGAGUUACGUAAUAUGCCUCAUGUUUAUAUCUGGUAGAAUUUAACACGUAUCUCCAACAUAUUUUGAGGCAGUAUAAAUUUCAAUUCCUUUUGCUGCUCUGUUAAAUACCAUCUUUCGUUGUGGCCCAACACUCUAGUAUGCAUGUAGCACCAAGCUUGUUUGAGCUGCUUUGUGCUCUGAUUUUGCUAUCUGUAUCAGGUUGGACUGUUUCUUUGUCUUGCGAUGUAUAGCUUCAUAUCUUCUAGAGGUUAGACAGCAAAACCCGCGUUCUCUUAAGGCAACAACUCGAAGAAUCUGCAGUGCCCCUGAUAUAUCACUGCUGCAGAAACGAUCUUUAGUACUGAUCUCCAACCCCCUUUAGUAUUGGUUUGGCAAUCAGUACCACUAUGUCGGUACUAAAGGGAGUUCUCUAGAAUCGGAUCAAAUAACCGGUACUAAAAGGGCUCCUUUACUACCAGUUGGUAACACCAAUAGGUAGUAAAUAUUUUGCACCCAAAAAAUUAAAGAAAAACAGCUGGGAGGCUCGCGCACACACGCAUCAUGAGUAAUAUGUGCGUGCAUGGUUUGUAGGAUUCCAACCCACGACCAAGCUAUAAGCACGUAGUUACAAAAAAUUAAACACUUAGACAUUUUAGAGCAUCCCAAAUAACUACAAAUUCUAUAGUUUACCAUAUACCAUAAAAUAUUAGUUAAAAUAAGAGCAUACACAUGUCGGAAGAGUCCCAACGCACCGGUUGAGGAUCAGACCAGGCACUUUGAAUGCACAUGCCAUAAGAUAAUUCUGCAGGACGAUGAUUGCAAUAAUGGACCAUCAAGAAGAUAGGGGCGAUGGGGUUGCCUCAUCAAUUAUCACUUGGCGCAACAAGACCAGCAAAGUCUUUAUCGACAGGGGUGGAUCAACGGGUGGGGCGGGCAGAGCUUCAGUCCUCCUACCGCCGCUCGAACAAUGGAGCCCCCCUUAGCCCCUCCAUAAAUUUUUAGGUAGAAGAAAAAAGAAGAGAAAGGAAGGAAGGGGAAGAAGAGGGAGCCCCUCCUAAGUAGGUCGCCAUCAUGCUUCCCAACGCAUGAUCGCCGCACCGCAUCCAUUCCUCUACAAGCCUCCAGCGUCUCUCCCGCCGCUACCUCUGAACCAUGUGCAGCUGCAGACCCAACUAGUGUCUUGUCCCCCAUCUCAGUCCCAACAGAGCAGCGGCGGUUGCCAGCACAAAUCUCCCUCCGCCUCUUCUUCAUGGUCGAUGGCCGCCACAAGCAUAAACCUCACCUUCGCAUCCACGCAAAAGGGUCGCUGGGGUGCCUUCUUGCAUCGCUUCUCAGCCUCCUUCACUUGCGGCCAGCCAAGAACCGUGCCACCACCUCGGGUGCGCGCCACCACUCCAGGGCUGCUACCCCAUGCCUGCGGCUGCCGCCGGCCACCACACAUGUCCCGCCGGCCACCACACGUGUCCAACCGCGUCGCACCGCUUCCCUGCUCUGUGCCACCACUUGUACCACCAGCUCCACCACCUUGGGCUGGUCGCCAGGGUGACUGAUUGGUGGAUUGUUACUAAAAAUAAGUUCCUUAUUAUCUGCAACUACUAUUAACUCACGGAUACAUGCAUAUUUUGCUUCUCCUGCUAAUAUGUCCUAAAAUAUCUAGGAUGCCUUAUAUUUCUGGAAAGAGGAAGUAUUUGAAUAAAAUGAACCAAUUUAAAAAAAUGUGUUAUACACUACUACAGAAAGACCUAUCAGUGUCAAACCCAAAAAUGUCGUCACCGCCAGUUUUAGGCACCGUUGGUGAAAGGUUGGCGGUGAUGGGCAUCCCCUUCAACAACGGCACUGGAGCCGACGGUGAUUGGCAUUAGAAAACAAAAAAGGGGACCCUACCUAGCCACCCCUGCAACCCGGCCAGCCGUGCCUCCCCUCGUCCCCGCCACCUCGCCUCCCCCGUUACCCCCCUCCGGCGCCCUUGCGCCUAGCCCCCUCGCCUGCCCGACUGGCCACCCUCGUCACGAGAGAGAGAGGUGCAUGUUGUAUAAUUGCGUGAAUUUUUUAAUGUUUAAUUUCAUGUAAGUUUCAUGUAAUAAAUUGUACAAGAUUUAUUGUAUAUAUGAAUUCCAUAUAUAUAUAUAUUUAUAAUUUAAUGUAUGGUUUCAUGUGUAUAUUUCAAUCAUGUGUAUAUUUAGUAGAUUGCCGAUUUUUUUUUACUAGACAAGGGUUGAUGUAUAAUUACGUGUAUAUGUUUAUUGUACAGGCAAUUAGGACAAGUUUUGUAUAAAUUUCUUUUAUUUCAUGGUUGUUGUAUGGUUUCAUGUAUAUACAUUUAUUGUAUCACUAAUUGUAUUAUUAGUUAAGAUGGGAGCCAAAGAGGAUGAAAGGUAUAUAAUGGAGCAGAUUAUUGCUGGCGGUAGUGGCUCAAACGUUGCAAGAACCUACACCGAGGGUGAGGGUAGCUAGGUGGACAUGUACCUCAACAUGUCCAGUGAUGGCAAUGGUGAUGAGGAGCACGAGCAUGACGUUUAUGAUAAUGCGGAACAAGACAUUGCAGAAUUGGAAGGUUCUAAUGAGGUGUGUUUCAUGUUGAUGAUCUGGUUGGCUUUUUUUCUUUGGUCACACCUUAGUUACCAUAGAACUUCGUCUCGGGAGAAGAUUAGUGGUGCUAUGGUGAUUGGAAUUUUAUUGCCUCCAAAUCUGAUUUCCAUCGAAUCAUAUCCCUUGUAUUUAUCUUCUUUUUAUUUGUGAGAGCAUCUUCUUUAUGCUUGCAAAACAAUUCAAGUGCACAUACUACACCUAGGGUGACGAUUAGGAGUAGAAACAAUUGCCAACAAACCAACACCACAUCCUAAGAUUCUUAACUUGUGGCAUAAUUAGUCUAGUAAAAAGAAAGAUAAAAACCUAAUGGGUGUACGUGAGUGCAAUGUGUAUAUGCAUAUGAGUGGAAGGCAUAUAAGCAAAGAUAAUAUUUACACAUAGUUCUAAACACCAUGUUUACAGCUAGGUUGCUGAAUUUCUCCAUAGCUAUAGAGAUUAAUUAACCAAGGUCAAAACACCAUGUCUAUCCCAAGAUCAGUAAUUCUUUAUAGCACAAGAAAAAGAAAGCGCAUUGCAAAGUUUAUAAACCAACCAAUGCAGCAUGAAAACAAGAUGAAUAGCUAGCAAGGUUUAUUAAACUGAAUGAUGAUGGUCUGCAAGCAAGUUUAAACACCAUCUUUACACAAGAUUGCGAAUGGAAAAUGCCCAUAUGAAGCACUAACAUGGAUAUGAAAUCAUUCAUCAUAAAGCGUAAAGAACAACCAAGCCAACCAUAUGCAAAGCAUGAAUGGAAUGCAAUGAAGGUGCAAGAGAACAUUUUUGGAUGAACACAUUAUAAUGAUGGCAAAAUGCAAUGCAUGCAGAAAAAAUAAAUAUGAACAUGAAUAUGAUGAUCAUGGGGCGGACCCACUAUUGUGGCCUGGGUAUUCCUGGGCAUACCCAAUAUUUUUGGGAAAAUGUUUAGUAGUUUUUAAUGGUAUAUACAUGUAUAAUAUAGUUUAGGUGUUAAAAUUGAUAUUCACAGCUAUUUUGGGCCGCAAUUCGCGUCCAAACCAGCCUGGCCCACAGACCACACCCGGCCGGCCGGCCCAUCUAGUCACUGAUCCCCCCACCACCACACUCAGCCCGUCAGUCGGUCAGGUCCCGAGCUCCUGCCUGACCUAGUCCGCUACCGCCGCCAGGUGCCAGGCACAGCCGCACGCACCACGCCGCCCCCGUCCGCCGCACGGCCGCGCCGCGCCCCCCAGCCCCCGCGGUGAGAUCCCGCCGCCCGCUACCGCCAAACCUCAUUAGGCCUCCACCAGCAGGUCCACCCACAAUCCCGAGCGACGCGGCAGCCUCUUGGCUCUCGUCGNNNNNNNNNNNNNNNNNNNNNNNNNNNNNNNNNNNNNNNNNNNNNNNNNNNNNNNNNNNNNNNNNNNNNNNNNNNNNNNNNNNNNNNNNNNNNNNNNNNNCCCCCCCCCCAUCGGGCCUCGGCCCCUCCCCAGCUCCCCCCCUCCACCAGGACUGCUGCUUCCCCCCACUGCGAGGUAAUCAAAAUCGACUGCUCAAUCUCUCAAUCUGUUGACAUGAUGCACACGGUUGCAAAAAUAGAUGUGUCAAAUAGAUGUAUUGCCAAUUGCUAUAGAUGCAUACGGUUGACAUGAAGAAGUCAAAAAUGACAUUUGGUUCCUUGUAGGCAGUCAAAACUGAAGAAGUCAAAAAAUAUUGAUCUGAAAUCAAUGUGGGAAAGGGCUACAAAGACACACAGGUAGAUUCCCUUGUGAACUUUUUAUGUCGUUCGUCUAAAUAUUUUUUUGCAAUGGGCAUACCCUACUCUAAAAUCCUAGGUCCGCCACUAAUGAUGAUGGUCUAAAAAUAAAACAAGCCUAGAUUAAUUAGCCACAACUGAAAUUAAGCAAAGGCUAAUGUCAUUGACACUAGCUCUAUCCUAGCUUUUACCAAAGUCCUGGCACAUAUAGUGGUUGGGCCCACUCUCUCUGCUUCCCUCUCUGUUGCAUGCACGCACACGAGCAACGGGAGGCCCGACGAAGCCCAGAAGGGUUCGGCCAAACCAGUCUGAGCGCCGCUCCCUCCCAGCCUUCGCGCAGAUGCUCCUCCAACGUUCCUUGACCCCUCCCUCAGCGUCCCGUUGGGUUUAACAUUGCAGGACAGGAGUCCCUUUUUUAAAAUCUCAACCACCUCCUCUCCUCAUUCACUCCACUCUCAUCUCCAUCAAACUAAACGAGAUCCACACCAGAAAUCCCUGCUUACCACCAUGGCUAGCAAAGCCCUCGUCCCUUUCACCAACUUAGGCUUGACCACUGAUCUCGAUGGGGAAAUCACUCCGGCAAAUGUCAUUGUCCCUGUCGGGCGAUCUUGCGAUGGAGGAGGUCCAGGCACUAGAGGUCGAGCCCCUAGCCAUCAUACCGCCCAAGGGGUAAAGCAGGGGUGUGACAGGCGCUGCUAGGGGUUCAGCCAAACUCCUAGUUCGGCCAAACCAGGACGGCGCCGCCUCGGCCUCCCGCUCGACUGCACGCUCGCCCUUGCCAAGGAGGACUCUAGAACAGCGGGCGCGAGCGUCAAGUCCCUACAAAAGGCUGAAAUACAAUGAAUAUCCAGGGCCACCCUUGAAGAUGGGUGAACGCUACGCCGGGUCCUUGUUUGACUAGUACGGCGAUGCAUUCUGCCACCGCUAUGAGGAGGACUUGUGGGCAGAAAGUCGGCUACCACAAACUUGCCUCCGAAUAUUUGGAUUGCGAACCUUGGAUGGUGGUUGUGGAGACCCCAAGCCAUACCUCGCACCCUUGGAGAGGUAAUUGGCUGGAUUGCUUGGUUCGUCUCUAGAAUGCGACAAGGUCAGGCGCCACCUCUCACUGCUACCAGUUAGAAGGCCGAGGGGCCAGUUUCAACAUAGUAAUGAGAAUCUCCGAAGGCCACCAUGGUUAAGCAGCUAACCUCCAUGAUCAUAGACUUACGUUUAGAAAAUAGGAGGCUUAGCGAUGCGUUAACAGAGCAGAAGUUAGAAACAGAAGAACUUAAGGACAACUUCCGUGUCCUCCGUCGUGGUCUUUGUGCUAAGAUAAAGCGCUUGUACAAUGCCACGGGGCAUGACGGUCUCUACGAUGCAGCUCAAUAGACGUGCCCCUUGUAUCCCUUCCUUUAGGCACUUUAGAAUAUGUUUAUUUGUUUUCCUUCAUUUUAAUUUCCAAUCAGAUUGUUAGCACCUCCAAUUUAAUUUCAAUAAAGUGUAGACUCACCGGUCAUCCAACCUGAUGGAGUCCUUGUGUCACUUAGUUGUCUUUGGAAGAAGUAGCUAGGUACAAAAUAAGUGUGGGGGAGAGCCACGGACUCUCUAGAGUUGAAACAAUGCACAACACCCACAAAUAGAGAAAACCACGCUGCACCAGCACGUACGUGAAAGGGGAGCCAGAGCUGGACCCAUAGGGGUUUGGCCAACCCAGGGUGUGGCCCACUCGGGCCAUCUUCAUCCACCGCGUCGGUUUGUGUUUCUUUACCCCUGAUCUCCCUGAUUCAUGAGUUUGAAUGAAUUUUAAAUCUGACCAACUAAUUCAAACUCAACUAAAAUGAAUCAAUUGCUCCACCUGCUCUACAUGUUUUCUAUGGUUGGCUUGCAUAUGUUUUAUUCCAUGCUUAUCAUCUUGAUGCUUGUGAACAAAUAUCUUUAGGACAGCAUGCUCAUCUAAGUAGUUGAUGUGUAUGAUAUGGUUUGAUGAUAUGAUCUUCGCUCUUAAUGCUUAAGUGCUUGGAAAAUUCUAUUUGAAAAUUUAAAGCCUUUUUUGAAAUCUCCUCUUUGAUGUGCCAAGGUCCUACCAAAGCCGUAUGAUAAGUUGUCUUGAAGAACCAUUUGCAUAUAUUGCUUGUCUUUGCAUUAAGCUUUGUCAAAGUGGUGUGACCCUUGAAGAACCAUUUGCAUAUAUUGCUUGUCUUUGCAUUAAGCUUUGUCAAAGUGGUGUGACCCUUGUGACAAUUCUUUUCAUACUUUCAUGAUCAAGACUCAUGUGCACACCAUAUACCCCUUGCUAUGCUUCUAUGAGAUGUUAGCAUUGUACCAUCCAUUGAUUCCACAAAAUAAAUGCUCCACCAUAUGUGUUGGUCUCCUUCUAAGAUUAUUGUUACAAAAGAGAUAUGGGCUAUCAAAAAAAAAUAUGAAUGUCCUAGAAAGUUGGACACAUAAAUGUCAAGAGAUCAUACAAAAAGGAGUUUCCAUUCCAUCCACCACAUCCAUACACGUGCACAUCUUGAUCUGAUUGUAUGACUUAUUUUUCUCUUUGGAUCUGGUCUUUGACUUUGCAAUAUAUGUGAUGCAAGUAUGCCUUAUCCUUCAUAGCCUACCUUGAGCUCCACAUAUAGCCAUCAUUAGAAGUAGGAUGAAGAAAGGCAAGUCUAAUGCCUUGGUGAGGACAUAUACACAUUGAGUGAUCUGAGAGAAUCAAAUGAGGAGCUAAGCAAGGUUUUGUUUUGAAAACUAAUUGAAAAAUCCCAAGCUACUUGGCAUAUGGAGUUGCGGUGACUUGAUUCAAGAUCAUUCCAUUCCUCAACUACCCAAGAUGGCAUGAUAGACACUCCAAAGUUCACAAGUGCAGGUAUGGUUUGGAAUAUCUUUUAGGCUCGCUUCAUACCUUUGAAAGUUAUGUUUCACCUUAGUCCUUUCUUCUUCACUCGAGGAUAAGCAAAGGCUAAGUGUGGGGGUGUUGUUGAUGGCUCUUAAGUACCAAAUCUGCACCAUCAACUCUUGCAUAAACACAUAAAAUAUGAGCAUCAACAGUAGUGGUAGCAGUUAUUACAAACGAAUUCCACAAGUCUUGGUGAAUAUUUGUAUGCAGGCCCAUUAGGAGAGAAAAGACACCUCAAGAGCAAGGAAACACACUCUCAACCAAUCAGGAGCAAGCACAUGGAACCAUGGGCCCACAACCGGAAGGAAAUCGACUACAUUCACCACCAAACACCCUAUACCCACAUGAGAACCCAUAGGCAGUGACCCAGAGCAGAGGUGGUGCCAGAGUGUAGAUGGCAGUUAGCAUGCCAAAUUGUGAACCGCAAGCGCACGGAUCAAUUGUUGCUUUUCCCUUAGAGAUUCCCCCAAGGUUUAUGAAUCCAUGGAAUAAGGGAUUUGCACGUUUAACUAAGCACUAAUCAAUGUAAUUGAAAGCUUUUCGAAUAAGAUAUGAUUAUGCUAACAAAGGAACUAAGCAAUCUAGAUUAAGAUGGAUAGAGAGUAAAGGUUGUGAACAAGAUAGAUUAAAUGCUUGUCCUAGGGAUCUAGGAUCACUUGUAGAUGGAAUCGCCAUGCAUAAAUGAAUUAGAUCUAGGUGUUAUCAUGAGUGGUUGUGAACCAUGCCCAACACUUUCCCACCCGCAACACUGUCACUACAUGUGGGUACUCAACUAUCAGAACAUAAGAACACAUCAAGAUGAUCAUUCUAGGUAAGCAAAUAAGCAACCCAAAGUAGUGCUGGCUAGCCUUUUCAUGAAAGAGCAUCAUCAAGAUAAGAUUGAUAACAAAAUAGAUCUCAACCAAAGGUUCAGCGAUUACAAAUCAAGAUCUCCGUAUAACCCCGAUGACAAAUAGAGGUAUUACCCCCAUGAUCUUACACAUGUUGAUGAAUUUUGGGGUAAAGGACACCUUGUAGAUCAAUUGGACCAAAGAUGAUGAUAAACGGGGGCAGGGAAGGCCCAGACCGAUCAGCCUGGGCACUUUUGAGCCGAUCAGCUCAGGGGGUUUCCUCCUCCCCUAGAGAUCAUGGUACACUUCACGCUGAAGAAACAAGAGAUCGACCGAGCCCUGGGAUAGACCAUGAGGAUCAGCCUAGAGGGUCCUAGGCCGAUCGGCCUAGGCCCUUCCUAGCCCUUCUGGUCCUCUCCUUCCUCAUGCUGGCUUUUCUCGACGACCCUUAUCCAAAUAUCCAUUAAGCUCUCUAUACAUACCCCCUUGAUUAUGUCGUAUUUCCUGCCAAAAUACAAUGCUCCAAAAUACAACACAUAUGCAAUAAUAGGGUUAUUUUAGGUGCCAAUUGGUGGGUUAGUAUACGAAUAAGCAUGAAAAUACUGAUUAAAUGGCACUAAAAGUGUGUCAAUAAUGAGCACCAACAAUCCCCCCACGCUUAGAUCUUGCUCGUCCUCGAGCAAGUCUAGCGACUAAAAGAUCUUGAAUUAAACCUGAGCAAGCGAGUCAAGUACCUAGCCUUGAAACAAAAGAUUAGAGGAGCAGCAAAGAUAAUCAAAGUCUGGGUGUUCAAAGAUUUAUCUAAGCAAAGAUUCCCCUACAACUAUUAUUCAGAACCAAGUAACUUCAAGUAUCAACUACACUUAUUUUUUGGCUUUUUUCAGAGGGUUUUUCUUUCAUCAUAAAACAAUCUCCCUGCAAAAAAAUUGGAAAAAGAAUUAUUUUCCAGGUGCUUAUAUGUCGCUUAAAUGAAUGUUGGCUAUCCUACUUAUUUGCAAGCUCUCAUCUCUCAAAAGUCAUUCAAUUCUAUGGUGGAGCUUGGGUAAGGUUAGCUAGAAUCAACACGUAUAUUAUUGAAUUAAGAAAACCCUCUAACGGUGGCCUACCUUCCGAGCCAUUGAUCAUAAGAAUAUCCACAUAAUGUGAAGUUUUCAAGGAUGAGAAGAUAUAGAAUGGUGGACAUGUGCAAAUGCAAAGAAAUAUAGUGACUCUGAGGCACAAGCAAUGUCCUCGUCAUUGGAUUGCAUAUGGUUGGAAUGAAAAUCCGUUCCUUAAACAAGUCCAUCUUUUCUUUGCACCACUCUUGAUCUUCAUGACAGUAAAAACUCCUCCUUUAUUUUUUUCUCUCUUUUCCUAUUAUUUCUUUUUAUUUGUCUCAAUACUUUUCUUUCUUUCUUUCUUUAUUUUAAUCUCUUCUCUGAACCUCCUCUGAACACCACACAAUAAAAAUCAGUUUUAGAUCCUUCCAGAGACCUUCCAUGAAUUUGCUACAUGAAAACUGAGGCAAGGAGACCUCAGGCCGAUUGGCCUGGCCACUCCUUUGCUCUCCUCUAGCUCUUCUUUCUGGUGAAGCUUCCAUAUCUUGUAUCUUUCCAAAAAUUUCAAUAAGCUCGACUAGAAGCAGAACAGAUCUUCAUAUAAUGAGUUGUGUUCAAGGAAUUGGUAAUAAAAUUGAGAAAUUUGUGGUCCGGGUUUACGAAUUCAGUACAAAAAUCUGAUGGUUCCAAUGAAGAACUCUCAUUACUGAAUAUUGACGAGGCAAGCAUUCAAAGAUGGUAAAAAGGAUAUGAUCAAUUCUCAAAAUUAAAGCAAACCAAGAGAGAGCGAUCCUAAUUCAAUUCAAAGUGUCAAAUAUUGCUUAUGGUGGUAUGAAUAAAUAUUUUUAGGCAUUGGGUAGGAUAAAUAAAAACUCUCAACCUGGUUAAAAUAUAUUGAUCAAUCUUGUUUUUGCAGAGGUUUUAAAUAAAAAAUAAAAUUUUAAAUCACCUCCAAUUCAAAGCCUUACUCAUAAAUCAUAAUCAAAACUGAAGCACUUGAUCAUCAUAAAGCAUGGGUAUUGCAUAAACAAAUUGAUUACUAAAACUCCACAACUACGAUUUAGAAUUCAAGACAAUGCUCAUAAUCCAAAGUUGCAAAGACAAAAUAAAAGACAAGCAAGCCAAGGUAGACACUAAAAACACUUGCACGAUCCUUGAAUUUUAUUCAUGCUUCUUCUCACAAAGAUGCUAAAGUAGCCAUGUAGGCCUAAGUCUUCCCAAAAGCUUAAUAAGAUUACUACUUUAUUUACUUUUGGUUGAAAUAAAAACACUAAUUUAGACUCUCACAUGACUCGACUCGACCAAACUAGAUCCAAAAACUCAUAUGAGCGACGAUCUCCACCCCCCCUCACGCUUAAAAUCUACGACCUCCUCGUCGUAACCAUAUGGAGUACAUGGAAAAGAUGCUUGUAAAUGCACUAAUGACGCUACCCGCACUACUUGCACAUGGGAUGGUUGCUGCUUCCUUCACUUUGUUCUUCCUCAUGUUGCUGCACAUCUCGAAGAGCUUCCUCAUGUUCCUCUGCAAGAACUUGAAGUCGUCCUCCUGACUUGCAUGAUGUCAUCGACAGCAUCGAAGAGGUAGUGGAUGUUCUUCCUGCAAGCUGCGGAACAUGUACGAUCAUGCUCCUCUGAUUCUGGCCCGUCGUCUUCUAGAUCCUUCUCUUUGCCCUUGUCUUGAUGGUGGCCAUCUUGCUCCUUGCUCGCCUUCUUGCCUUCAGCCCAAUCCCAGUACGUGUUGUCAUCUUCUUCAUCAUCACGGCCUGCAGCACCCUAUGAUCCAGGGCUCCUAUCGUCCUCCGAAUUGCUAUCACCUCCAUAGUCAGCUGGCGUGUACUCGGGCAUCUUCGCUAUGUAGCUCUUGCGCUUCAUCAUGAGGAGCCUUGCUGAAAUCCUUGUGGGAGUGACGACGACCUCCUUCUUCUUCUUGGGUGCUUCAUCUUCGCUCGAGAAGAUGAUCAACAUGCGAUUCGCAAGCUUUCCGGAUGGUGCCUUGCCUCCAACACUGAUGUGAGCGUUACGAGUAGUCCUUGGUGGAGUUUUGGGACCCUACUCACACCUCUUGGCUUCCAUAUGAAGGGUGAAGGUGGCAGCCAAGGGAGGGGGUGGUGCUGAUCGGCUUGGGGAGGUCAGGUCGAUCAGCCUGGCCGCCUCCUUCGCCGGCUGCUGCCCCCUCUCGUCUCCCGAGCUCCUGGACGUCACCACUGCACUUUUUUUUUGGUUUGGUGGAUCUGAAUUGCUUGUGUAGAUGCAAAACUCAAGCUCCAAUUGGCCUCAUUAUAUACUCUUGAAGUCUUUGUCAAGGAUCCACACAUUUCCAAAAACUUCCUUGCCCCUUCCCGCAAAAAUUCACUUCCAUAAUCUGUUGUUACCAAAGAUGUGAAAGAGGGAACUGAAUCGGAAAUUACAUAUAUUUUUAGACGUACGCUCUGCCUCCCAAAUUUUCAUGGCAGCGCGUAUGUCUAAAAAUAUAUGUAAUUUUUUGAGUCUUACACAAAAUUCAAAUGAAAAUAAUAGAAUUUAAGAUAGUGUAUGUACAAGGUACCUAUUUUAGUGUCGUCAAGCUUGACUUGGCCAUUCUUCCUUCAUGGUAUAGACGUCAAUAGAAUUGAUAGGCACGAUGUCGGCUUCCAAGAAUACCUUUAGCCGCUGUCCAUUCACAAUAUAUUGAUCUCCUUUGACGUCCAUGAUUGUUACUGCUCUGGUAGGUGACGCAGAAUACAUGACGUAUGGUCCACCCCACUUGCUCAUCAAUUUUCCCUUACCGAAGAAUUUAAACAUGGAGUUGAACAAUAACACUUUAUCCCCUUCUUUGAAUUCCUUCUUAUGAGGCCUUUUAUCAAACCACCUCUUGAUUCUUUCCUUGUAAAUGCUUGCAUUGUGGUAAGCUUUAAGCCUCAUCUCUUCCAAUUCACUUAUUUGAAUCCUUCUUUUUACUCUCGCAGCAUUAAAAUCAAGAUUCAUCUCUUUUAUGGCCCAAUAAGCUUUAUGUUCAAGUUCAACAGGAAGAUGACAUGUUUUUCCAUAGACAAAUUUAUACGGGGUCAUACCUAUAGGUGUUUUAUGAGCUGUCCUAUAUGCCCAUAAUGCUCCGUCUAGUUUCUUUGACCAAUCCUUCCCUCCUUUGACUAUGGUCUUUUUCAAUAUAUCUUUGAGUUGCUUGUUUGAAGUUUCUGCUUGGCCAUUUGUUUGAGGAUGAUAGGCUGUAGACACUCUGUACUCAAUCCCCAGUUUCUUCAAACAUUUGCCAAAAUCUUUUUCUAUGAAAUGUGAUCCUCCGUCGCUUAUCAAUAUUCUGGGCACUCCAUACCUAGGAAAUAUUAUCUUCUUGAUCAUGUGAAUUGAUUCCUCUGUUGAUGCCUUCCGACAUGGGAUAGCUUCUACCCAUUUAGACACAUAAUCAACUAUAACCAAGAUGUGCUCAUAGCCAAGUGAAUUUAAGAAUGGUCCCAUGAAAUAUAUACCCCAAACAUCAAAUAGAUCCACUUGCAAACUAUAGUUCAAAGGUAUAGAAUUUCUAGAUGAAAUAUUUCCUUUUCUUUAGCAUUCUGAGCAAGUAGCAAUGAACCUCUUUGCAUAUUCGUGCAUCUCUAGCCAAUAAAAUCCCCUUGCCCAUACUUUUGCUUGAGUUUUGAAGUGUCCAUAAUGUCCUCCAUAUUCUGAUGAAUGGCAUUUCCUAAGCACCGCAUCUCUUUCUUCUCUAGGAAUCCAUCUUCUCAAUACUCCAUCUACUCCAUACCUAUAUACAAAAGGUGCAGACCAAUAGUAUUUCUUAUUUUCAGCAAUAUUUUUUCUUCUGUCAUUCCUAUCCAAGUGAUGCAAGGGCGCCCUUUUGAAGACUCUGAUAAUGUCAUGCAUCCAAUCAUCCUUGUCAAGUAUUCUGUAUAAAUGGUCAUCUCUCAUUCGAUCUUUAAUUGGCUCCUUCCCAUUAUCUUGUUGGUACAUCCUCGACAAGUGGUCAGCUACCACAUUUUUUGACCCCUUUUUAUCUCUAAUUUCCAUAUCAAACUCUUGUAGUAACAAUAUCCAAUGAAUCAGACCUGGUUUAGCAUCUUUCUUGGACAAAAGAUAUUUAAUUAAAGCAUGGUCGGUGUCCACAAUCACUUUAGAAUACACAAUAUAUGAUUUGAAUUUUUCCAAAGCAAAUACUACGGCAAGCAGCUCCUUCUCUGUAGUUGCAUAAUUUAUUUGAGCCUCAUUUAAAGUCUUGCUAGCAUAGUAAAUUGCGUGUACCUUCCCUUCUGUUCUUGUCCAAGUACUGCUCCAACAGCAUAAUCACUUGCAUCGCACAUUAUCUCAAUGGGUAGAUUCCAAUCCGGAGGUUGAAUGAUGGAUGCACUGAUAAGUGAUUGCUUUAAAGUUCUGAAAGCAUAGAGACAGUCUUCAUUGAAUUCAAAGCUCACAUCUUUCUGUAGAAGUUGUGUUAAUGGUUUUGUUAUCUUCGAGAAAUCCUUAAUAAAUCUUUUGUAGAAUCCGGCAUGUCCGAUAAAGCUUCUCAAUGACUUGAUGUCUGUUCAAGGAGCUAACUUUUCCACAGUUUCAAUCUUCGCUUUAUCAACUUCUACCCCCCCCCCCCCUCUAAGAUGACAUGCGCCAGCACUAUUCCUUGCUUCACCAUAAAGUAGCACUUCUCCCAGUUUAGAACUAAAUCAACUNNNNNNNNNNNNNNNNNNNNNNNNNNNNNNNNNNNNNNNNNNNNNNNNNNNNNNNNNNNNNNNNNNNNNNNNNNNNNNNNNNNNNNNNNNNNNNNNNNNNNNNNNNNNNNNNNNNNNNNNNNNNNNNNNGCGUUGAAUUGAUGUGGGCGCAUUGCAUAGACCAAAAGACAUUCUUCUAUAAGCAAAAGUUCCAUACAGACAAGUGAACAUCAUCUUAUGUUGGUCAUUCGGAUGUAUAGGAAUUUGAUCACUAUCCUGUCACUAUCCCCUGGAGAAUUAGCUCAUUCUUCUCAUUUGUCACAACAGUCAAUCUAUCCUUCUUUGGCACGCAAUGCACUGGGCUUACCCAUUCACCGUGUGGUACUGGAUAGAUUAUUCCAGCAUUAAGCAAUUUGAUCGCCUCCUUCUUUACUACAUCACGCAUAGCAUGCUCAAUCUUCUCUAGUUCUCCACAACUAGUUUGUAUUGAUCUUCUAAUUGUAUUCAAUGAGUGCAUAAGGUUCGAUUGAUUCCUUUCAAGGCUUUGAUUGUAUAUCCAAUCACUUUCUAAUGUUUUCUUAAUAAAUUCAGCAGCUUCUCAGUUUCUUCCUUCCUCAACUCGUUGUUGAUAAUGACUGGAUAUGUCUUGUUGUUCCCCAAAUAUUCAUAUUUUCAUCCCUUGGGUAAUGGCUUCUGCUCAACAUCUGGUGCUUUAGUCUCUUGCUGCUCCAAAUCUCCAAUGUCUUCAAAUUUUUUUGCUUCUAAAGUUCCGUAUUGCAGUGAUAAUGCUUCGGUUGCUUCUGCCAGUUCAUCAUCCUGACCACCCUCAUUGUUUUCCAUUGCUCUUAGUAGAGGAUCCCUGAAAUUUUCAGCAAAACAUACACUUUCUAAUUCCUCGUUAUCAGGAAGUAGAGGUAGGGUUUGUUGAGAAGCAGGCAAAAAAUUAUAAGUGUAUUUGGCACUGCCAAGAUUAAUCGUUACUUUGUCCUUCCCAGCAUCAACCACAACAUUAACCAACUUAAGAAAAGGUCUACCAAGGAUAAUAGCAUCAUGGCAAUCAUCAAUAACAAAGAAGUCAGUUGGUAUAACUUUUCCCGAGAUAGCAACAUCUAGAUCUCUAUGCACACCUAGAAAGACUUUCCGUAUGGUUGCACGUUUCACUAGAAAGACUUUCCCUCAAGUCGGUCUUUAUGUGAUCGGAGUAAGCUAUUGGGACAGGAUCCUCUACCGAGGCUGCCCUCUUACUCCCUUGUACUGUCCUUAAUAGUUUCUAACUCUUUAGUUGGUAAUUUUAGAUUUAUCUCAAAAACUCACACAUUGUGUUUGCAUAUUCCUAGGGAGUUCUAUCUUCUAAAAUGAUGCUCGAUCAUCGAUCUAGUCAUGAUCGGGGUAAUUUAUGGGAUUUUUUGCUAGAAGUGGCUUCAUGUCAAGGCGAGAAAGAGAACAGAUGUGGGUUGCUUCUGUAGGUUUGUAAAGAGAUGAAAGUUAGAUUAUUAUCUUGGUAGAUUUUAAUAUCUAUGAAUACAAGGGGUACGUGCUAGGAAUUACCUUCAUUAAAAGUCCUUAGCACGUUUUCCUAGGUUGACUAGAGCCCUGGCUUCUCAAUCUUCAGGUCUUCCGCUUCUACUUCUUGUUGGGGUCAUUGGAGCUUCCACCAGGAUCUCUGGAGUCCGGAUCUUCCAUUUCUUGUCGCAAUUCGAGCCUUACCAGGCUAACGCAUCUACGCAUCUGCUGGACGGCCAAAAAUUUGACUUCACAUAUUUUUUUGGAUCCUUGGCUUCCAACCGGGUCUUGGUUGUGUCCUCGCCUCCAACAAGCAUGCAAUCAUACAAAUAAUUCUAACAAUCAAUUUCUUGCAAUCAAUAUAUGACUAAAGGAAAUGGAAAAAGAAUGGAUGAUGGAUGCUUUAGGAAUUAUCAGAUUUCUAAGGAUAAUUCCAGAAUAAUUGAUGGAUAUCUUAUCCAUUAUUUAGAAAUAUUUCUAAAUAAUUGAUGGAUAGGAUAGUUGGAUUUCUAGGAUAAUUUUAAUAAAUUAAUAAUAGAUUUUCGAGCAGUACGACCGCUAGGGUUUUGUUGAUAUCUAGGGUUUUGAUUGGGCAACAUAUCAACUAGGUUUGGUUAAUAUAGGAGGUUUGGAUUGGGUACUAUAACGGCUGGGUUUUGGAAUGGAUCCUAAGUGUGAUUCGGGCGCUAGGUGUUGUGAAUGGAUUUCAAGGCUAGGAAACUUGCAUGACAAGCUCGGCUUCGACCCUACGACGGGUGGAGCUAGUCAAGUUUCCUUGGGCUUGGGUUGGCUGUCAGGCUUGAGAGUUUGUGCGACGGGCAUCACUUCGACCUGACCUGGUGCUAGAAGUUAGCAACCCAGCGAUAGGUGGAGCCAAGCAAGACCAAGUGGAAGCUAGAGAGCUUGCACGACAAACUCACUUCGACCACUAGGGUGGAGCUCGGGCAAGAUCAAGUGGAUGGAAGUUAGAGCUUGCUUGACAGACUCACAUCGGCCACUAGGGUAGAGCCUGGGCAAGGUGACCAAGGAUGGGCAUGGGAAUAGGCUUGGAUGGCUCUAAGAUAUUUUAAGGAAUUUUCCUAGGGUUUUUGGAAGUGAAAUAAAUGAAAUGCAACUUUUGGUGUGCACUUUAAGAGGGUUUUUCUACUAUGUAAGUAAGAAAAGGAUAUUUUGGCGAAGGGGUCAUAUGAGGUGAUCAAUGGGAAAGGAACACAUGGAUAGGUUUGGAAUAUUUUGGAAAAUUUUAGGAACUUUUGGAGUACAUGAAGGGCUCUAAGUGAACUUGUGUGUGCAUUUGGCUAGGUACGCAUAGCAAUUUCAGGAGCGCUGCCGCAACAGGGCGGGGCUGCGGGUACUGUGGUGUGGAACCGUGGUCACAACGAGCGAGCUGCGCAUGUGCAGUGGGCCGAGGUAAGGCAGGCUGAGCGAGUGUUCAGAUUUAUUUACCGACACAAACAACAACCAGUAAAAUCAACAAAUCAAGCACAAGAGAUACAAGGAUUUAUUUACCAAAGUUCAGAUUCCUUCAUCGAGGAUUCCUACAUCUCCGUUGGGUUCUUCCAAUAAAGCCGAGUCACUCUCAACCCUUUCCCCACUUCAUAUCUUGAUUUCUUCCCCUACGGAGGCGAAAUCAAAGCCUUCACAAACUUUUCAUGGCACACCACAAGCUUGGGUACUCACCAGGUGAUGCCUAGCCAUCUUGGAGGCUUGACCUAGCCACUCAAUCUGUCAAUCUGUCCACCCAACGCAUUUUUCUCUUCAAAUCUGAUAGGAACACUCAAGCUCUAGUAACAAAAUGGAGGGGAUGGAAACACAGAAGCGUAGUGGUGGGUGGAUUGGAUAAAACUAGCUAGAAUCACUUGAAGAUCACUCAACAAGAUCAACUAGCACCGAAUAUUACUCUACGGUUUUCUCAACUAGGAUAACUCGGAGAUUACUCGACGAGAUCAAUUAGCACCGGAGGUUACUCUACGGGUUUCACAAGGAAGAGCAACACUCAAUUCUCGUAUCAUAUCAAUUCAUCAACUCUGCACAACACAUUGCAUAGCAUCCCUUUAUAUAGAGAGGGAGAGACAGACACUUAAUACUUUGAACUCUUAGAAAAAUUAAAUGGACACUUAGGAACUGACUCCCUAAUUACUAGUCUUAGACUCUAAGAUACAUAUGACUCUUGGGAAACAAAGAGAUAAUAAAGCAACUGAAGAGUCUUGGACUUUCGCGCGGCUUCCUGGCAGCCUGCACACUUUACACUAAAAUGACCAUAACUCUUGACUCGGAAGUCCAAAAGAUGCAUCGUUUGUGGUGUUGGAAACUGUGCCAAUUAUUUCUCUCUUUUUCAUUCUCUCUUGGCUUAUAUCCAAAAUCAUAGCAGCCGUUGUUGAACAUUGAACUCAGAUCCAAAAAUUCCAUACAUGGAUCCAAAAAAUUUUCACUGAUAUGUUUGUCCUCAAAAAAGAUAAUACUUGUUGGCGCAUAAUAGAUAGAAACUUCAGGAUUAAUGGACAGAAAAGUGUUCGUCUCAUCACUUUGAAAGAAAUCAUCCAAUAUAUUUUCAUUAACAGAUUCAAUAGGAUCAAAAUCAAUGGAUAUAUUUUGCUCCUCAUCAUAGAUAGGUGGCAUGCAAUAACACCACUUCUUGGAGACACCAUACGAAUCAUAAGAUGCCAAACCAUAAAUCUUGCAACAAUGAUAGUCCAAAACUUCCCAUUUGCUGCAAACCAAGGACAUCAAGUUGAUCAAAAUCAGUACCUUCAUAACCAGUAGCGCCAUGAAGAGCAGCUUAACAUCCAGAAACAUCACAACCAGUAGGAGCCCCACAAGCAACUUGAUGGCCAUAAUCCUCACAGCCAGCAGUGGCACGACCAACAACCUCUUGACGAGGUACUUCACAACUAGCAGCCUCAAGACCCUAUAAGCGUUCUUGUACUUGACGAUUUUCUUCUCCAAGACCUGCAAGGAUCACAUCAUGGUGAUCAUGCUCUUGGUUGGCAAUGUCGUUGUCGGAGUCUGCUUGAUGACGUUGAUGACAAGCCAUCAACCUUAAUCCAGAUGAUAGAAAUCUUGAAGCAUGGAACAAUAGCUCUGAUUAUCAAAUGAUAGGAACACUCUCACUCUAGUAACAAAAUGGAGGGGAUGGAAACAUGGAAGCAUAGUGGUGGGUGGAUUGGAUAAAACUAGAAUCACUCGGAGAUCACUCAACAAGAUCAACUAGCACCGGAGAUUACUCUAUGGAUUUCUAAAAUAGGAUAACUUUGAGAUUACUUGAUGAGAUCAACUAGCACUAAAGGUUACUCUAUGGGUUUCACAAGGAAGAGCAACGCUCAAUUCUCAUAUCAUAUCAAUUCAUCAACUUUGUCCAACAAAUUACAUAGCAUCCCACCCUUUAUAUAGAGAGGGAGAGAUAGACACUUAAUACUUGAACUCUUAGAAAAACUAAAUGGAAAUAAAGAGAUAAUGAAGCAACUGUAGAGUCUUGAACUUUCGCGCACCUUCCUGGCAGCCUGCACACUUUCCACUAAAAUGACCCAUAACUCUUGACUCGGAAGUCCAAAAGAUGCCUCGUUUGUGGCAUUGGAAACUUAACUCAUAGGACUUUCUAAUGAUGUAUCAUAUGAAUACGGAAACCAAGUAGAUCAGUACCAGAAAUCCAUGAAACUUAGAGAUGUUGCUGCAUGUUCUUCCAACUUGUGUAAACCACCACCAUUUCAUGUAACCGGUUGGUUUACCUUCCCAUGAGGAUAUCAAAAUAUCUUGAAAAUCUAGAGAGGGGAGAGCUUCUUCGGUCUGUGAAUAUGUCUUUUUUGUGUGGGAAACCAGUAGCAGCUAAUGGGAGGCGGUGAGUGGUACAAAUACCUAUCCCAAAAAACUAGCUGUUGGGCUGUUAAGUUCCAGAAUCUCUGGAAAAAAUCUCCGAAAACUCUGGAACCCUAAAACUAGCCAUUAGAUUCAAAAAGUUUCAAACACUACGAAAAAUCGUAAAUUUGCCGAGUGUUUUUUCCUUUGUCGAGUGUUUUUUUUCGGACACUCGACAAACAAGCUCUUUGCCGAGUGCCGAGCUAAAAACACUCGGCAAAGAAAAAACACUCAACAAAGAGGGGCUUUGCCGAGUGUCAAAAACAAAACACUCAGCAAAGAGGGGCUUUGCUGAGUGUUUUAUUUUCACACUCGGCAAAGAAUUUUUUUUUUGAAAAAAAAGUCUUGCCGAGUGUCCAGAUUGGGACACUCGGCAAAUGUCAAAAAUAUAUCUCCCGUCCCCGACCCCCCUACCCCAGCACCCCACCCGCCCGACGCCCCCCUCCUCUUCCUCCGCGCAACACCGGCCCCCACCUCCCUCUCCCUGCCGCCGGCUAGCUGCCGCUGCCGCCGCCCCUUCCCUCCCUCCCUCCCUCUCCCUCUCCCUCUCCUACCGGCGCCCCUCCCCCUCCUCUCCCCUCCUCCCUCCCUCACGCAGCCGCCCCCUCUCUCCGGUGGCGACCUCCGGCCGCCGCCCCGCGCCUCCUCCCCGGAUCCGGCGGGGACUCGCAUCGGGGACGCCGGAUCUGGCGGGGACUCGCGUCGGGGGCCCCGGGAGUGGCGGUCUUCAAGCGGCGGCGUGGAGAUGUGGUGGUGGUGGUGGUCGGCGGGAGGCAGCUCGUGGUGGUCUGCAGGCUGUGGUGGUGGUGGUGGUGGCCGGCUGUGGUGGUGGCAGCGGGCGUGGAUGGUGGCCGGCUGUGGUGGCGGUGGCGGCGGUGCGGAUCGUGGCGGCGGGCGUGGAUGGUGGUGGCAGGUGUGGAUGGUGGCCGACUGCGGUGGUGGCGAUGCCGGCGUGGAUGGUGGCAACGUGCUGGUGGUGCUGCCGACGGUGUCGGCAUGCCUUUUUUUUUAUUUUUUUCAAAAAAAUUGUUUGCCGAGUGUUUUCUGGGCACUCGGCGAAAGCUUUGCCGAGUGCCCGACCGAAAACACUCGACGAAUGUUACUUUGCCAAGUGCCAGAUGCCGAGUGUAACACUCGGCAAAUUUGUUGCCGAGAGUAUUUUGGGUUUCGCCGAGUGCUCCUGGCGCUCGGCAUAAAACCUGUGUCCAGUAGUGGAAAUCUCCACAAAAAUCUCUGGAAACUCUAAAUAUUUUUGUUCUCUCAAAAAUCUACAGAAACUCCACAAAAUUCUCCGAAAUCUCUGCAACUUACCGAUUCUCCGUAGAAUUCUCUGGAAUUUCCGCAAGUCCACUGGACAACAUAAGUCACCCAAGAGAAAGGGAUCUUGGACUCUAAGGAAAUCUUGUUCAAAGAACUAUCCAGUCCAAUUUAAAACAAGCCACCAGAUCACUCAGUGCAAGUGUUGUGACAAGUGUUUCUCUCAUGUUAAAACUUGAAAGGAUAGGUUUGAGCACUAAGGCAUAGGUGAAGCAAUCAUUGCAUCCCUCUCGAUAGCACGGCAUUACAUAUACUCAAGAUCAAAAAAUAGACACAAUAUCAACCACUUGAGCUUGAAUACCUUCACCAUGCUGCUUUUCUUUAAAAUCACACUUUGAGGUGUUUGCAAGCAUUUCUUUCUCUUUCUAUCGGUGUUUUAGACCGGCAACCCGCCUAGGGGUACCCUAGGUGGUCUUUUAUGCGGUAAGGGUCGUCGAGAAUCAAGGAAUCAAUGGUGACACAAGGAACACGAUUUAGACAGGUUCGGGUCGCUAGAUCGCGUAAUACCCUAUGUCCUGUAUGCUUGUAUGUAUUGAUCUUAGAUGCACUUGGAGUUGUUCUGUUUGAGGGGGGUCCCUGCCCGCCCUUAUAUACACGGGAGGGCAGGGUUACAAGUCUGAGUCCUAGUCGAGUACAAUUACAGAGUUCUACUCGGUAUGGCCCGAGUAGUUUUCCAUAUGCAUACUUGACUAGUCCGAGUGGAGAAGCCUAUCCCUUUGUCCUGAUCAUAUCCGAGUACGUCCCUUAGUGGGCUGUCCAAGGUCUACUCGUGGGCCUAGGGUGCAUGCUCGACAAGCCCCCGAGUACUUUGUAGUCGUGCACUGUAGUCUUGAGUACUGUGGGCAUUAUCUGAGUAGUUCUUUUGUAGAGGUUGCGGUGUCCAAAGUGCUCGAGUAUUGUUCGCGUGGCUGGAAGGUACUCUUCUUGCUCCUUUGAGUUGCUUUUGUUCCGAGAAUUUUUUAUAUGGUAGUGCGAUGACAAUCGUACUCCAUAUGGAGUAGCCCCAGAGCCUUAGGUUGAGUCGAAGAGUCAGGCUUAGGGUCAAUCCUGCUUCUUGGCUGUUUUACUCUUGGUAAUCUGAAAAAGAAAAUUCUGACCAUCGGGUACGGUACCCGCAGCCCCCGAGCACUUAGGCAAUUUUUUUCGUUGAAGUGGUCAAGACCCAUUGAACAGAGUAUCCGUUGGGUGUUUAAGGCAAUUAAUUUGUUUAAAAACCCAUCCGUUGCGUAACUAAUGCUUGGAAUCCGGAGGUGGCGGAGAUAUAAUCGGAGGGCCCCCUUUCAGUUAGGUUUACGCCCCACUGUAGCAGAUCUGUUUCUCUUCUUCCCCCACCUUUCCAUUCCUGUUUUCCUCCACCGUGAUUGUCUAGCGCCGCCGCCACCGUUGCUGCUCCUCUGAGAGAGGUCCGAGGUUGAGUGCAUUUUGCUGCGGGUGAAGCCGGUGGAUGCGCACCAAGAAGAUGGGGAAAAAACCCGAGAAGGCUCAAGGCAAGGCUCCUGCGGCGGGCAAGGUGAAGUCCAAGAAGGGGAAGGAGGUGGUGCUACUGGCGCCGAAGGUAGGGCCGACAAACCAGACUGCGCCGCUGCCGCCUGGAGCGAUGUGGUAGCAUUCGGUGAUGAAGGAGGCGGCCAUUCAGGUGCUUGUCGAUGCCAAACUUCUGCACUCGAAAUAGGUACUCGAGUGGAGGCCUACCUUCGCUGACGCGUGGCAAUUCGAGAAGCAUCCGAAUGAGACGGUUAUGCUUGCUCACUUUGUGGAGAGGGGGUUGGCAGUGCCCACCUCCGACUUCUUCAGAGGUAUUCUUGAGUACUACAAGCUUCAACUUGUACACUUGAACCCCAAUGGUGUACUGCACAUGUCUAUUUUUGUGCACCUUUGUGAAGUUUACUUGGGAGUUCCUCCUAGUCUUGAGAUGUUUAGGAAGUUGUUCCGUAGCAGGCCUCAACCUAGUGCUGUUAGGACAGAGGUCUUUGGGGGCGCUGGGUUCCAGCUCAGGAACUCAGGCGCGUAUAUUGAAUAUAACUUGACUGACUCCCAUGGGAAGUGGAAGAAAAGGUGGUUUUAUAUUGGGAACCAUAACCCUCGCUUGCCGGUGGUCACUGGUCAUGCGCCGAAGCACGCAGAGAAUUGGGUGAGCGAGCCUGAAGAUAGCCCAGAGCUCGAUCACUUAAUUCCCCAGAUUGCUGAGUUGAAGGCACUCGGUUUGACUGGAGUCAAUCUGGCAGCCAGCUUCCUCAAGAGAAGAAUUCAGCCCUUGCAAAAGCGGGCGCACUUGGGUGGGGAGUACUCAGGUUUUAAUGACCCGUCCCGUAUGUCUCCGGAUGAUAUUUCUGAUGAUGAUGUUGAGGCACUGUUGGCCAAGUUCUUUAGGAAUUAUCAAGGAGUACUAGUUAUUCCUUCAACGCUUCGUCAGUUUGAUGCUUGGUAUCAGCCAGAAGUGGUAUGGUCUUUCACUUUGAGUUGUACUUUUUGAACUGUUCGGGAUAUUGUUUGAGUGUCGACUUGCUUUUGUAGUCCCGAGUUCUUACUGGCUACUUGGUGUAGUCGGAAGAAGAAGAAUCUGUUGUUGAGGAGUCAGAGGACGAGCCCUCUCCUCCUGUGAAGAAACGCUGAGUAGUCCGCAAGAUGUCUGCUGCUAAGUCUACCACGACUUCUCCUGAGAAGUCUCGGGGUGCCAAGGUAUGUAGCUGUGUACUCACUUGUAGCUGACGGAUUUUAACUUGUAAUCUUUGAUCACUUUAUCUGUCUUCAAAAGGCUGACGACGCGGCGCUUGGUGACGAUGAGGCUGCUUCGGAUGAAGUAGUCAUGAGCGCCUAGGGUGUUGAUGUUGUGUCUGUUGAGAAGGUACUAGGGAAGGUGCCACCAACAGAUGCUGGAGUAGCCCCCGAGCUGACAGUCCAAGCUCCAUCGGCUACCGCGCUGCCGGUCCCAGACCAGGCAGUCCUGGGUUUGCCUGCUGGAGUGGCGGACGAUGUUGGGAAAGGAGUAUCACCAGUAGUUGCUACUGGUUCUUUGUCGUCCAAGGUGAUUGCUAGUGGUGAGCUUUCUUUCCCGACUGGUUUCGUUAGUCUGAGUUGUAUUUUAGUCUUGACCCUGUGUUUCCCAGGUCUUGGCGAGAAGACAGAGCCAGCAGCUGCUCCCGUGGCGUCGAGUACUCGGCCACCUGUUGCCGAGAAGAAGCGUGUGCGAUUGCCGCCACGAUCAACUCGGUGAGCUGUUUAUCCUUGGUGUGUAUCUUCAAGGUUUCUUCAAGUCGUGUAAUGACUUUGUAUUUUGAUGUAGGGAUGCGGAGGAGACUAUCCCUGUGGAGGCAAGAGUAGAUUCGUGUCCCCCGACUACUCUUUCUGCUCCUUUUGAGGAUUUGACUGUCGACAAAGUAUCCGGAGUUGAUGCUAGUCAUCUUGGAGCGUCCAUGUCUAUGCUUCAAGAAGUGAUCCGCUCGGUGGAAGAUCCCCCUGCUGCCUCGGGUUCUAGGAAUGUAUCCUUGUCAGCGUCUACUGGCGGAGAUUUGGCUGUAAUUGAUGCAGGGAAAUCUAAGGAACCAGCUACCCUAGGUAUGUAUCCGCAGUCUUGGUAUUGUAUUCGUAGUAUUGAGGUGGCUGAUGUUAAUCUCUUAGGUACUGCCUUGGGUGCAGCUCCUCAUCUUGCGAAGAGUACUCAAGGUCCAGUAAUCGGGCUCCCGUCUGAGUCAGAGUUCCAGAGAGCUGUCAAUGUUUUUCAAAGCUUCCAGGUGUGUUUUAUUUACUUAUCUAACAGGUUUAGUAACUAGGGGAGUUGACCGUUUGCUUUGCUGUGUAGGAUCUGUAUGACCAAAUGCAAAGGAACACUCGGGCCCUUCAGGAGCGGAACGAGCAAUUGGAGCAGGAGUGUGUCCGACUUGCGGAAUCCUUGAGGGUUCAUGAAGCUGGAGGGAAAUCCUUUGCUGUGGAGCGGUCAGAUCACGAAGUCUUACAGCAAAAGCUAGAGAGCCGCUACAAGUCUUUGAAUAAAAAGUAUCAAGGUGAGUACUUUUCAUGUUCUGGGUAUGUCCGACUAUUGUCGGUUGUGUUUGAACUUGGCCGUUUUUGCAGAACUCAAGAGGAAGGAGGCUACUGCAAGUAGCCAACUCCUUGAUUGGAGAAACUCGCAUGACCGAGUAGCGGAUGAAGCUGAACAUCUUCAAGCCGCGCUGACAGAGGCACAGGCUGCCUGCGAGCAUCAACGGGAUAGGAAGAUCCAGAAUGGAGUGAUGCUUGCUAUGGCCAUAGUGGUGUGCAGAGACCAUGCCCAGACCGUUGGAAGAUUUUGAAGCGAGCUCCAAGAGUUAACUGAUGCCGCUCAAGACUUGGUGAACGCCAUUGCCCCCUUAGAAGAGGAUGCAGGACCUCAAUCACUAGUCGAGCGCUUCAAGGCUGCUCCGGGUAAGGUGGCAGGCCUCUGCAAGGCUGUUUGCAAAUAGCUCCUUGCUAUGGUAAGGUCAUACUACCCAAGGGCAUAUUUUUCAACGGCUGGUGACAGCGUUGCUCGCAAUUGCACAGAGAAAGCCUAUGCGCAGUACCUCGAGGAGGCGGAACCAAUCGCGUCGAAGAUGUCAGAAUUUGUAUCUCUGGAGGAGCCUUGAGCGUUUAUGUACUCUUGUAAACUUUCGAGUACUUUGAAUGAUAUUGUGUCUGAGAGUUGAACACUUGUCUAUACUUUGUUGUUUGAAGUGGGUCUGACCCAUCAUGGGUAAGGAACGUUUUACUCUAUCUCACCUGACCCAAGGUCCCAUGGAUAGACACGCCCGACCCUAUGAGGAUGGAACUCCGCCUUGCCCGACCCCUUGCCGUAAGGCUUCAUAUCGCCCGACCUCGGGUGUAGGGAGUCGGACUCAACUGGGCCCCCAGGACAAGGAUCCGCUACAGGCACAACCCAGGUUUUGGCAGAAGUUGUUCUGAGGAUUGAGUUUGAGUAGUCACGAUGUAGUCGAGUAACCUUGUUAUUCUGUGAAUAGGAGGUGCACGGGUGUACUGUACUCUUUUGUCCUUCGUGGCAUGAAUGCUUUCACGUGGGCAGUCAGAGAUCAUCCAGACUCAUCGAUCACGGGCGCAUAGUAAAUUCUGGGUGGUUGAUGGUUGCAGCCCUUGGCUAUAAAUAGACCCUCCUGGAGGUCGACCCUGAAUCAAGCUUUGAGUAGCGCUAGAUUGCCUUCGGUUGCUGUUGUUUGAGUGUAGAGAGCCUUCAAAGAGUACACCGGUGCUAGAAGAUUCCUCGUAGGUCCCUGCACAGACUCUAGCGCUCAUAGGGAUAGCUGCGAUGCUAGAAGAAUCCUCGUAGGAGGUUUCAUCGCUGUCGUUUUGGAGUAGCUUUGGGAUCAACAUUUAGAGAGUGUUCGAUCAGCUCCUUGGGCACACCGGGCAUGUCAGCUGGUUUCCAAGUGAUGAUAUCGUGGUUAGCCCAAAGGAAACUGAUGAGCACGGAUUCCUAUUUAGGAUCUAGCCCUGUUCCAAUCAGGGCUGUCUUGGAGGAGUCACCCGUCUGGAGAUCGACUGGUUUGAAGUCUUGCUUGCUUGCGGGUUUCACCUUUGUAGACCCCGACUUGUUUUCUGGGAUCUCGAGUUCGGUUAGAUGGAGUUUCUUUGAAGCUGUGAAGACUUAUUGCAUGGGACUAGGUGUUUGAGAAGUCGCAGCGAUCUCCACGGCUUUAGUGUCGCAUUCAUAGGAUCACCGUAGAUCUCCCCGUAGCGUUAGUUCUCCCUUGGGACCUGGUAUUUUGAGUACCAAGUAAACGUAAUGUGGUAUAGCCAUGAACUUGGCGAGUGCUAGCCUUCCGAGUAUGGUGUGGUAGGAUGUCUCGAAAUCGGCGACUUCAAAUAUGAUAUAUUCGGUGCGGUAGUGUUCCUUAGUUCCAAAGGUAACUGGGAGGACAACUUGUCCAAGUGGUAUAGCUGCAUUUCCAGGUACGAUGCCAUAGAAGGGUGAAUCUGUUGGGGUCAACAUUUCUGUGACGUCGAGGCACAUCUUUCUUAGUGUUUUGGCGAAAAUGACAUGGAGUCCACUUCCACCAUCGAUGAGUACCUUUGUCAGCUUUGACCCUGCCACAAUGGGAUCGAGUACUAGAGGGAAUCGGCCUGGUUCUGAGAAUUUUGUCCACUGGUCUUUUCUGCUGAAGGAUAUGGGUACUUCGAACCAUUUAAGUGGUGUUGGAUCUAUUGGCUCGAUGGCCAUGAUUUUCCUGAGUACGAGUUUGUUGGCUCGCUUGGAUGCAGUGCCUGGGAUUCCGCCAAACAUGACGUUGACUGUCUUGGAGGCGGUCUGGAAGUCGCCUUCUUCUUCGUCGUUGUGGUUGUUCUUGCCCUUGUCCUUUUUCUUGUUGUAUUCUUCAGGGGGUGGUGGUGUGGGUAAGUCUUGCAUGACUUGACGCAUGCUGUAGCAAUCUAUUGCCGAGUGCUUGCUAGUCGGGUGCCAUGGGCACUGCUUUUUGAGUAGCUUGGUGAAGGUUGGCCCUUCAUCGUUUUUACGGGAUCCCUUUUUCCCGGAGUUGGUCAUGGCAGCAACGGUGUUGUCGGGCUUCCUUUUGCGAUUCUGAUUACUCGAAAAGUUAUUUCAAGUAUCAUUGUGCUGAGUUCUAUCUUGGUCAUUGUUGUUGUCGCGUCCUCGGUUGCGAUGAGAGCCAAACCAUUCACGCUCUUUGUCUUCUUCAUCCGCCCACUAUUGCACCAUGACUUUGAGGUCUUUGACGUUAGCUGGUCAUCAUUGACCGAAGUCUUGGUAUGUUCGCCGAUCAUAGGGUCCGUUCUGGAAACACUCGAUGACGUCUGUUUCUGAAAUGUCAACUAUAGUUGCCUUCUUUUCGAAGAAUCAUCUCAAGUAGUCGCGUAAGCUUUCACCUUCUUUCUGCUUUAUUUGACUCAAGUGGAUCUUGUUGCCUGGUCUAGCCAUGGAGCCAGCAUAGUUGUUGGUGAAAGCCUUUGUCAAAUCUGCCCAAGAGUCAAUUGACUUGGGUUUGAGUGACUCAAGCCACGUCAGUGGUUCGGGUUCCAUGCAUAUGGGAAAGUGGAUGACUUUGGUGUCGUUAUUGCCCCAAGCUGCUUGAACUGCUAGCGAGUAGCAUCGUAGCCAUUGAAUUGGGUCUUGUUUGCCAUCAUACUUGGUGAUUCCUGUUAGCUUCAACUUCUUGGGUAGUCUUGUCUUCAUUACCCUAUUUGUGAAAGCAGGAAAGUGGUUGUAGUUGUCGACUUCUCGCUCACGCCAACUGUUGAGUAUUUCUCGUAGAUCACUAAAGUUUGACACUUCGUGUUUCUUCUGAGUAGGGUGAAUACUUUUGUUGGCGCUAGAAAUCAGCCGAUUGAAUCUCUAGCGUCGGACACACGACCCGGGAGAAUCUACUUAACUCCUGUUCCGGUGAUCGCCCUGGUGCGGUUCGCGCGACGUGCCAGCCAAUCUGACCUAUUGAUUGGCACGGAAAGAAACGUGUCAGGUCCUAGAGGUUGCGAUCGGCUAAGGUUCCGAUCUUGAGAGAGCUUAUCAGCGAAUGGGUCGAUUUGCUGUAAUAAAGGAAUCGGCUAUAAUACAGCCGAUUACCAGGCAACAUUGGUAAAGAAAACUGCUAAGAGUAAACUAAACAACGCUACAGUAGCAACACUAGGAAUAGAUCUUAAUCGGCUAUGCAAAAAGUAGUAAAUUGAGCAAUAAGAUAUAAAAAAGCCGACAGUACUAAUUCCAAGCUGGAUAACUGGUGAUAAAACUAGAACAACAGGAAAAACCUAGAAUUCUAGUGAUUAUCGAUAACUGGUGAAUAAAUCUAAACGAAACGACAGCAAUGUGCCCGAAGUUAAAGCUUAGAUAUUACUCGAUAAGAGGAACUUACAGAAUCGGCCGGAGAUCAAGUUGAUGCAGCCCCGCCAACCCGUACGAACUCGUGAAAAGAAGAAAAGUAUUGGCGAAGUCGCCUGCUCGAAAGUAAAGUGCGAGGAAAUAGUAGUUUGUUGUAUUGAUUUGAUGAUGAUUACAGAUCUAUGAAAGCGGCUAUUUAUAGCCAGUUGCAACCAAUCUCUUAACUGACUAGGACUCUAUCUCUAAUUUUAAAUGAAAACAAAUAUUUACAAGCAUAAUUCUUAUCGGAGUUGGUCAUCGUGUUCCCACGGGCCGAUCUCCUUUUUAUCUUCAUAGCUCACUUUAGGCCCAUAUUGGCCCAACUGCUCCAACCUCCCAAUCGGCCAAUUUUCACCAAGUCCAUCCGCCGAAAUACUACAGCACCAAUCGGCCGAUCCUCAAUUGUAGCACCAAUCGGCCGAUUCCCAAUCGUGACCUCCGUGUUUCGCCGCAUAAGUUGAUUCCUUCCCUUCUUGACGUCGAUUUCAUAUGUGUAAAAAUCUGGCGUCAACACAUGCCCCCCAGUUUCGGAGUAAAACAUAAUCUUUACUUCGAAAUUCCUUUCAACUUCCCUUCCGAAACAAUUGCAUUGAAAAUACACUUUCGUUUCGCGGUCUUCUGCCUGAUGAUUGCAAUCUUUUCGAAAUGGGCGCCCACGACAACCACUCCUCCCAAAAAAAUCGAACCGUCGGCGUGGUAAAAAUUCCGCUUUUACCCUUUCUCAGACCGCCCUUAGAUAUCAGUACGUCCCGUACUUCUUCUUCACGAGCCCACGUCUUCCUUCUUUGGCGCACUGGCCUCCUUCUUCCGGCGUCUCUUUAGCCUCUAACCUCUCACUUCGGCGAGUUCUUCCAUCUACAUUCCACCCCACCUUCUCGAUGGCGACACCUUCAGGCACUCCACCAACAUCCGAGGUCCUGGAGACGGCUCCAUCAGCAGUGGCUCCAACAGCAAUGGCGGCAGCUCCAUUGGCAGGAGCAGGAGCUCCAUCGGGCGGGAGCGGGAGCUUCAUCGACGACCACAAUGAGCUUCAUACCAGAGGUUUCUACCAAAACUUUCCUUUCCGCUCCUCUAUGUCGAUGCAUUUACCUUAGAUCUGUUCUUACUUCCCCUUCCAUUCUUUACCUGUUUAGGCGGUUAGGCACAAGAUUACUAUUCGCCUCACCGAAACUCCCGGCCUUAUCUGUCUUGGUCCCAUGGGAAACAUAGAUACAACCGACCUAAUCAAUUUGGAAACCCAUAGGAUCCCUUUCAAGCAAUCAACCAUGGACCUAGAUCACUGGUCAGGUACCUUCAGAUCAUGGCCGAAUGAAACCCCCAGCUGGAGGGAAUGGUACCAAUGGAUAGCCGCCUUAAAAAGAGUUCAAUGGGACGAGCCUUUAGUAAUAGCAGCCUUAUCUUUGUCCCAAAUGGAAAGGAAUGAGCCUUUAGUAAUAGCAGCCUCCUACUUUUGGUCUGAUGCCCUCAACGCAUUCCUCUUAGGACACGGACCUAUGACCCCUACCCUGGCCGAUGUGGUCAUGUGGAUCGGCCUUGAUAUCUCCUCUCCCGAUACUCCUUUCCGUUACUUGGCCAAAACAUCCCAUCGGCUGGAGACGAAAGGAAUCGGCGGGUGGAAAGGAUUCAUCAAGUGCAACAGAAGGGCCGGGACAGUCCAGGAAAGAGAGCAUGCGGCCUUCUUGAUGAUGUGGCUAGAGAAACACCUUUUUUGCGGGAGGGCAGCCGGUCCAUCCACUAACACACAGGCUCUGGCCGAGACACUAUCGAUAGGGGCCUCUGUUCCUCUUGGAAAGCACCUAUUGGGAUCGGUUUACCAUAUGUUGCAUCAGAUCGGCGUCAAGCUAUCCAAAGGAGAGCCGAUUGGAAACCCAGGUGGACCCUGGUGGUUCAUCAACUUGUGGCUUAAUCUGUAUAUUAGCAAGAUCUCCCAGCAGCGAGUGGAGUACAUGACGUUCCCAAACAUCGAAUCGGCAGAGAAUCCCACUGUACGGCGCCGGUGUACUUCCUUCGGUGAAGCGGCAUCGGCCUUCUCCGGUUUCUCAUAUUCUGUUGCCAAGGUGGCCGAAUACUUCAGAUGCUUCUACAAUGGCUUUAGUGAAGACGCAACCAGCUGGUUCCCUUAUCAAAGGGAGGAACCACUCUUCGAGCUCCCGUCCUGUUUUGACUCGGCCACCAGCAAAUUUGAUGAGGACCUCACAGAUGAAUUGAUCAAGCCGGGGAUCCUGCCGGCGAACUUCUUCUCGGGGAAGGAUGCCCCCACUUAUGAGUUUUACCAUCCUUCCGUCACAGCACGGCAAUUCGGCUUGGGUCAACUGCCGAUUUAUGCAUACUUCACCGGCCGAGCAAAAUUUCGAGACGAGCUCACCAAAGGUCUCCACUACUACGAUCGGAUUCUAGACUCCAGCACCAUAGACUUGGCCAGUUGGAUAGUAGCCCCUUUCGCUGUUCAGCAGUUCAAGCUAUGGUGGGUGGAAUGGAAGCAACAUCUAUUCUGCGCCUCUACGGCGAUAUAUUGUAAUCUCCUGAAUCCCGACAACAUCGAUCCGAAUGCCGAGGUAUCGCUCUCUUUCUGGCUGAUUUUCAACUCCUUUUUUUUUAUACUGACUCUUAUUAUUAUUUCAGUCUGAGAGCCAUGCUCCCCCAAAAUGCAGUCGGAGUGGUCGGUCGAUAGAGGACCGUUAUCCAUACACAGCAUUCCCCCUCAUCGGCUAUCACGCCCCCUCCGUUGAUGACAUAGCCGGCCGAGCGAAGCAAGCGCAGAAAAAGAUUAUCAAGAAGACAAGUCGCCGAGUACGCGCCCGCACAGAAUCGGCCGAUCCACCCGUGGUUGCAUCGGCGGAAAUUUCGGCUGCGCCGACCCUUCCAGUCGCUGAAGAAUUUGACCUCCAAGCUGCUACAGAGGCCGGAGCAGCUGCCGCGUCAUUAUGGGUGGAAGCUAUUCAGGUAAACUCACCAUCCAAUUUUCCUAACAGUCAUUUCAAUACUGUCCUUUCCUUUAUUAGGCCGCGCAGACUCCCUCAGCAGAUCCACAGCAAUCUGCAAUGCCCCAAGCAGAAGUUGAAAUACCAGUGCCCCUUCCCGUUGAGGUACAUGAUCUCUCAACUCAAUUCUUUAAUAUUUGAAUGAUGAUCCUACCAACCUUGAUGCAAGUCAUCGGCACAUUAACUAUGCUAUCCGACUAGCCAUCUGCCAGAGAAGUCCUUCAAGAGGCCGGCCCGAGCAGAACGCCGAUCGUUGUCGAAUCCUCUUCUUCCGAUGAGCCAAUGGCACCAGUCCCCGAGUCGAGAGUGGCUGUUCCGCAAACACAGAUGGAGGAGAUCCGUUUCAAAGAGGUGAGAAGUCAUUUGACCCGCAUUGACCGAUUCAUCACCACCAUCGGCUGACUCAUUUUCCUUUUAUUUAUCAUUCACAGGAACAGGACACUCCCAAUAAUAGCCUCUUCUCAUUUGCGGUCGCGCUCUCUGAUGACGAGGAAGUUUCUUCUUGUCAAGUUACUUUGAGCUCCAUCCCCGAUGAUGUCCGCACUAAGCUCGAAAGUAUAUGGUCCCUUCUUCAAGAGGACAUCGGCCGAUUGGUGGAGGACGCCUCGCCGAUUUGGCAGCUCUUUGGUGAUGUCAGCGGGCAAGUCCCAGAGGAAGCAGAAGAAGCCUUAGCGCCGGCCGCUUAUAUCGAGUCGAUGCGGAUCCCGAUCUUCAGGGCUCUGCGUCACAUGGCUGAUAGCGCCAAGCUGGCUAAGACUCAUGAGGAAGAGGACUCGUACAAGCAUCGGGCCCAGGAGGUACACCAUCGGAUUCACUUCCUCGAGAAUUCCCGACCCGGACUCGUCGGCACGAUAGAUCGCCUCAAGCGCCGAAGGGCGGAACAUGCCAAGGAGAUGGAGCAGGUAACCAAAGAAAUAGCUAUUGAAGAGAAGAAGCUUCAGGAACUCCCUUCCGUUAUCGCCGAUUUAAAGCAGGAGAGGCAGCAUCUGGCCCAUGAGGCCCUUAGACUCCAUCGCCAUAUGUCAGAAGUUCCAGGGUCGGCAGAUGAUGACCAACGAGUCUUGGACUCGGCCGAUCAGAUCAGAAGUCGAGCGAUUGCAGCCAUUAACGCCCUUCUGGGUGAUCUGUAAAAGUACUGGCCAUUUUGUACGAACAUUAAUGCCUUUUGACUGUCCUUCGUGGCGCUCUCCUAUUUAUUACCCUUUUUACUCUGACAGGACGCAUCUUACCAAACCUCCGCGCUUCCUCUUAUUAUAAAUACCGGCCCUGGUUUCGCUCUUGAGAAUACCUGCUCCACUCUAUUCCUUUUUCCCCGAUUACGUUUCCAUCGGAACGUUCGUAGUCAUGUCUUCUUCGUCUUCUUCUUUCUCCUCGCCUUCUAUCAAUCAGGUACGAGGUCCGUCUCCGCCCUUUUUUCAGUUUGAUCCCUUUAAAUCAUUCCAACUUUUAGGCGGCUAUGUGCUAACUUUUUCAGCCAAGGCACCUUAGCCCUGAACUCGAAUGAGCAAUCAAACUCGUGCACUCUGACGAGUCAUUGUCGCAAGAGAACAAGGACUUGAUCAAGGCACACCGUGAAGAACUCAGAGAUCACGUUCCUGCCGACGUCCAACGGAUCUGGGACUUCAUCGAUGUCAAUGAUUACGGGAGACCGCAAGUUGACAGGAGCCACCCACUUCCUCUUCCGGUUGUUCUUGAAAACGUCGCGGUAGGGACAUCGCACCCGGUGAUGGAUCGGAGCCAUCCUCUUCCUCGCCAAGUUGAGGCGGAGGCCGCGAUGAGAGAUGUGGCAGAACGAAGCAUUCGCCUUCUGAUAGAAUUAGGUAGGAUUGAGAGGGAACUCAAGAAGAAGCGUAGUUGAGUAUUUUUUGUUCUAAGGACGAAGUGUACUGCGUCGGUCGUGUAAUUCAUCGUUCGUACCGAAUCACAAAUCGGCCAAUUUGAACGAUUAUUUUUCUCCUUUAGGCGAUUUCUUCUCCCGUAUCGGCUGUGUGAUCAUUCAGGGAGCGAUCUUUCUGUCUUAUGUUCCGACCCAUAUACUGGGGUAAUACCUUUUCAAGUACCUCCCGUUUAAGGCCCUAGUAAAUUCUUCUCCUUCGAUCAUUUCCAGAAUGUAAGCGUUUCCCAGGGCACAUCGGCCGAUUCUAUACGGCCCUUCCCAAGUGGGAGACCAUUUACCGAAUUUAGGAUCUUUUGAUCCAAUCGGCAACACUAACUUCCAUACUAGAUCCCCUUGGGAGAACUGCUUGACUUUGACCUUCUUGUCAUACCAUCUGGCCACUUUCUUUUUGUUUUCCUUGAUACUGAUCAAGGCUCUCAAACGUUGGCCCGCCAAAUCGUCGAGUUCCCUAUUCAUGAGCGAGGAGUAAUCAUCGGCCGUCAGCUGAUCUUGAAGCGACGUGCGUCUCGACCCUGUUCUCAACUCCCAUGGCAAUACUGCCUCAUGACCGUACACCAAUUGAUAAGGAGACACCUUGGUAGCCCCGUGGCAGGCCAUCCUGUAUGCCCAUAGAGCUUCGGUUAGACAUAAGUGCCAUUUUUUGGGUUGUUCUUCGAUCUUCCUCUUGAUCAACUUGAUUAUCCCUUUAUUGGAAGAUUUGGCCUGGCCGUUAGCCUGAGGAUAGUACGGGGAGGAAUUUAGCAGCUUGAUUCCCAUAUCGGCCGUGAACUCCUCGAACUCUCCCGACGUGAACAUCGUCCCUUGAUCAGUUGUGAUAGUCUGAGGGAUGCCGAAACGAUAGACAAUAUGAUCCCUCACGAAAUCGACCAUAGCGGCCGAUGUUACGGCCUUUAAUGGAACCGCCUCCACCCAUUUGGUGAAAUAAUCUGUGGCUACCAGAAUGAAUUUAUGUCCUUUACUUGACGGAGGAUAAAUUUUUCCAAUGAGGUCUAUUCCCCAACCUCUGAACGGCCACGGCUUGAUAAUUGGAUUCAUAGCCGACGCGGGCGCGCGUUGCACAUUCCCAUAUUUCUGACAAUCUUGGCUUCCUUUAUAAUACUUGAAACAGUCCUUAAGGAUUGUCGGCCAGUAAUAUCCAUUAUUCCUAAUCAUCCACUUCAUCUUAUGCGCCGAUUGGUGGGCUCCACACACCCCUUCGUGCAUUUCUCCCAUCAGGGUCUUUGCCUCCUCCGUCCCUAGGCAUUUGAGUAGAACACCAUCAAUCGUCCGGUAGAACAAAUCAUUUUCCAAUAACACAUAUUUUUGUGGCCUGAAAUCGUAUUCGCCGAUCCACUUUCUUAGAUGGGUCUUUUAAAUAAUCGGCGAUCUCUUUUCGCCAGCCGUCGGCCGCGAGUUCCAGAAUCAUGGCGCCUUGAAUCGGCCGAUACCCGAACGCGUGCUGAGCCAGCCUGUUGGCUUCUUCAUUGUAAUCCCUGGGGAUAUGCUCAAUAACUGUGGAUUUGAAUUCUUUCAGAAGUUGGAGGCAAUCCUCAUAGUAAACCCUUAAUACAUCAUCUUUGCACUCGGAUCUUCCUAUCAAUUGGUCCACGAUGAGCAUGGAAUCUCCAAAAACAUCGAUGGUGUCGGCCUUAAUUUCUCUUAACAAUUGUAACCCUUUCAGGACAGCCCGGUAUUCCGUCUGGUUAUUAGUGGCGGAUGCUUCUAUCGGUAGAGAGAAAUCAUAGCUUGCCCCCUGAGGUGAUAUGAGAACGAUGCCGAUUCCCGAUCCGGCCCCACAUGAUGAGCCAUCAAAAUAUAAGGUCCACGGUACUGGUUCCACGACAGCGAUUUCUGGUCCGCAGUGUUGGGCGACGAAAUCAGCCAUAACCUGACCUUUGAUGGCGUUUGCCGAUUCGUACCGUAGAUCAAACUCUGAUAAAGCCAAAAUCCACUUUCCGAUCCACCCUUUCAAAAUCGGCAAUGACAGCAUAUACUUUACUACGUCAUCCGUGCAUACAACCACGCAUUCUGCUGAUAACAAGUAGUGCCUGAGCUUGGUGCAUGAGAAGUAAAGACAUAAGCACAGCCGCUCUACCGGGGGAUAUCUUGAUUCGGCGUCCAAAAGUCUUCUACUAACAUAAUAUAUUACCCGUUCCUUUCCUUCGAACUCCUAGACUAGUGCCGAUCCGAUAGCUCGCUCAUCGGCCGAUAAAUACAGCUUGAAUGGCUUACCAGUUUCUGGUGGGACCAAGUACUGCUUGAUGUCUUCUAGUGCCUUGCGUUGCUCUUCUCCCCAUACAAACUCUUGGUUGGGUUUCAAUUUCAACAACGGUGUGAAGGCCUGGAUACGUCCGGAUAGGUUGGAUAUGAACCAGGCAACGUUGGUAAAGAAAACUGCUAAGAGUAAACUAAACAACGCUACAGUAGCAACACUAGGAACAGAUCUUAAUCGGCUAUGCAAAAAGUAGUAAAUUGAGCAAUAAGAUAUAAAAAAGCCGACAGUCCUAAUUCCAAGCUGGAUAACUGGUGAUAAAACUAGAACAAUAGGCAAAACCUAGAAUUCAAGUGAUUAUCGAUAACUAGUGAAUAAAUCUAAACGAAACGGCAGCAAUGCGCCCGAAGUUAAAGCUUAGAUAUUACUCGAUAUGCGGAACUUACAGAAUCAGCCGGAGAUCAAGUUGAUGCAGCCCCGCCAACCCGUACAAACUCAUGAAAAGAAGAAAAGUAUUGGCGAAGUCGCCUGCUCGAAAGUAAAGUGCGAGGAAAUAGUAGUUUGUUGUAUUGAUUUGAUGAUGAUUACAGAUCUAUGAAAGCGGCUAUUUAUAGCCUGUUACAACCAAUCUCUUAACCGACUAGAACUCUAUCUCUAAUUUUAAACGAAAAUGAAUAUUUACAAGCAUAAUUCCUAUCGGAGUUGGUCAUCGUGUUCCCAUGGGCCGAUCUCCUUUUUAUCUUCAUAGCUCACUUUAGGCCCAUAUUGGCCCAACUGCUCCAGCCUCCCAAUCGGCCGAUUUCCACCAACUCCAUCCGCCGAAAUACUGCAGCACCAAUCGGCCGAUUCCCAAUCGUGACCUCCGUGUUUCGCCGCAUCAGCUGAUUCCUUCCCUUCUUGACGCCGAUUUCAUAUGUGUCAAAAUCUGGCGUCAACACAUACAUAAUGAUGGUAUUGUUCCUACUUUCAGGAUGAGGUAUUUACUAUUGAAGCAACAAUAAAUGAAAUUAAUGCAACAUAUGGUUGGUACUACAUCUCAUGUAGUAGAGGCGAUUGUAAGAAGUAACUUGAAAAGAUGUUUGAUCACUACUAUUGCAAUAAAUGUGACAAGAGAGCCUAACCUAAAGCACGGUAAAUUAGUUAGUAGUUUACAAUCUUAUUAUAGUACUUCUAUUUCUAAUAGGAGAAUAAUAUUUGCAGAUUCAAAAUUAAGCUUCAAAUAAGUGAUCCAACAGCAAGUGCAACUUGUGUACUUUUGACAAGGAAGCAGAAAUGAUAAUUAAUGAAUGAGCAGAUUCGAUGAUCACCUCAGUUGAUCAUGAUAAUAAGUAGCUACCAAAAUCAAUUCAGAAAAUAUGUGAAGAAACAUUGAUUUUUCAAUUCAGAUUGACCGAGUACAACUUGACAAGUUUUAGACCUGAUUAUACUGUUUCAAAGAUAUUUUUUCCAAAAGAGAAGAGCAGUUCUAGAAUUGGUAUGGAAAGUGUAAAAAAGGUAACACUUUAUUAUUAAGUUUUUAUUGCACUUUUUUCUUUUGAAUCCUUAAUAUUUAAUAAUUUUACUAUAUCAAUGAAACAAAUUCUAACCUAAAUUUACAACUCAAACAAAUGCUACAUGAUAACUACCGAGAAUGAAGAGGUAGACACUGAUGACUCUUUUACCAAGAAAGUAACAUUCGUAGAAGAAGCCAUAAGGACUGGGGAAAGAUUGGCUAGAAAAGUAUACUCACUUCCAUCUCAGUAUUCAUUCUGUUUACAAUACAUGCAAAAAAAUAUUAUUCAUGCAAAAUUGCAGGUCUACUAAGCAUUAAAGGAAUAGCGGAUAGUGCAAUAUCUAAUUUGAGCAGCAUGCAUUACAAAGUGCUCUACUGCAAUUAAAUUAAAAAACAUGAUAUAUGUUGAAUUCUUAGACUUUAUUAUUAUACUUUUCUAUGUGACAAUUCACAAUUUUUUAGAAAAUAGAAGAUCCCAGAAGAAGUGAUCAUGAAAAAAGGUCUAUGCCCAGCAAUAAGAAAAAAAUGCAAGCAUAGAAACAAAUCCGUAGAAAACAUAGAAAAUAAGGUACUCCAUAAACAAAAGUAUUCUCUUAUAUUUUUAUUAAAUAUUUCUUUAACACUUGACAAGUUCUUUUUUAGGAUCAAUAUAUCAGCAAUUCAGAUGUCAUUGGAGAUGAAAACCUUAGUUCGUCCAAAAGGUCAAAAAAAACAUCUGAAGAAAGGUGUUUGGCUGAAAAGGAAAAGCAAGAAAGUUGUAAUGCAGACAAACACAUGCAGAAAAAUAUAAAAACAUGUAAUAGGGAGGCAGACCAAUCUUGCAAUGAGGUAUAGAUAAAACGUGAUACACGACCUGCCUACCUUGUCGUGGAUACCCCAAGAAGAUGUCGUAGAGGUGCAGACCAAGCUAGCAAGGAGGUCGAAACGUGAUACACGGCCUGCCUACCUUGCCGUGGAUAUUAGCCCUAAGAUCAUUCUACUGUUCAAGGAAUAACACUCAAUGCUGCUGCUGCUGCUGACCUGGCUCCAUAAAGUUAUACUCCUCUAGGUGCUUGCACUAACUUUAUCUGAAGUAUUAUUCUCUCUGCACUGUAUAUAUGGUUAUGGAGUUUGCUGGAGUAUCCGGGGGGAAGAACCUACAUAAUACGUCUUGGAACUAACUGACAUUGAUUCACAGACAAACUCUACAAGGUGCUGUUGUUGCCAUUUUAGAGCAUCCAAAGGACUAUAAAUAACAUAGUUUACCAUAUACCAUAUACCAUAAUAUGUUAGCUAAAAUAAGAGCAUACACAUGUUGCAGGAGUCCAAAAGCACCGGUUGAGGACCAGGUACAUUGAAUUACUAGAAAAAGACAGGGGACAAGGUUUAGGUAACCACAUGAAACAUUUGAAUUUACUGUACCAUGAACACUUAGUUACCAUGCUGGGAGCACAUAGUUAACACUAACAUUUAGCCACUUUAGAUCAUCCCGAAUCACCAAUGACCCUCAAUAGUGACAAAUUUUGGUUUAAAUGCCGUCACCAAUGAUCCUCAAUAGUGACGUAUUUAGGUUUAAAUCCCAUCACUAAUAACCCUCAAUAGUGACCUGUUUUGGUUUAAAUCUCAUUACCACUUAUCCUCAAUAGUGACGUGUUAAAACACGUUAUCUCAAUGGCAAAUCAUUGGUGACGUGUUUUAAAAAAACAUGGCACUGUGAGAGUCAUUGGUGAAGGGUAAUUAAAAUGCGUCACUAAUGUUGUAGCAUUAGUUAUGAUAAUUUAGUAAUGCAAAAAUCUACCAUCAGUAAUGAGCUUUAGAGCCAUCGCUAAUGUGGGUUUCUUACAUAGUGAUGCAAGCUCUACAAGGUGCUGUUGCUGCCAUUUUAAAGCAUCCUAUGACUACAUGUUAAUAACAUACUUUACCAUAUACCAUAAAAAUAUUAGUUACAAUAAGCACAUACGCAUGUGGAAGAGUCCGAAUGCACCGGUUGAGGACUAAACACAUUUAAUUACUAGAACCAAAUGUAUGUCCAGAACAAAGACAGGGGUCAAGGUUUGGGUAACCGCAUUAAAAACAUUGGAUUUUACUGUACAUGAACACUUAGUUACCAUUACCAUGCCUUGAGCACCUAGUUACAACAAACAUUAAUUUAGCCACUUUAGAGCUUCCAGAAUCGCUAUAAAUAAUAUACAUACGCCGUACCAUGAAAACAUCAAGAAGAGAGACGGAUACAUGGACCACCAUCAAGCGAGUACUGACAGCACGCACAAGAAUACCCAGAACCUGUUAGCUUGUCUGUAGUGAUCUGUUUUCUUCCCCAUAAAAUCCAUGAGUAUUGCCACAAAUAAUGAAAGAGGCUGACCAAGCUAGCAAGGAGGUAGAGCAAACGUGAUACACGGCCUGCCAAGAUUGCCCUGGAUACGCCAAUAAGAGCGACAGAUACAUGGAUCACACCAAUAUGGUGAAACGUAUAUUCAUCACACAAGCAAAGCUGGUCAGUUUAUCCAUGGUCAAAUUGUGGUCUUUGUUUUCACUUGAGAGCUAAUUGAGGCACUAUAAUAUGGGCAGGCCUAUCUUCAACAGACAUGACAGCUACAGGGAACUUGACAUAAUUUGCUGGACCGCCUGUGCACAAUUAUUUGUUUUAUUGUCCUUGCAUAGAAUGCUAAAAUACUCUUUACAAAAUGUUGGAUCUAAUAUUUGAAAUAUAGAGUAGUAAUCAUAUAUUGAUCAACAACUUGAAAUUAUCUGUACAUUCUCGGUGAAGCUGUUGAACUAAUUUUUGCAAAUUAUUAAUUAAUUCAUCUCAUUACGUAAAGAAAACAGUAAGUGGAUAAGAUAUUUCGUGGACCACAUCACUGCAAACAUGUCAUGGAGAGACAGACCAAGGAGGCAGGACGUGAUACACGACUUACCCUAGGUUGCCGUGGAACCGCCAAGAAGAGAUACAGAUACAUGGACCACACCAUCUUGGGAGUAGUGACAGCAUAUAUGCAGAAGAAUACCCCGUGCCUAUUUGCAUGCAUGUCUCAAGUGAUCUGUUUUCUUCAGAAAAUACAUGAGCAUUGCCAGAAAGAAUGGCAAGAGACAAACAUGUCGUAGAGACUUGCAUGUCUUGCCUUGGAUACGCCAAGAAGAGGGACACAUACAUGGAUAACACAAAUCUAGUGACACGUAUAUUCAUCACAAAGGCAAAUCUGAUAAUUUUAUCCAUGGAGCAGACCAAGGAGAAAUUGAUGACGGACAUGUGAUCUCUGUAUUCAGUUGAAAGCUAAUUGAGCUACACUAAUAUGAGCAGGACUAUAUUCAAGAGACUUGUUGAGAGCUACAGGGAACUUGUAAUAAUUUGCUGGGCGGCCUGCGCACAAUGAUUUGUUAUACAUAGUUGAAAUAUUUCAAGAAUUUAUCAACCUCGUACUCUGAAACCCUUGGUGCAAUGUACUCUGCUUUCCGAGGUAGACUGUUCACGUAAAAUGAGGUCAUGCGUAAGACGGAAUCGGAUUGGAUUCGCAGGGAAUCAGAUUUGGAUAGCACCUUUUAGCAGGUUUUUAGUCAAAUGCAAAUUCGGAUCCAGAUAUGGUUGAAUGCGAGUUCAAAAUUCUACUUGGAUAUCCAUUUAAUUUAGGUGAUAGCAAUUAGCACAAAAUGUUGGAAGAACAAAAUCAUAGUUAGACAUACAAUUACAUGUAUUGUUAAAGUAUAAUACAAUACACCAAGAUUAUUCCUUGAAAAUAUUUCUUAAAAAUAUUAUAAUAAAUGAAUACCACCAACAAAUAGUCGGUGGUCACUAAGUUGGAGCCAUUUCUGGUUACUAAUGCGGCCUGCUCCUCGACCAGCGACGACAGCUGAGCUUGUUCCUUCUGACACCAAAUCAUCAGAGUUUUCCCUCCACUACUAUAGAAUGCACCUUUAGCACCAAUUGGGAAAUCUCCUUCAGUAUCGGAUGCUGCAACCUAUGCUAUGAAAAUGGAGACUAAAAGCCUCGGUCUUGGGUACCGGUUGCAUGACGCAUUACUAAAGGAGGCAAAAGAGAAAUGUAACAAAAAAAUAUUUUGAAUUCCAAGAAUGUUUCACUAUUCAAGAUGACUAGCUGAGAGUCAUCAGACAAGAUACUAGGAACGUGGGUGCUUGAAUGCCAGGUGCUGGAGCGCGGCGAGGCAGUCGUCGUAGCCCGCCGGGAGCGGGUGCUCGGGCGCGAGGUGGUACUCGACGGAGACACCGAGCGUUGGGCGCGCGGCGGCGAGCGCGUUGAGGAAGUGAUCGUAGUGUGGCGACGUCGCGGACUCCGCCACGAAGCCGCCGCCGUGGAUGUACACCACCACGGGCAGCUUCGUCUUGCCGUCAGCGGCCACGGCCGCGGCCUAGGGUGGCAGGUAGAGGCGGAUGGAGCAGGAGCCGAGGUCGACGUCCCCGGAGUCGACGCCCGUGGCGGCGUCCAGGCCGGGCCUGACCGGCGGCGGCACGAGCGACGCGGCCGCUCUUGUAAAUCCAGCAGGUCUGUGCGGAGGCGGGCGGCGGGUGGGAGCGGCGGCGGGUGGUGCGGAGGCCGGCGGCGGCGGGUGGCGCGGAGGAAGGGGAGCUGGUGAGUGGUGACAGGGGAGGGGGGAGAGAGAGAGGGGGGUAGGGUGCAUUGAAUGAGGGCAGGAGGUGUAAAGUGCACCUUUUAGUCCCCAUAAACAACCAUAAGCAUCCCAAGAGUUGCUUAUUUACUUAUAAUAAGCAACCCCAUAAGCAAGAGUGAUUGGUUUCAUAAGCAACUUAUUUGCUUAUUUUAAGUUGCUUAUGCAUAAGCAUGUGAAACCAAACAGGCCCUUAACCUAUGGUUGUGGCACACAACCAUACAGUAGAUAGUAUUUAAUAAUGCUAUUCGUUUGGUAUGUGCAGAAGGGCACGCAUGAAAUGUCUGGCCCACGGUAAACAAGUACGGACGCUGCAAAUAAUCUACUCUGCUCGUCCAGUCCCUAGCCUAUAAAUAGAUGCCAUGCUAGCUCUUGUUGUGCUCACAAUUAAUCCGAUUACACACGAGCUUCUCUCCCUGGCCAAGACACAAUCAUAGUAUGAUGAAGAACAUGGCACUAGCCGGCAAUGGUAUGAAGAAGUUAAUCCUCGCUGUUCUCUUACUGUGUCUAGUUAUAGGGCAGAUACAAGUGGAAGCUAAGAGCUGCUGCCCAUCCACCACUGCAAGAAAUAUCUACAAUACCUGCCGUAUCACGGGUACAUCCCGUCCAACGUGUGCAAAACUGUCAGGCUGCAAAAUUAUCAGCGGGGACAAAUGCAAGCCCCCUAACGACCACCUCACCCUUGACCCGGACACUGGUAAAUAAUAAAUUUAUCUCACUUGAUUUCUUUGUGUUUUGAGUCGUUAAUGUAUUUUCCAUCUGAUGAAACGUAUUGGUUUUGCAUUGAAGAGGAAGUUAAUGUGCUUAACUUCUGCAAGUUGGGGUGUGCGUCGUCUGUGUGCAACAACAUCAACGCUGGUAAGCACCUUUUGCUCAGACAGAGAAAACAAUAAUCAUUAAUUAGCGGCAGCUAGAAUCCUAUAAUCUAAUAUAUAUAUAUAUAAUUUUAUCAGCUCUGGGAAAUGAAGAGGCGAACGAUGCCGUUGAGAGUUGCGACCAAGC
rnacentral:lncRNA from 1 species